rnacentral:lncRNA from 1 species
GUAUGGAGAGUGGGACUAACCUUGGAAGCAAAGGUCCCCUGAGGCCAGUUGAGCAACCCGGCAACCAUUUGCCCUGUUUGAUUGCAAUCGUCAUCAAUGGCCUAGAAAACCCAUGCCCACAUCAGAAAACAACAAUCCACCAUAAAAAGAGUCUAGGAUUUUCACGGAAUCCGCAAAUUUAUUUUUAAAUCGUUACCAAAAACCCUAAUCUCUGGGCACGAAUUCACAGACCUGUUUGCCCAGAAUAAGGAGGCCAGGCUUCUCCACAUCGACGAGAGCUUUGAGAAGCUUAGCAACUGAAAGUGGGUACAGAGUGGCGGAAGCUUCGACGUGGAUGGCCCUAUCGGCGCCCAUGGCGAGACCCGUUCUGAGCGUGUCGACGCACUGGCUGGGACCCACACUGACAGCGAUAACCUCCGACGCCAGACCCGAUUCCUUGAUCCUCAGAGCCUCUUCCAAACCUAUCUCACAAAAGGGGUUCAUCGACAUCUUGACGUUGCUGGUCUCCACGCCGCUCUGAUCGUGGGUUGGCGAUUGUUAUUGGAUGAUGAUGAAAUUACAGAUACUGAAUAACUUGAGAGUUUGGAUUUGGGUUACCUUGUCGGAUUUGACUCUGAUCUUGACAGCGUAGUCCACAACACGCUUUAUCGCCACCAUUAUCUUCAUCUCGUAUAUGGGUGGUUAUCUUCUCCGGCACAAGGGUAUUGGCAAAUGACUGAUGAUGAAGGACGAGGAUAUUCGCCCGAGCCCUACUGCACGACACCACAUCCGCUUAUAAAAUCUUUUGAUACGGAUAAGUACAAGGGAAGUGGAAAAAAAGGAUUAUUAAGAAAAAUAAAUAUAUUACCAAAAAAAUUAUUUAAAAUUUUGUUCAUGUAGAAAGAACCCGUGAAUCAGAUCGAAAAAAUUAUAUUAAAACUGCUGUAUAGCCGAAAAUUGUGUACAGAAUUUAUUUUAACAUUGUAUUAUUGAAUUUUUUAUUCAAAAAUUGCUUAACGUGAGAUAGAAAUUAAAAAAUCAUUAGUAAUUUUGUCCGAAAGUUGUUAUAUUUCAUGUGUUUUAAAAAUAGAUGUAAUUUAUUCCUAUUUGCAUUUUUAACGUACAUUUAAUUAAAUAACCCAAAAAGUUAUUGAGUUCACAUCAUCUAUGGAGUCUACCUCUCUUUGCUUUUGUUGCUUCCAAAAAUACCAUACUCCCAUAUUUUUUUGGUUCUACUCAUUUUACUUUAUUUUUUUCAUUCCAUUCAUUCCACGUGAAGUCUUCAAUCCUAAUAACAUUUACUAUAUUACAAUUAAGUUUAAUUUUUAAAAAACUUAAUUAGGGUUAAAUUUCCUUUGAGAGAACUUCAUUACAAUUAUUUGAGUUGUACGUUAAGUUUCAUUUAAAAAUAACUUAUUUAAAAAGAUGUUAAGCUUCCCCUAUUUUAUUUAUAAAGUUUAAUAUCUAUUUGAUUUUAUAUUUGAAAUCCAACUAAAACCUAAUAACGAAUUGUUGUAAAAAAACUCCAAUCAAAAUACUAACAAAAAUUAAAACAUAAAACUCUGAUAAAAAAUUGUUAAAAAAUCCAACAAAAAAACAAUCAUAAAAAACCCUAAUCAAAAACAUCAUGGAAGUUUAAAUGAAAUUGCCAAAAAAUAAAAAGUAUAGAAAACCCUAACAAAAAAACAACACCAAAACACCUGACAAAAAACAAUUACAAAUUCUAGCACAAAAACCCCCAAUUAAAAAUAUCUAUAAAGAAAAACCUAAAAAAAACCAAUUAUAAAACCUCCAACAAAAAAUAAAGAGAAAGAUGAAGAAUAUGAAAAAUUUUGAAGAAGAAAGAAACAUGAGAGAACUAUCAUUGAUCUUUAUUUGUUAAUCUUUGUUAUAUGUUUGAACUUCACUAGAAAAUGAGAGAGAGAGCAUAAACCUAAAGAGAGAAAGAGCUGAAAAUGAGAGGAGAAAUGAAUCACAAUGAGGGGAAUGACAAUUUGAGGAAAUAUAGAAGGGUUAAAUCAUUUGAACUAGGUUAACGUUUUUAUUAAAAAAAAAGAGUAAUGAAGGUCCUUGUUCUAAUUUCAAGAGUAUGUCUGUUAAUUACCAAAUGUGGCAACUCUAAAUAAAAUCCUUUGUUAUCAACUAAAACUAAAAGUCCCAUUACAUCAUAUCCAACUUUCAUUUGUUAUCAACAAAGUAAAACUAUAUACAACUAUUAUCACCAUCUCUCCUAUUUUGAUGUUAUUUUCUUAGAUGAAUUUGUAAAUCAAAAUUUACACCACCCAUAAAUUUUUUGAGCUUCCUAUUUAACACAACUUCAAUUUGUUAUACUUUGAACAUCACAAAGAUAAAGUAAUCAACAUUUUGCUUGGACAAGUUUUUCUUCUCUAAAGUUUAGAGUCCUAUUUCACUUCCCGUUUAUGGGUUGUUAGUUCAUCUAAUAUCUCACCAUCAUCCAUUCCAUGUACUGUGUUUCCGAAAUGAGUUGAUUCCACAUCCUAAAUGUCUGUGCAAAUUAAUAAGGAAUGUCGAGUUACCAAUUUUCUUAAAAGCUUAAUCUUGCAAGAUUUGGAUUCAAAAUGCAUAUCAUGCUCUCUUUAACACCCCUCCCCCCUCUCACAUGUAGCCCUAUACCCACACGUAGAGAAAUAGACUUAUAGGAAAAUUGGUAGUUUAAUAUAGUAUCAGCACUUGGUUUGGUGGGAGGUCUCCUGUUUGAGUCACCUCUCCACAAUUUACAUUUCUCCUAUUUGUUUAAUUUACAGUUCUUCCCUUAAUCUGUAAUUCUUUGGAUAUAAAUUUUCCCCCUAAUUUGUAGUUUUGUGGAUAUGAAUCUCUCUUCCAUGUUCAGGUAUGGGGCCACACAUAAGAGAGGGUGUUAAAGAGCAUGAUAUGCAUAUUAAACCCAAAUCCUAUAAGUUAAAACUUUUAGGAAAAUUGGUAGUUUAACGCUUUUAGGAAAAUUGGUAGUUCAACAUGUGUACACCCCAUUUUGGGGACUGCUAUUGCUCCCACUUCUUUUUGUCAAAUGGUGGAGCUUUUUAGGAGCACAUGUUGUAUUUGGAAAGGCUAUUAGAAAAUGGCAACAUGACUGUUAAUGGAAGUAAUGAUUUUCUAAAAAGGCAACCAUGGGAAGACACAUAACAAAGAUGUUUGGGGAGGAGGGAGAGUGUGCAUCAAGACUACUCAUGAGGGGUAAGAAACAAAAAAAAAAAAGUGUCGAAGAUAACUAAAAAAUUGGAGAAACAUAAAGGAAUAAGGAUUUUAGGGCUAUGGAUGGUGAACAAGAGUGAAUUAUGGGUGUCUAGGACAGCUAGGAAUGGUGAGAGGAGUAGGGAGCUGUAGAAGGUGAUGAGCUAGGUAAGAUGUAUUUUCGAGAAAGAAAAGAACCAAAGAAAGAAGGUGGUGAAUUAAGUGAGACACGUCUCAGAGAAGCAGAGAAAGUUGGCUUGAAGCCAAGCAAACUUUUGCUUGAGAUGAGCAUUGCCUAGUAAGAUUGUUUCGAUUCAUCGAUUAUUACUGAUCAUCAUACUUCUCUUGUCUUAUAUUCAUGUGAUUAUUUUACAUUGAUUGUGGGGUUGCUUUGGUUUGGUUAUUAUGGCUUCAUCCUCUAUUUCUUUAGUUUUAUUCAAGGAUAAAUCUAAUUGUGCUUUGAUUAGUUAUUCCAUAUUUGAAAAUCUUUGUGUAUUUUGGGUUUUUUCUCUUUAGAUAUUUUCUAGAUUAAUCCACUGACCUUUAAACCCACAAAUAAAGAAAAAUGAAAUGAGUUUUUUCAUAUUUGUUGGGUGUUUGGCCCUUGUUUAUCUUUUUUUAAAGCUUUAUUCCUUUAUAUUCUCUAUUUCUCCCCAUUUUGUACAUGGGUGUUUCAAUCAGAGUCUCUAUUUUGGCUUCCACAUUUGAGAUUUCUUUUAUGAGCGAAGACCCAAAAAUGGAGACUGGCUUCUUGUAAUUGAUAAAAUAGUUAGUCACCCAUUAGCUUAGAUGAAGCAUAGAUGUUAACCGGAUUGUGAACAUGGAUACUCUAUUUUGGGCCUAUUAGGCCUUCCAAUCCUCUCUUAGUUUCAUUAUUCUUGAGGAUAGUGUUUGGUUGUGUCUGCUACUUAUUCUGUGGCUUCGGUGGUCUGUUUGUUUAUUCUUGGCUAUUAUCAAUGCUAACAAUGGGAAAGAGACUGGUUUUGGUUAUGCUCUUACGGAUUUGAAGGUGAUCAAAGGGUCCAGUGAAGAGAAGAUUAGUAGGUCAUAUUAGGUUAAUUAAUUAAUUAGGACAUGUUUUGAGUUAUAUUAAGUAAUACAAGCUCUUAGUGGGCUUAAGUAACUUAAGCCUAGUGGGGAAUGCCAUAAAUACCCCUUAGGGGUUAGCAUUUCCAUAGGUUUUUCUAGAGAGUCAUCUUUCACCUCCAAAGAAGGAGAGUCAUAGCCUUUACCAUUUUUUCCAUCAUUAUCGAAGUGUGUCAAGAUUAAGGUUUAAGUCAUUGAGCGGAAGACUCCAGGUUUAUGAGACUUCAUACAACUUCGUUUUUCAUUUUCAUCAAAUGGAAUUAAUUUGAAAACAUUUGAAUCUGAAGUAUGGUUUUUGUUAGCAUAUUUCGAAUCCCUUUAAAGUUUAAAAAUGCAAAUUUUCCACUAUGUAUAGGAUUUAAAAUCGCUUAAGAUAGUUAAACAUGUUCCCCACUUGAUCUGAAUUGGGAAACGGAGAAAUCUGAUAUUUUCCCAUCACAAGGUAGGAUAAGAACUUGUGAUUGAUCUUUAUGGAUUGGACUAAUUAAUUAAUUGGAACCUAAUUAGGCUAAUUAAUUAAUUAAGACCUAAGCAAACUAGUUUAAGUUACACAAGCCUAGGAUGGACUUAAGUGACUUAAGCCCAUGGGAAGCUUAUAUAAACUCCUUUAGGGGUUAGGGUUUCAAACUUUUAUCAUCUAGUCUUCAAUUCCUUAAAGAGAAUAGAACUCGAGCCAACAACUCUCCUAAAGGAUUCUAUUGCUCCGUGUCAAGAUUCGAAAAAAAACUAUUUGAUGGAAGGUUGUUAUGUUUAUGAGAUUCGUUAUGUUUUUUUACACCUUUUCACUAAAUGGAAUUGAUAUAGGAAUGUUCAUAUCUCAAGUGCAACACACUUAUUCUCUUUAGAUUUAUAUUGCUUAUGGUUUUUUUUUUUUUUGUCAUGGUUUUCCGUUAAGAUUAGAUUAAGAGAGCCCUAUGUCAUAGAAUGCUUCAAAUGAGCCUCCCCGGGGGUUUGUAUAGAGCCCAUGAAGCUUCUAGAGACUCCUAUACUUAGCCAUUGGUGGGAAGAGUGUGAAAGGUUCUACAGAUGUCUAGAGAUAUUUACACAUCUCUACACUAUGGUGGAAGGCAUGAGAGGAGUCUAAGGCAUUCUAAAGAAUUAUAAAGAUCUCUUAUAUAUUCUUGUACAUAGGCUUGUACAUAGAAUUGUGUAGGAAGUUAUAGAUUAUUCUUGAGCUGUAAGGAACCCUCCAAGGUUCCAGAGAGUUCCAUUGGUGCCUAUAAAUAGGUGAAUGCCUCAUUUGGCCAAGACACUAAGCAAGUGAAUUCCAAAACACUUGUAAAGCUUCCUUUGAAUAAUAAAAGUUUCAAUUCUUCAAGAGUUGCCUAUUAUGCCUUCUAAAACUUCUAAGUCAUGAGCAUCUUAACCUAACAAGUUAAGCAUUGGGAGUAAUGCUAACUUAGCAAGAUCAAGGAUCUUGACUUGUCUAAGUGUUGCACGAUCUUAGGAAAAGAUUAAGUUUGUGACAGUUGGUUUCAAAGUGUGACUACGAAGUGAGCAUAGUAAAGGAAACAUGUCGAGCUUCAACAUGGAGGAAACUAGUGAGCAAACCCGUGGGAAAGAAACCGAGCCUACUGCAUAGGACAGGGACAUGAAGGAUAAAUCUCGUAAUGCCAUAGCCAACGUGGAGGCAAGGCUAGCCAAGGUGGAGCUAGCCAUGGCAGACACCCGGGAAGGGGUGGACUUAAUCGAGCAAGGCAUGGAAAAUGGCUUAGAGGAUCUAAAUGAGCAUAUCCAAGACCUUCAUGAGAGAGUGCUAGGCUUACAAGUUCGGCCGAUGUCAUAUGAGGAGUUCAUGUCCUUCCAAAACGAGGUCAUGAGCAUGUUUGCUAGCAUGGAGUCGAAGGUGGAGGCCUUGGCUGCACGCAUAGAGGCCCAAGACCAAGAGGUUCAACAAGAGCUAGCUAUCUACAAGACUGUCUUAUCAGCACGAGUCAUGGCCACUCAUGAGGCACUAAGGGUGGAAGUGCCCAAACCACACACGUUCAAUGGCAAGAGGGAUGCCAAGGAGUUGGACAAUUUCUUGUGGCACAUGGAGCUCUACUUUGAGGUUAUAACACUAAUAGAUGAAGCCACUAAGGUAUGUACCACAACCCUCUACCUCACCAAUAAAGCUACUCUAUGGUGGCGUCAGAGGUUUGCCAAUAUAGAAAAAGAAAUGUGCACCAUAGACACAUGGGAUGCCUUUAAGCAAAAGAUCAAAAAACAAUUAUACCUUAAUGAUGUGGCUUACCUAGCAAGGAAAAACACAAAAUGUCUUAAGCACACAGACUCGAUCCGUGAGUAUGUCAAAGAAUUCUCUACACUUAUGCUUGAGAUACCCAACAUGUCUGAGGAAAAGCUACUAUUCAACUUCAUGGACAACUUGCAAAGCUGGGCCGAGCAAGAGUUAAGGAGAAGUGGUGUCCAAGACCUAGCCACGGCCAUGGCGGUAGCGAAGUCCUUGGUGGAAUACAAAAAGGGAGACUCUUUUAAGCCCAAGCCACAGUCUAAGGGUAAUCAUGCUAAAGGUGGGGAAACAAGGGAUCAAGGAGGUACACUCCUAAGGAAUGAUCAAGCAAGACCUCUGGUGGCAAGGAUGGUAAGGGUAAGGAUAAACGGAAAUAGUUCACGCCUAAGAUCAAUUGCUUCCUAUGUGAUGGUCCACAUUGGGCGCGAGACUACCUCAAAAGAAAAGCCCUAAAUGCCAUGAUCGAGGAAAAGUAGAAGGAAGACAAUGCUCAUGUGGGAUCAUUACAACUCUUAAAUGAUAUCAAGGCUAAGUCAGUGCUUAAGACACCUCAAAGUAAAAGUCUAAUGUACAUAGAAGCCCUUGUAAAUAGGAAGGCUACCAAGGCUUUGGUGGACACUAGUGUCACUCAUAACUUUGUCUCGAAGGAUAAGACAAAGAACUUAGAGCUCCAAGCAUCUAAGGAAGGAGGUUGGCUCAAGGCAAUUAAUUAAGUUUCCAAGCCAUCACACGAAGUAGCACGCAGGGUGGCAAUGCACAUUGGCUCAUGGGAAGGAAUGGUCGACUUCACAGUGGCACCCAUGGACUACUUCAAGAUGGUACUGGGAAUGAACUUCCUAUAGAAAGACAAGGUCAUGCCACUACACUUCCUACAUUUAAUGGUUAUCCUAGAGGAUGAAAAGUCAUGCAUAGUCCUUACGGUCACCGAAGGUUCACCCAAGACCCCUAUGAUAUCGGUUAUGCAAGUAAAGAAGGGAUCAAAGAGGAAAGAGGUGACCUACCUCACCACUCUUAAGGAGGAAAAUGAUGAUGAGUUGGGGGAGCCCAUGCCUAAGGAAAUCAAGAGAGUCUUUGAUGAGUUCAAGGACGUGAUGUUGCCUAAGUUGCCUAAAAGACUCCUUCCUAGAAGAGAGAAAGAUCAUAAGAUCGAGUUAGAUGCAGGAACUAAGCCCCUUGCUAUGGGGCCAUAUAGGAUGGCACAACCCAAGCUGAAAGAGCUAAGGAAACAACUUAAGGAGUUGUUGGAUGCAGGGUUUAUCCAACCAUCCAAGACUCCCUAUGGCGCACCGAUUUUAUUUCAAAAGAACCAUGAUGGGUCCCUACAGAUGUGCAUCGAUUACCAAGCACUCAAUAAGGUAACAAUAUAGAAUAAGUACCCCAUUCCACUCAUUGUUGAUCUAUUUGAUCAACUUGGUAAAGCAAGGUAUUUCACUAAGUUGGACUUGAGAUCAGGCUACUACCAAGUGAGGAUUGUGGAAGGAGACAAACUGAAGACUACAUGUGUGACCCGAUAUGGCUCAUAUGAGUUCUUAGUGAUGCUCUUCGAUCUCACCAAUGUACCAACAAUGUUUUGGACACUCAUGAAUAAGAUCUUCCAUCCCUAUUUAGACUAGUUUGUGGUGGUAUACUAAGAUGACAUAGUCAUCUACAAUAGCAUCUUAGAGGAGCACGUGGAGCAUUUAAGGAAGGUCUUCAAGAUCUUAAGGUAAAACGAGUUAUAUGUAAAGAAGAAGAAAUGCUCAUUUGUUAAAGAGGAUGUGAGCUUCCUAGGGCAUCGCAUCAAAGAUGGCAAGCUGAUGAUGGAUGACAACAAGAUGAAGGUCAUCUAGGAAUGGGAUCCACCUACUAAGGUACCUCAACUAAAGUCUUUCCUUGGCUUGGCUAACUAUUACCAGUGGUUCAUCAAGGGUUACUCUACAAAGACAGCUUCACUCACUAAUCUUCUUAAGAAGAACAAGGCAUGGGUGUGAGACAAAAGGUGGCAACAAGCCUUUGAAGAUCUAAAAAGUGUUGUGAUUGAGGAGCCAAUGUUGGCAUUACCCAACCACAUGAAGGUUUUUAAGAUACACACAGAUGCCUCAAACUUUGCUAUUAGGGAAGUUCUGAUAAGAUAGACAUCUAAUCGCCUUCAAGAGUUGCAAGCUAAAUGACAUAGAGAGACGCUACAUGGUACAAGAAAAUGAUAUGACUGUCAUUGUCUAUUACUUGCACACCUGAAGACACUAUCUUCUAGGGUCUCACUUCAUAGUGAAAACCGACAAUGUUGUCAUUAGUUACUUCUAAACACAGAAAAGUCCUAAGUAAGCUAGGUGGCAAGACUUUCUGGUUGAGUUUGACGAUGCGCUGGAGUAUAAGACAAAAAGUACUAAUCAUGUGAAUGACGCCCUAAGCCGUAAUGUAGAGCUAGCAUUCAUGACGAGCCAGCCCCAAUGAGACAUAAUAGAUCUUCUAAGAGAGGGGUUGCAACAUGAUCUAGUGGCUAAGAGCCUUAUUACCUUGGCCCAUGAGGGAAAAACUAAGUGUUUUUAGGUAGAGGACGACCUACUCUACACUAAGGGGAGACUACUCUACGUGCUUAAGUGGGGGAACAUAAGGUAGAACUUGAUUAAGGAGUGCCAUGACACCAAGUGGGUUGGGCACCUUGGGCAACGACGCAUAAAGAGCACUACUCGAGUCAGCUUACUACUGAUCUUAGAUACAAGAUGAAGUUGAGGCAUAUGUGAGGACUUGUCUUGUGUGCUAACAAGACAAGGUAAAACAACAACAACCUAGAGGCUUGUUGGAGCCACUACCUAUAGCAGAGCGUCCAUGGGAGAGCAUCACCAUGGACUUCAUCAUCGGGCUACCUAAGUUGGAGGGCUAUGGCUCGAUCAUAGUGGUAGUGGAUAUGUUCUCUAAGUAUGUGACCUUCAUAGUAGCCUCUACUGACUGUACUGCAAAGGAGACAGCAAGGCUAUUCUUGAAACACAUGGUCAAAUACUGGGGGUCGCCUAAUUACAUCAUCAGUGAUCGCGAUUUGCAUUUCACUAGGAAGUUUUGGACAAAGCUCUUUAAGCUUAUGGGUUUGAAGCUUCACUUCUUCACAAGCUUUUCACCCGUAAACAGAUAGGCAGAUUGAGAGGGUGAACGCCUUAUUAGAGUUAUACUUAUCCUUCAUGAGUGUCAACCAAAAGGAAUGGACUAAGUUGCUAGAUGUAAUCCAAUUUUCAUACAACUUGCAAAGAAGUGAGACAACCAACAAGAGCCCGUUCAAGCUAGCCAUAGGGCAGCAACCAUUGACUCCUCACACACUACCAAUAGGCUAUACGAAGAGAAGUUCAGCGGCUUUGAAGUUCACUAAGGGGUGACACGAGCCAACUGACAUAAUAGCUCAUACUUGGAUAGGGCCGCUAGAAAGAUGAAGAAGUGGGCUGACAAAAAGCGACAUCACACUGAGUACAAGGUCGGAGACAUGGUCUUUGUCAAGCUCCUUCCUAAAAAAUUCAAGUCACUAAGGCCGGUACAUAAAGGCCUUAUGAUGAGGUAUAAAGGACAUUUCCCCAUACUUGGAAAGGUCGGCAAGGUGUCCUAUAGAGUUGAGUUACCACCGAGGUUGAAGAUUCAUAUCGUCUUCCACGUAAGUUACAUAAAAUCAUAUCACGAAGACAAGAAUUAUCCAAGCCAAGGGAUGUCCUAGAUGACACCUACAUCGAUUAUGACCUUCUAUGACAAGGAAGUAGAACACAUCAUUGCAGGCUGAGUCAUCAAGAGAUGAGGCGUGCCUCCUGCUACGGAGUACUUGGUGAAAUGGAAGGGACUACCAGAGAACGAGACUAGCUGGGAGCCAAUAGAUGCACUAUGGCAAUUUCAGGAGCACAUUAAGUGGUUCUAGGUGGAAGGUGCGACAAGGACGUUUACGGUUUAGGUAGGGGAGAGUGUCAUAGAAUGCUUCAAAUGAGCCUCCCCAGGGGUUUAUAUAGAGCCUAAGAAGCUUUUGGAGACUCCUACACUUAGUCAUUGGUGGGAAAAUGGUGGAAGGUUCUAAAGAUGUCUAAAGAUAUCCACACAUCUCUACACUAUGGUGGAAGGUAUGAGAGAAGUCCAAGGCUUUCUAGAAAAUUCUAGAGAUCUCUUGUAUAUUCUUGUACAUAGGCUUGUACAUAGAAUUGUGUAGGAAGUUUUAGAUUAUUCUUGAGUUGUAAGGAACCCUCCAAGAUUCCAAAGAGUUUCAUUGGUGCCUAUAAAUAGGUGAAGGCCUCAUUUGGCCAAGGCACCAAGCAAGUGAGUUCCAAAGCACUUGUAAAGCUUCUUUUAAGUAAUAAAAGCUUCCAUCCUUCAAGAUUUAUCUACUACGCCUUAUAAAGCUUUCAAGUUGUGAGCAUCUUAACCUAGCAAGCUGAGCAUUGGGAGCAAAACUGACUUAGCAAGAUCAAGGGUCUUGACUUGUCUAAGUGUCGCACGAGCUUAGGAAAAGACUAAGUUCAUGACACCUAGGACUAGUAGCAUGCACCCUAAGUAAUCCAAGGCUAGAAAUGAAAUGAUACAAGGAUUCCCAACACUUGACUUAAUUCCUUAGAAAUUGAAACUCAAUAAAAAACAUUAGUGUCAUUAACCUCAUUUUUUUUAUUACCAAUACUUAAUUAGGGGAAACCUUGAGCUAACAACCUCCUCAUUUUUUAUGAUGAUAAAACUGUACCAUCUAAAGAAAGCUUUCCUUAAUGUAUGCAUAUUAUAAGCAAUUUAAACAUUCAUCAUAAAAGAUGGAAAACAUAAACUCAAAUGGAGACAUGGAUAUAUAGAUAUAAGAGACAUCAUAAAGGUUGCAACAUGAUCGUAUAUCCGAAAUAGCAUCCAAAAGCAUGUCAUCCAAAAAAAAAUCAACCAUAAUAACCAUGUUCAAAUUGUCCCAAAAAGGAAAAAAAUAUAUAUAUGAAACAAAAAGUAUUAAAUAGUUUACUAAAUGUUAUGCCCUAGAUACCUAAAGAUAUCUCCCCCUUAGGCAACAUCGAAACAAUGAGGGAACUAUAUGGCUCAAGGUUGAGGUGGUGGAAACAAGGAACAUAGGACAGCUAUUGAAGAAGCUAAAAUUCUUCAUAAAUGAUUGAAUUUUAUUUCACCAUGAGAAACAAUACAAAGAGGGAUUUUUUUUUUUUUUUUUUUUUUUUUAUCAAGGGGAAGACCCCUUUCUCUUUACUACUUAUCCCUUUUAAUAAAAAUUCUUCCACAUUUUUCCACUUUAUUUUGCCAACAUUCUUUCAACCCCUUUUGCACAAAAAUGCCAAAGAUAGUAUUAGGAUAACCUUUUACAACCAUUGCUAACUUUUGACACAAGUUGCUAAAAAUUGUUGAAGAUUUGCUUUUAAUGUCAGGUAGGAUAGCAGAUUGGUUCUAAUUGAAGGUCAUUUCUUGUGGAGGACCUUACUUAUAAGUGAGAUGAUUGUUCCUAUCUUCAUGGUUUUAUGUUGUAUAGUUAUAGAGACUUUUUAGAGGCUAUCAGCUUUAGAGCAAAUUUAUGUUGUUUGUUAGGGAUUAAGUAUUUUAUUCAAAUUGGGUGAAUGGUACUACCUCUUUACUUGAGAUGGCUUUGAGAUUGGGUGGUUGAAUAGUAGUACUUUGGAAUGGUCUAGUUUUUGUUCGCUUUAGCUAUCAUUUUCUUAUGCUGUGUCUAUAGACGAGUGGAGACGUCAUUUGGAAAUUGGUCAAAUUGCCCGUGAAAUUGAUCAAAUUGUCAAGUUGUCAUCCUAAAAUUGACUAAACCUAGUUUGUAAAAAUGAGAAACGACCGUCACUAGCGACUAACAUCUUCUCAAGCUAAGUAUUAAUAGAUCCAAUCUGAGCAUAAAGGGCAUCUUAAUGUUGCAGGUUCAAUGCUCAUGAAGCAUAAUAUUUUGGAUACUUGGUGUGAGACACCUCAGCAUAAGUCUAAUCCAUAAGGAUAGUCUCCUCAGGAGGUUGAGAUGUGGGCAAUUGAAUGGUGGCAUCCAUGCCCUUGGUUUGCAUCUCCUGUUGAACAUCCUCACCCCCUAAUCCUUUAUGGUCACCCUCAGUCUCUAUCUAUAGAAUCUCUGCCUCUUACUCAACCCGGUCUUCAUUCAUAGCAGGACCCUUUCUUUUUCUUUCCAAUGAUCCAUUAGGCAAUUUCUCAAACAGCAUUCGGUCUGGAUUUUACGUUAUAGGUAUCAUAGGAUGAGGCCUGAAUGUUUUUUUCUCUUCUUAUGUCCACAUUGAAUGCUUUCAGGAUUUUUGUGAUCAGUCUUCUUCCGUUGGCCACUACUUUAGAAUUGCUUUUACAACAGUUUUUCAUGUGUUGAAAGAUGAUAAGGAAACCUUAGAAUGGAUCGGAGUCAAUAGAAAAUGCUACAUAAUAGGACACCUUGUCUCUAUGUCCACCCUUAGGUAGAAAAAUAUGUUUGAUCAUGUGGUGGUGCACCCUAGAGAUAAUGCUCAAGGCAUGGGCAUGGAGCUUUGAAGUCACUGUGUCGAUGGGUAAGUUACAUAUCCUCUAGAAAGCCCUACCUAGGUUAAAACUAGACACUAUAGGCCAUCCCUUCGUCUCAAAUAAACAAAGUCCCCCACAAAGGAUCUCCAAAAUAUCACAAAGCAUAUCAAUAUUUAGUUUAAUUCAACUCCUCUAACAAAUGUGCUAAUUGGCCUUCAUAUAUUUUAGGUUCAAGUAAAAUACCUGAACAAGGUUGGGGUAUGUAGGCUCUCUUGAUGAGAUGGUAUUGGUGAGUAUUUUUUUUUCUUCAAUACAAAACUAUUACAACACUUGGUUUUUUUUUUUUCUAAAAAAAAAAGAAAAAUAAAAAUAGUUUUAUAUUAUACUUAGUUUCAAGAAAAAUAAUAAUCAAAGCAAAAUGAAAAAAAAAUUCUCAUAUUGGUUUCUCGUGAAAAAUAUAAAAGCAAAUAAAAUACAAUUAAAAUUAAUUAAAAUCUUAUGUAUUUUUAAAUUAUUAAUUUUUAUAUAAAAAAUGAAAAAUAGUAUAAUGAAUUUAGAAGAAUAUAUAAAAAUAAUGUAUUAACUUUAAAUCUUUUUUUCUUUAUAUAUAUAUUUUCCCUUCAAUUUUCUAAUACCAACACAUAAUAAGGUUAAUGUCUUCUAGCCAACCAAUUGUAAGUCAAUUUUCAUAGAGCUUUUUUUUUUUUUUUUUUUUACAUGCCACCAAGUAGUUAUAUAAGCAUUUUUGCAUGUUAUUGUUAUCCAACAUACAAUAACUAUAACAUCCAAUUAUUAUGAACAUGAACAAUAAAAUUAGAUGCAACUAACUAUUUAGUGUAUAACAAGAAGUUGGUGAAGUAAUUCAUCCUAACAUGAUUCAACAAUUUUUGUUUAUUUUUCAAGAUUAAUUAUAACAUACCCAUUCUAUUAAAGUUGUUGAGAUAUUUGAGCAAAACUAAAAAUCAACAUUAAUUCAUUUUAUACCCACAAGAGAAAUAAGAUUUGUUUUUUUGUUUGAUAAUAAAGUAGUUGUAGUUAUUAAUGAUAAUUUUGAUCCUAAUUUAAUAGGUAUCCAAAAAAAAAGGAAAAAUGCAAGUAAACCAAUUCUUAUCUAACACAAUUAUUACCACCUUAAAAUCCUGAGGGGUAGCUCAGUUGAUCAGUUCGAGUCCCUUUAGGACCAUGAAAAGCUUACCCGAUGGUUCACCUUAAGAAAAGCAAAGCAUUUAUAUAAUUCAACUGGUAGUUGAUAAGUCUUAGAAAGGGUUUUGCCAUCAUUGGCUUCUCAGUAAAGGGCAAAUUUGGGUUGUGGCUGACAAUUAUUGAAUUUGUGAAGAAAUAUGUGAAGAAAGGAAACAAAAAGAGUUGAGGACAGAAUUCUUCAAUUAAAAAAUGGUUAGCCCAUGAACCCAUUCUUCAAACAGUAAGCCAAUGAGCCAAUGAGCCAAAAAGAAAGAAGAACAGCUGGUUUCAUCUUUUUAUCUUAAUGACUUUGACAACCCAUCUUUCUUUUAAAUACUUGUGACUUUGGAAUAUAAUUAAAAUGAAACUUUGGAAUGCCCACAUCUGAUUCACGGCCUUUUUACCUGUUUUCUUGUUUAACAUUUUUUUAAAUAUUAUAACAGAUGGAAAAACAUGAUUCUAACAGGCUGGAAAAUAGUGGAAGUUGGAACACCAACCAUAACCAAACUAUACCUUCCAUCUUUCUCCAACACUCGGAAUUAUUGAUACAAGUUGGUGGUUUUAUGAUUGUUUCUAUUGAGGGGACCCCUCUCCAUUUCCAAUUUCAAUGGAAAGGUUCUUCUUUCCCUACUUUUUUUUUUUGUUUUUCAAAUUCUUGUAGUUUUGUCUGUCUCUCUCAACAAAGCAAACUGCAAUCACUAAUUCAAAGAAAAGGAAUCCUAAAUGAAAAGAAAAGAAAGGAAAGGAAUGGUAAUUUAGGCUAUGAUGAUGCUCCUAUAUAAUGGCUGUAAGUCAAUAACAACACACUGGACCCGCCUCCUAUCUCAAAAGAUCACAAACCCAAAUAUCAUAUACUUCCAAAUUUCAAUUUGGUUCCCUGUUUAUAUCACAAUCUGUCCUAUAUCCUCUUAAUACAUCUAAAAUCUCUCUAUAUCAUAAAAAUAAUGAUGGAAAAAAAAAUUAAAAAGAAAGAAGGAAAAAAUGACAAAAAAAAAAAAACCUUGGUGCUGCUAUGGGUCCAUAGGAAUUGGCAGGACUGCACUUCUGGAUCCCCUUCCAUGGCCAAAAGAAAAGAAUGAUCUUCGGAAUCUGCUGCUGCAACCUUCACUAGGGCUGAAGUCACUGACAGGCCUGUUCUGUUGCAAAAUCUCUUGAAUUGCUAAAUACAGCUGCCUGUCGUUGGAUGAGUCCAUUGAAAAAGACCUCCUGAUGGGUUGGAUUGAGAACUGAUCAUCUUUGCCUCUAGUGUCAAUGCACUCAUCACCCAUGCUUGCAACAUGAUGAAACUUCCUUGCCUUUUUAGGCACAAUUCUCUGCUCUAGCUUCCUAGGUGAUGGACUAAUUGAUGGCGCAGAUAACUCUCUGGAAUUCAGUCUUUCUGGUGGCCUAAGCAGUGAUGAAUCAGCAGAACUAUCAUUUCCCAAUUCAAUUACUACAAAAUCUUCAUCCCCUCCUAUGUAAUUAUUGGCGUAGGGGCUUGGAUCUUGGGGGGAAGAGCUAGGAGCAAUGAUUUGGUGAACAGGAAACCGGGGUGUGGUUGAAAUGCUUGUUCUGCAAAGUGGGCAAUUAGCAUUGCUUUGAAGCCACACGUCUAUGCAAUCUAUAUGAAAUAUGUGACUGCAGUUUGGUAUGAUUCUUAGCUUCUCUUCUUCUUGAAACUCAUUCAAGCAAACCGCACACUCGCAAUGGCUUCUUUCUCCAAACUCUCUGCCACCUCCUUUCCUGAACUGGAAUAUUGGGAUUGAUCUGAUGACUGACUCGUCCAGGCCUCGACUCUCGAUUGCUGGGGAGUACACCAUUAAAGGGUCUUCCGGGUGCCGACUCCUUGAGAAAGAAAAUCGUCUCAGCAGAUCAAUCCGGUGCCAAUUGAGGCAGCAUUUGAUUACAAAGAUGUAGUAGCUCACCAGCAAGAAAGCAGUGGCCAGGAUUCCUAUUACGGCAAUGGCUAUAAUGGGGAAACUGGUGUCCGAGGAAUGAGAGGGAGAAGGAAGCACUGAGCUCGCCUGGCUUUUGAUGGGAGAAAAGGCUUGUGAUCCAUGGAUGGAGGAGUCUGUGCUCACAAGAUCCAUGAGAGAGGCUAUGAAAAACAUUUAGAAAUGAGUCUAUUCGGAUCUUCAAUUCACAGAAACAUGCAAAUGCUAGAAUAAAAUCGACAGACACUCAGAUAUAGACCCUACAGUUGUAAUGCAGCAUACCAUAAAUGUGAUUGAGUGAGUGAGGCUGAAACAGCAAAUGGGUCACUUCAAGAUCUCAACAAGACAGAAAACCCAUGUUGAAUUCACCAGGAGAGUAUUGAAAAGGGAAAAAUUAAGGACAUAUAGCUGUAUUGAAAGUUGAAACAAAUGCAGAAACAUAGAGAAGAGAGAGAGAGGGAGAAAACCCAGGAGGGUUGAAUGAGAGCGCUGCUGGGGAAGACAUCAAAACGCUUCAAAUUCAAUGAGAAUCUGUUGGGGACCUCUUUAAGAGGACUGCACAAAGCCUGAGCGUAGGGUACGUGGUUGGUUGGUGAAUUUCUCGGCUUCCAAAAGAGAAAUUUGGUGAGAAAAUUUUCAAGUCUCUUGAUUAUAGUAACGUAGCGUUUAUUUUAAUUUUAUGUAACCGAAACUAAUGGGCUGGUUCAAAAAAAUAAAAAAUAAAAAAAGGAACUUUCUAGGAUAGGCCAGCAGUCCACCGUUGGUCAUGUGGUUUCUUUUGCAUGUCCACAUCUUCCAACUAGUGGAGGUCCCUGUCACAACAGUAAGAAAACACCCAAUUGAAUAAAAGUAUGAACUUUUGGCUCCCAAUAUUACUUAUGCCCUCAUUCAAUACCUCAAAUAAAGCAGAGAUUUUGUGUCCCAACUUUUAUGAUUUCAUUUCAUCUUACUUCAAAUGCUAAUGACAAAAGUCCAAGUAUAUUCUGUAAUCACCCACACCCCAAUAGUUUUGAAUCACACUUGAAAUAGUUCCCAUGCUUUCUUAAUAAUUUAGAUAAUUAUUUACAGAAAAAAAAAUUCAGAACAGGAUGAUAAUCAUUUUGUGAUAGCAUGGAAGAAACUUUACUAGCCACUUUGGCCCCAUGAAGUUGAGUACUUGAUGCCAAUUAAUGGCAGGGUGGAAAAUAGAGAAAAGGGAUCAUAGUCAAAUCUAGAGUACAAGGCAUUGAAUCUUUGUUAAUAAUUAACAAAUGGGUAAAGCAUGGGUCACAGGGUCUACAGUUUGGAUUGCAAAAACCUCAGGCUUCUAUAAAAAGCUCAUCCAUUAUCAAUCAUCAAUCUGAAAGCCAGAAAGUCCAAGGCACAUGCAACCCACGACAGGGGUAAGAUUUCUGCAUCAUGUCCCUGAGUUGCAUUCACAUCAUAUGUUUCCCUCCGGGCCGUUCCAAUUUGAAAUCUCAUGGAAAUCUUCAAGAGCAAGGCUACAGAGUUUAAGAUAAUACUAGGGGUGGGUCCUGAUGGGAAAAGAGGUAGUGUAGGAUAGUCAAUAAAGGGCAUGUGUCUCUGGUGUGAAGUCAAAUCCAGUGUACCAUCCUCAAUGGAAAAUUUAGAAAUAGAACCGACACUCUACAGACUGCCGUGUUGACAGAUUAGAGAAAGACAAACCCACUUACACUUGCCUCAAAACCCAGUCCUGCCAUUUCAAAGGCAAAAAAAAAGGGUUUCUUUUUAUAGUCAAAGGUUGAGGCCUGGCCUGGCCUAGCAAAGAAACUUCACCUACUCUUUUCUUAUUUUUCAAAUUAAGGCCAUUCAACUUUUCCUGUUUGCAGGCUUGCUGCCAUAUCUUACUCCAAAAAAGGUGAAAACCCAAAAGAAAAAGAGUGUUUGCUUCAAUGGAAAACUCAUGUUUAAUAAAUUCACCGCACGAGUUUUGUUCCAGCUUUUCCUAUGAAAGCUGUGAUGCGUUUGGUAUGAAGUUGAUUUUGUUCCUAAAAAUUUUGAUCUUGGCGUGGAAGGCAACUUUUUCCUUUUCCCCCUUUUUCUUUUUGAAAAGUUCGGCAUUAGUUACCAAAUGUCCUUUUACUUGCAUGUAGGACAGCGGAAGCAUUACACAUCGCAGCAAAAUCCCAUUUACCCGAAUUUUCCACUAACUCUUUUUAUUUUUUACCAUCAUUUUUUAAUAGAAGUGAUGCACUCUUCAAAUUACAUGAAGCUUUUAAGAAGGUAAUAACCCGUUUCAAAGCGAACUUAACCUACAGAGUAUGUUUUAAAAAUAUUUAGGUAUUUGAUAAAAUUUAAAAAAUAUUUUUUAAAAUCUUUAAAAUGAUUUGUAAUAUUGAAAAUUUAUUUAUACUUUUUUUAAUAAAAAAACAUUUUAUAGGUAAUUUUUCUAAAAUACUUUUAGAGAAAAUGUCUUCCCUUCACUAUAAAUAUUAUAUACUAUCAAAUACACUUUAAAAAUCUGUUUAACAAUAAUUUUAUAAAGUGUUUUUAAUUUUAAAAAUAUUUUUAAAAACAAAUUAAAUUUUUGAUAAAAUUUAAAAAAUCUUUUUAAAAAUUUUGAAAAAUAUCUCGUAAUAUUAAAAAAUAUAUAUAUUUAUAAUGUUUUUUAUAUAAAUACUCAAAAUUCAUUUAAUAGUGAUUUUAGGAAAUGUUUUUAAUAUUUCUAAUACUUGAAAAUUUUUUAUCAUUUAAGUAUUAAAAAUAUUAAAAACACUUUAUAAAAUCACUUUCAAAUGGACUCUUAAUGAUUUUACUAAAAACACUUUUCAUAGAAAACAUUUAUAAAAAAUAAUUAUGAAAUACACUCUAAAUUAAGUAAAAGUUGUUUUUAACAUUACCACUAUUUAUUAAUAGUGCAUUUGUUUAAAAUAUUUAUAUGAAAAAUUCAUUAGGGUGGGAUAUAAAUAUAGAAGUGUUUUUCUUUAUAUAUUUUUUAUAAUAAAAAAUGAUUUUUGAAAUUAUAAAAUUUGAAUUUAAGAAUCAUUUGAUAAUAAUUUUUGUUAAAGCACCUUUAAUACGUGGUGCUUCUAUUGAUAGCGCUUUCAUUUCUAUGAAUGGCUAUAAAUUAUAUUUGAAUAAAUUUUUUAUAAUGUAUUAUAUAAUAAAAAAAAAGUCAUUUUUAAAAAAAUUAUACAUUAAAUGAUUAUUCAAAUAGUAUUUCCUAAAUUUUAUUAAACAUUUUUUUCAAAAAAAAAAAAAAAGUUUUCAAAUACUAGAAAACGUUUUUAAUCUCUCACACGAUCACAUCCAAACAAGUCCUAAUGCUACUCCUAGAAACACUCCAAAACAAAAGUCUUCCUCUAUUAAUGUUCAUAAAAUCCACAUAUAUUCUUCCAUCGUUUUUUCAAAAUUCAAAAUCAUUUCUAAAACAUCAAAUCAUGUUCUUUGGAUUGGCUGACUUGUUUUUUGAAAAUAGAAGGCUCAUUAUUGACGUCCGUUGACUUCAUAACCCAGUCUUGAUCUCUUGAUGGAGGGCAUAAAUGUAAAUUGGACGAAACCCUAGGGUGCGCUAGAGUGUAGAGGAUGAAAGGUUGGAAAAAGGAUGAGGUGGGGGUGUAAUAAAGAGGAGGGUUGGGAGAAUGGGACAUGUGUAGGUGAAGCAUUAAAUUCAAGACUAUGCUUACCAACAACAUAUAAAUAAAUAAAUAAAUAAAUAUAGGAACAGCACAUGGGGUGAGUAGGAGACAUCAGAAGAUGUGAACAACCCCUUGUCAGUCCAAUUUGCGUCUUUUAUCUACUCUAUUAUCUAUAUCGAUUUUCGUAUUUAUUUAUUUAUUUAUUUAUUUUUACCAUUUGAUUUUGCAUGGAUGUCGAAGGGUUUAUUGGCUGCCACGUGUAGGGUUAUGGUCAAGAUCACGUGGGGUGCCUACAUGGGAGUCACGUGAGUGCAUGAGGCAGGCUUGAAUUGCAGGAGGAGCAGGAGCAGAGCAGUGGCUGUUGUCUUAAGACUUUGCUCUCUUGGUGGAACUGCAGCUUAAGCAGCAUCCACGUGUUGUCACGUGCAAUGCGAGCCAUCCACACCACCAGUUUCUUUUUAGUGAUUUUCUAAAGUCAGUUAAGGUUGCAGUCAAUACCUUCAAAUGUUGACAGAGUUAGGGAUCUUUGUUAAAUGGAUUUUAUUAAGAUAUUAGUAAGUUAAUUAAUUGAGGGUCAACAUAACAGAUGGGUCGGGUUGGGUUGAAUCUGAAUUUAAAACGAUUUAAUUUAUGUUUAAUCAAAUUUAACAUUUAACUCGAAGCACUCAACUUAAGUUUAAUUGAAUCUUAGUUUUCAAAACAUUAUUUAAAUUUGGGUCAUUUGGAUUAAAGUCAAAUGGGUUAGAUUAAUCGGGUUAUAUGGUUCAAAAUCCACUUACCUUAUUUUUUAUACAUUAAUAUUAAAAUUUAAAUAAAAAAUAUUAGAAGAAAUUUCAAACUUGGGAUUAGUUGAUUGUAGCCAUGCAUUUGGAUGUUGGUAUUCUUGUUUCUUGUCUUGUUUCCAAAUACCCUUUCAAAUCGCUUUGUUAUUCAAUAGCAUCCUCCCGAUCAUUUAAAAAUUUAAAGAGCAUUGGUAUGAUGGAGGAAUUCAGAAAUUUUAGUUGAAUAAGUAAAAUUUUUCUCUCAUAAAACCAAAUAGCCUCUAUAGCUCAGUGGUAGAGCGUCAGUCUUGUAAACUGAAGGUCUGUAGUUCGAUCCUGCAUGGAGGCAACUUUUUAUAUUUCAUGAUCCAUUAUGCUCUAGUGAUUUAGUUUUCAUUAUAAUUUUAGAUUAAAAAAUUACAUCAACAUUUGAUAAGUUGGUUAUGACUUUGAUAUAAGGAUGAAACUAUCAAUAAUAUAUAUAAAUAUUUUGACACAAAAUAUCUAAUAUAUUAAAAAAUUAAAAAAAAACUCUAAAAAACAUUAUAAAAUUAUAUAUAUAAUUUAUCAUAUUUAAUAAUAAUAUCUUCUACCCUAAUAAAAAAUAUAAAUUUUAUAAGCAUACAUUUAUUAUUACAUUGUAUUAUAUAUUAUUUUACAAGAAUAUUAUGAUAACAUGUCUAAUUUUAAAAUAUAUUUAAUAUUAAAAUUAUCAUCAAUUUUAAUUUAAAUGUAUUUAAUGAUAUCAAAUAAUAUAUAUAUAUAUAAUUUUUUAAUAUUUAUAUAUUUUUAUAUUUAAUAAAUAUAUAAAUUAUGUAAAAAAAAAAGACCUAUUAAGAAGAUUAUGUUUUUAUAUUUGGAUCAAAAUUAAGUUUUUCCGAUAAAAUAUAUGAAACUAUUGAUAAAUUAUUGAUUGAAACGUGAAAAAAAAAAUUCAAAAAAUAGAUGAGAUAUUAGUAAAAUAUCCGAAAAUAUUGAUUGAUGAAUAUAUCAUUUCAAAUUUUGCAUCAACAUCCACAUAUGUUGGAUAUAUUGGCCAAAUAUAUUUAAACCUUGUUUCCAUGAGAAGUCUUUCCUUCAACAAUUUCAAAAGGUUAAUGAGGUGGUUUCCAAGAGAUGUGUGUAGGGGUCUCCAACGGGCGGGCCGGGCCAGCGGGCUUUUUGAAAUAAGCCAAAAUGGCUUUCAAAAAAGGGAAGGGAGAGGAUUUAAACCCCUUCCUUCAUGCUUAAAUUUCAAGGUUCUAACCAAUUGAACUACAUUCCUUUAAUGUUUAUUAAUUGAGUUAGUUAUAUAUAUAUAUAAAAAUAAAGUAUAUUAUUUUUUAAAGGGGCGGGCCUACGGGCUGGGCCGGGCCGAAAGCGGGCCACGGGCCACGGGCUUUUUGGAGACCCUUGGAUGUGUGCAAUCACAUUUGGUAUUAUAGGUGACAAAGUUUGAUAAAUGAGUAAUUAUUAGGUUAACUUAUAAAAUCCGAAUUUGAUUUAAAUUGAUUCAUUUAAUAAUCCCAUUUAUUUACCCAAUUAAAACUUUAAAUUAUUUAACUUAUAUUUAAUUUAAUUAAAAUUUGUUUUUAAAUAAAUAGAUCAAUUAAAACAUAAACAUAUUUGAUUGAAACAUUAAUAAUAUAGAUUUAAAUAAGACCUAAUUCAACCUAACGAUCAAAUAGAAAUAUCUAAUUAUUAAAUAAAUUAAACAUGUUACUUGCUUAAUAAUUAUGUGACAUUUGAAUUUAUGCUUUUGAUAUAAUUAUUAUUUAUAUCAGGUUUAUAUAAUGAAAUAUCUAGACUUUGACACCAGUCAACAUUGUCCACCAAUACAGAUUGCAACUCUUAUAUGCUACAUCACAUCAUGUUGAAGGAAGAGGAUGACGUUCAUUGGCAGCAGAGCCUCCAAUCAUAAGGAGCUUGAGCAAAUUCAAUCUCAACACUGAAAUUCACUAGAAAAAAAGUUUAUUAUUGAUACUUCAUUUGUGUAAAAGCAUUAUAUUUCUUGCAUCAAUCGUAAAGCAUGACAUUCCAGUAGGUACGGAAGAGAAAAUUUGUUAUGAAUUGAAAAAUCUGUCAAGCUUAAUUUGGAGGGCCCAAAAUUGACACGUUUAAGAGCUCUAUCAUUAGCCCAAUGAUAAGAGUCCAUUUCUUGAGUUUCAAGGAAGGCCCAAGUUUAACUUAGAGGGCCCAAUCUUGGUACCUUCUAAAAGGUGCAAACUUUGGCCCAAUUAUAAAAGCUUAUCCUUGCUUCCUAAGCAUCAAUGAUAUAUUUGAUCGAAGUAUUCACAUAACUAUCACGAAAUGAAAUGAAAUGAAAAUGUAUAAGUAAAUGAUGAUUUUGAGUUAUUUACUGACAAUAAAGAAUUAGGUGGUGUUUGUUUUUUUUUUUUUGGCUUUUUACUAAAAGCAAUUUGUUUUCAGAAUUUAGGUUAUUUAUUUUUCUAUUUUUUCAUGACUUAUUAUAAACUUUUUACUAAAUAAGAAAAUCCAAAAUAUAUAGUUUUUUCUAAAUAGAAAAAAUAACAUAUUGGUUUUCUUUUUUUUUUACUUUUUAAUAUUUAAUAGAAAUAAAAUAUUAUAAAAACAAACAACCUAAUAUUUAACACUAUUAAGUAUUAAGGUUUUAUUUAGAAUUAAGUAAAAAAACAAACACUACCUUAAAAUGAAAAGUAUGUAUAAUGACCUUAUACAAAAAAAGUCUCAUUAUUUUCUUCCAAAGAACUCAUACUUUUGUUUUUCAACUAUUACUUUGUUUUUAUUUUUUAAAUAAUAUUUCAAGUUUUUUUUAAUAAUACCUUUCUCUUUAUUAGAUAAUUUUAAUGACUUUAAAAGUAUUUUAAUAUAUUAAUUUAUUAUAUAAUUUUAAUGAUUUAAAAAUAUUUAAAUGUUGAAAUAUUUAUUUUCAAGUCUAAUUUUAAUUAUUUAUUUUUUGAAGUAUUUAAAUAUAUAAUAAAUGUGGGAUUAUGUAAAUCUAGUUGUAAUUAUUUAUUUCAUUCUAUUCAUGUUUUUAGUUGAAUUUGCUCAAAAUUUACACCUCUUUAUUUAAAGAUCAUGGAUUAGUUAGGUGUCUUGAGAUUUUUUUUCUCUCAAGACACUACUUGUUACACUAGAAAAUAAUUUGUGGCUAUAUUUUUUAGGCAAAAAGAAUUAUAUGUUAAAACUUCCUUUAUUGACUAGUUUAUCAUAGGGUGUAGAGGAAAGUUUGUGAUGUCUUUUUAUGUCAACUUUGGGAGAAAAAUAUCACUUUAGCAUUUUCCUUAGAAAAUUUUCAUACAUAAUUGAUUUUGGAACUAUGGAGGAGCAUAAGUAGGGAUAGAUAAUUCGAUUUUGGAAAAAUUAUAAUAGCUUUUCAACUUGGUGUUAAUGAUAUAUUGUUUAUUUCUUAUUUUUUUUCCAUUUUAAUAUAUAAUUGGGGAUUUUAAACUUGUAGAACAAGGCUUUUUCAAUUGAAUUGACACGUACAUAUGAAAGUUCUCUUUGGUUGCUAAUCACAUUUUUUUUUCUUUUGCUUUUUGUUUUUAUCAUAAUGAAUAUUGAACUCGAAAUUCAGUUUUUAAAAUCUUAUGAUGUUUUAAAGUUUAUAAAUAUUAUUGAUUUUUAUAAAUGAUGUUAUUCAUAUCUUGGUAAAGACAAUAUUUUCAUAUCGGUCAAGAUGAUUAAUAACAUAUAAGUUCAUAAAGAAAAACCUAUUGAUUAAUGGAUAUUUAAUGAUUUUUAUUAGGAAUGUUUUUUAAUUAGUUUCAAUACUCAUCUUUUAGAGCAUACAUAUAGGGUUUUAGAUGCUACAUUGGUUUUCAGCUUGUGAUUUAAAUUAUUGAAGCAAAAAAUGAGGGUUUUGCUUUAUGGAACUAUCUAAAGGGAGGUGAAUUAGGCGGUCUUCCUUUUUAAAAUCCAAAAAUUAGAUUUUUAAUACUUAUAUUAGUUAUACAUGUGUUCAAUAAUUAAAACAAAGAACAAGUCCAUAAUUUACAUGUGAUGUGCAUGGAAAAACACCUACAAAUUCUCUCAAAUACUUUACAAAUGAAAAAAAAAUCAAGGAUCGAUCAAUCACAGAGCAACUUCACUAAAUAUGAAAACAUGACUAUACAAUUUUACUUGGAUGAGGUGCUACCUUCUCUUAAGGGUUUUUACACUAGCCAACAAUUACACUCACCUUCACUCUCACCAUGCACCUCUAUUGUGCUCCAUAGUAAACACUUUAAUGACUGUAGCAAGAUUGCGAUAAAUUACUGCGAUUAAUUUGAGAGUGUUGAUAAUGAACAAAAAAUAAUGAUAAUUAACUAGAGAGCAUAUGAUUUUGUAAAAACACCAAAAAGAGGCAUAGUUAUAAGUGAAAACUUUAAUGGAUUGGAUUGAAUAUAUAAUUGAAGUAUGAAUGAAAAAUUACCAAAACAAUGUUCAAAACCGUGCUAAUCAAAGCACAAUCACUUGAGUACUCUCAUGGGGCACUUGAAUGCUCCUUUUAAUCACCGUAAUGCUGAAAUUAAUAAUUUGUCUCAAAUUGUUUUUCCAAAACAUAAAGCAAAAUAUUAUAAAUUUAUAUAAUCAAACCCAAUUUCAUCUUAAAGCUAGCCUACUUAGUCUUAAUUCAUGUCCAAAAAUACUCAUACUUGUCAAAGAAUGAAUAUGGUAUAAACAAAUUCUUUAUUUUCAAUUAUAUUCAAUUAUUGAAAGAAUAAAUCGGUUUACAUACAUUUUGAACAAAGGUAUAUACACAUAGACUAAAUCAAGGAAAUGAGGAAAUCAAUCACAAUCAAAUCAAAAUCAAAUGAUAGGUUGAUAUCUAGGAGAAGGUUAAGUUAGAACCAACUCAUGUAUUCAAUAUUCCCCCUUAAGAUGGCAUAUGGAGAUCAUGAAUAUCAAACCUAGAAAGUAAGGGAUAUGAAAUAUCUAUACCAAGGGAUUUUAUGAAAUAUCAACCAAUUGUUGUUGUGAUUAAACAAAUUGAAUAAGAAUAAUUUCAUUUCGAAUCUUUUCAUAGAUCAAGUGACAAUCAAUUUCAACGUGUUUAUUCUGUUCAUGGAAAAUUAGAUUAAUAGCAAUGUAUAGAGUUGUAUUAUUGUCACAAUAUAGAUGCAUUGACCAAGGAUGAUGAACUCCAAAAUCUAUAAGUAAAUAUUGCAACCAAUGCAAGUAGUAAUCAUUAAAUAAUAUUUCACUUUUCUUCAUGAGUGUUAUAUCAUUGAUUGCUUUUUAGAUCUUCAAGAGAUUGAUAGGCCACCAAGUAAAAUACAAUACCCUAUAAUUGAACAUCAAGAUUAUGCACAAUAGGCAUGGAGGAAGGCAAAAGAAUUCCUUGACCUAGACGAUUUUUUAAAUAGUAUAACACUCAUGUACUUGUGAGAUAAUUGAGACUACAUUGGCUUGUCAAGAAUUUGAACAUAAUUAGCAAUAUUAAGCCCUAUCAUUAUGAGUCAAAGUAACUUCCCAAUCAAAUGCCUAUAAUAAGAAGCAUCCAACAAAGGUUCUCUAUCUAAUUUACUCAAUUCCAAAUUUUGUUUCCUAGGAGUUUUUAAAGUUACAUGUUCCAAGAAAACCAAAAUCUUUUAGUACUUCUAGAGCAUGUUUUCAAUAACUUAAAUAAAUCUCAUUCUUAAAAUAUGUCAUUUCAAUGAUGAUGAAGUACUUUAAUUUUCCAAUCUCUUAGUUAGUUUGAAAAUGCUAUAUAGGUUUUCCUUGACCACCUUAAUUCCUUUAAGAUCAUUCAUUGUAAUAAUUAUAUCAUAAAUGUAAACAAGAAUGAUUGUGAAAUAGUUAUUUGAGGCUUGAGCAAAUAAGAAGUAAUAUGUACGUCUUGGCUUGCUUGUAAACCAUAAACAUCAAUGUGAUAGAUAAUUUGGCAAACCAUCAACGUGAAGCUUGCUCAAGGCCAUAAAGGGAUUUUUUAACUUUGCAAAUCAUAUUUUUGGUUCUAGAUUUCCUACAAACUUGGUGGAAGCUGCAUGUAUACCUCUUUAUCUAAGUCUUCAUAAAGAAAAACAUCGUUGAUGUCAAGUUGGUGAAGAUGUCAAAUUCUAAUUAUACAAUAAUUAGGGGUGACAAUGUGUCUUAUCGUGUUGAGGUGAGAAAUAGUGAAAAUUUACUUAAUCCGACUAUGACCCGUUUGAUAAUCGUGUCAAAAUAACCUAACAUGAAUACAAUUAGUUUAUUUCAUGUAACAUGACCCUUUUAACAUGUUUAAUAAAUAUAUUAACUUGGAUUAUGUAUUAAUUGACAUGAAUAACUCAUUAACUUGAUUUCAACCCCUUAAACUCAUUAACACAAUUCCAACCCAAUAAACUCGUUAAUAUGAUUUAACUCAUUAAACUUGUUAAUAGGAUUAUAACCUCUUUAACCUAUUUAAAAUUUUAAAUUUAUAAAUAAUAAAAUACUUCUAGAAAGUUUAAUUUUUAAAAUUUGAACUAUAAUACAUGUAUGCACCAAUUUCAUGAAGUCCUGAAAAAUUAGCAAAAUUAUAGAAAAAUAAUAUAAACAAAAAUUUGUAUUAAAAUUAAUAAGUAUGGGCUACAAUAUUAGUCAUAGUACUGCUUAUUUCUGAAUGACUUUAUUAAAAAGCGAAGAAUACAUGUGUAGUUCUUAUGUGAUUUCUUAAACUUGUAAGGCGAUUUUAUAAAGUUUUUUUUUUCUUUGUGAAACCUCUUUUUCUAUGUGAAAUUGUUUUGCCGAUUUGAAAUCUUCAUUAAAGGAAGUUACUAUUAUUUAUAAUUGAAAUUAGAGAAUGAAAUGUGGAAUCCCCAUGAUUUAGUUGCUUAAUUCAAGGAAUUUGAUUAAUUGAUUUUGGUAACUUGUCUCAUAAAAUUUUCUAACAAGAAUAUUUAUUUUUAAUCUCUUUUAUUUCAAUUGGAAUAUUUGUUUCCUUUGUAAAUUUGUCAAUAGAAUAUUUAUUUAUUUAUUUAAUUCUCUUUUGACUACAAUGAGAAGAUUUGAUUUUGUUUGUAAGACUAAAUUUUAUAACCUUUCAAAUUUGGCCAAGUGACACCUUUUGAAUAUAUGUCACAUGUCAAAUGUGUGUGACUCAUUAGUUGUUGAACCUAAAUUUUCUUGAAUUAGAAAGCUAUACUUUUGAAGACUAAUUUAGUGAUAAUUUAAUUCAUUAAAUUUUUUUGGUGUCUACAGUAUAUUUAUAAUAUGAAAAGUAAAUUAAAAUUUUAAUUUUUUUACUUGUUUAUUAUUUUAUUUAUUAUUUAAUGAUAAAUAUUUUUAUUCUUUAUUGAAAUAUAUAAAAUUUUAAUUAAUAUUUUAAUUUUUUUAAUUUCUAUAUAUAAAAUAUAUAGAUUUAUAUGGUCUAAUUGAGUCAUUAAAAUAAAUAGGGUAAAUAACUCACACAUAAGUGAUGGAUCAUUCUAACAUGAUUAAAUUAACAAGUUAGAUGAAUUGAGUAGUCAAAUACAAACAUGAUUUGUUUAUUAAAUAAGUUAUAUGAAUUGAUACGAUUAUGACAUCAACUCAAUUAAACUUAACUCAAAUAAGCUUUGUCUUUUAUUUUAAGUUGUCUAGUUGUUCACACAAAUUUUCUCAAAAUAAAGAAAUUAUAUAUAAAAUUGUAAAUUUGAUUAUUUGAGGGGACCAUUUUCAAUACUCUUUUUUAAGUAAUCUGGUGUUUAAUUUUGAAUCAAAGGGGCUUUCAUUAACAAAUAAUAGACUGUAGUUUUCAUAUAAGAAGAAAUCUCAAGCCUUUUUUUCUUGAAGGAAUCUUUAAAUUUUCUUUGAUACUUUAAAAAAUCAAUCUUCUUUGAUUUUUUAAGAAAUCUUUGAAUUUUCUUAAAGUCUUCAAAAAAAAAAAAAAAAAAAAAACUGAGUUUAAGGAAUUUUUUUAAUAACUCUCCAAAUUUCUUUGAUAUUCCAAAGUGUCCUUUAGAAGGGGACAAAUCCUCUAUUUACAGGAUUGAGAGUUUUAUUUUAAUAUUAUCUCUUAAUUUUUAAGAAAUAACUCUCUUAUUUAUGAUAAUUACUAUUUAUUUUAUUUAUCAUAAUUAGUUGCCUAUGAUAAUUAUCAUAAUUAAUUUUUCUAGAGAUAAAUAAUUAUAUAUAUUUAAUUAAUCAUGAUAACUAUAAUAUUUAUUUAAUUUUUUAUUAAAUUAUUUUACAUAACAUAUCAAUAUAUAUUAUUAGUCAAUUAUUAACACCGAAAAUUAAUGAGUUGGCAUAAAAUUUAUCUCUCUAUAAUAGUAUCAAAGCGAGCCUUAAUAAUAACAUUGCUUAUAGUCAAUUUCACAUGCCAACUUUUUACUGGGCAUUGGCGAUUUCAAUUUUGAUAGUCCGGUUAGAAAAAGUAGGUAAAGAUUAUUUGAUGUGGUAGGUCAUUUCUUUCAUAAAGACGAUGGCGGUGAAUUCAUGAGACAGGUGAUAAAGGAGAGAUUCUUUCUUUUGGCUUUGGAAUUUUAAUGAGGUCCUCGAUCCUCAUCCAAAAUACACCUCUCCAAUUAUAAAAAUCUUAUUAAAAAAAAAAAGAUUUGACAUGUGCCUUUCGAACUGCUGGUUUUCUGUUCCAAAAAUGAGAAUGGUUUCAAGUGGAUGAAGGAAGGUGAAGAACCCUUGGUUUUGUUAAGCGAAAAGCCACAUGAUUAAAUAAACAUAAGGCGGCAAAGGCUGAAAAUUUAAAAUUAUACUAAGGAACCCACCCCACAGGGCGACUACACUUUUGGUGAAGCCACGAGAAUGAAAGAUAUCGAAGGUGACACCAAGACAUUAAGCAGCACCAAGGUUUCGAUAUAUUAUAAGAUGGGAUCUUAUGAAAGACGAUCUCUAAUCUCUCUCCAAUCUCUUCUUUAACCUUUUCUUACUUAAAUCCAUUUCCAUGGUAGGGCACAUGUCCAGCUGACCCUACCCCCUCACCUACCUAUACUGCUAUACCCUUUUGUAUAAUUUGAUAUGGAUUGGAAGCCACCCCAACAUCUUUCUAAUUGCUCGUAAAUGUUGAGGUGCCUUUCCAUUUUGAGGCUGCCCUAAUGUGUGGCUGAAGUACGUAGGAAAAAAAAAUUGUGAUACAUGCACUGACGAAUCAAAUCCCAAUGUCAAAUUAUUAGACUCACCUGGUUCUUAAAUUAUUGUGAAUGCCGCUGGCCAUGGAUAAAUGGAAUUAGUGCGUGGCUUAAUGAAAAUUUAUUUUGAAAGGGAUAUUAAUUUGAGAGAAUUUUGGCUGAUACUUGGAGUUGAACGUAAGCAUAUAUGACCUCAUUUCGGGUGUGAUAUUGUGCUUAUAACGAACCUUUCGUUCUUUCCAAUUCCAGUGGGUAUUAAAUAAUUAAAGAAUUCAUGGUUCGAAGGCGAAAGGUAGAAGACCAAAAAGGGAUUACAAAGCCAUCGGCUUGACCAUCCAGAUGCAAUGGAUACAAACUUUGGACUCUAUCGAAAGUUCUUUGGGCACGUGCCCAAGUGUCCUACCCAUAUGAUAAGUUACACGUGGCUAAUUGCGGACCGGUUGCUCGUGCUAAACAGGGUACUUUUUCUACGCAUAUAAGAUGUUUCACUAGUGGGGCUUCACCAUGCAAACUCAUGGAUGAAGACCCUGAGGCCAAGAUGAAGGAACAGAAAGAAGGCGGAGGAGAGGUUCGGUAUCGAGGCGUUCGGAGGCGGCCAUGGGGGAAGUUUGCUGCGGAGAUACGUGACUCGACUAGGCAUGGAGCGCGCGUCUGGCUCGGGACUUUCAAUUCUGCGGAGGAGGCUGCAAGAGCAUAUGACCGAGCUGCUUAUGCCAUGAGGGGUUCCUUGGCGAUUCUCAACUUCCCUAAUGAGUAUCAUACACCCGGCACGGCUAGCUCUUCAGCUUCAUCCUCAAUGCCCGAAGGUGAUCAGCAGGGAAAACAAGUCAUUGAAUUGGAGUACUUGGAUGAUAAGCUGCUAGAGGAUCUUCUCGACUCUGAAGACAAAAAGAACAAGAAAACCUGAAGUUUCUGCUGCCUCGAAUCCCCUGAAAUCUAGUGCUUCAUCGAAAAAAAAUCCCCUCGCUCCUGAUUAACAACAUUUUUAUUUUAGUCAAUGAAUGUGUUCUCGGAUCAUUAUAAGUAUUUCUGCCGAAGUCCAUUGAUUUUUGGAGACUGAAAAAUGUCAGAAAAAUUGGUGCGAACAGGUUUACUCCUUUCUAAAUUAUGCAAUUGAAGUAUUUGGAUUAGUGCGCAGUGUAAACAUCAAGGAAAGCAUGAUCCACUAUUUUAAGGAGCCUAAGUGCUUUCCCCUUUACUCUUUUAGGAUGUCUUUUCAGUGAAGAAAGUUGGGAGACCACCACUUACCCUUUUGAUUGGUAUAUAACUGCCAACUAAUAACUGGACUAACAUUUGGCCCGUCUGGCCCUACUUCUUUGACUUUGUUGUUAAUUUAUAACUUUAUGUGAAGUGGGGGCUGUUUGGGAAUGUGUGAAGCAAGGAUUUGAGCCGACUUCGCCUAAUCUGAUUCUCCAUAAGUGACUUCAUUUUAUCAUAUUGGUGUUUUUUUUCUUCUUCUUUUUAAAUGGCUGGGGAGGAGGGGAUUUGGGAGGGAUGCAAUGCCAUGGUUGCAUGCUGGAUUAUCCUUCCAAAUGAAACAUCCAUUUGGUUUCUAGUAACUAAUUGCAAACAAUUAAAGAGAAUAAAAUUUUAAGAUGAUUAAACAAUAAGUACCUAUGUCCAUGAAAAGGAGAGAAGUUCACUCAUGGGUGUUCAUGAAAGACAUCACAAAGAACCAUCAAUAUGAGAAGAAUCCUGAUACAAUUAACUUUCAUGCAUAAGAAAAGACGCUCAAAAAAGAAUAAUGCUUACAAGGAAAGAAUCUCACUACGAUCAACUGAAAAAAUAUUCCAAUUUAAUUGGAAAUCCUUACAUGGGAAGAAUAUCAAUAAAAUCAACUAAAAAAAUAUUUUAAUUUUAUAUCAAAAUAUUUGUGAUUUAACCCGUAUCAUUUCAUCAUGACUUCUUAUAAAUUUUGUUCCUUUUUAUCAACACCACCCCUUGAGUUGGAGCAUAAAUAUUUAUUAAGCUAACUUGAACAAGAUCUUGAGAAAUUUUGUCGCAGGAUUUGUUUGCACUUUUUUUUUUCAAAUAAAGUCAUAAUUAACUUUAAUAUGUUUAAUCAUUUCAUGAAAUACUAGAUUUUAAGCAAUGUUGAUAGCAUACUUAUGCCUGAAAGCUUUAUCCCAAAUCACAUGAGUACAUGAAGUGAUUGCAUCAUUAAUGGUAGUAUUAUUACUUUAUAUUCAACUUCUCCACUUGAUAGGAUGCAUGAAAGCAUUGUGCUUUCUUCUGUUUCAAGUAAUAAAGAUUAUCACCAAGAAAGGUGCAAUUAAUACCUAGUAACAGAGUACCUAGUGGUAGCAUGCACCUAUCCACUGAACUUGUACUCGACUCUAUGAGUGUACGUUACAUAGUCCUUUUUUCGAAGUCUAAAUGUCCCUUGAUAAAACCUUCUAAUAUUUGAGGUUUUGGUAACAUUCAUGUAUCAAUGAACAAAUUAAUUUACUAGCUAAACUUUAAAAUUAGGCAAUGUUUUUCAAUGGGUGAUCAAGAUCUUGGAAUUUUCAAUGUUGUUUGAAUAGCUUCCACACACAAGCAUAUUUUCUCCUAUUUAGGAAUAAUCCCUUUUUUGAAGGUGUGAUCUUUAUGCUCAAAAAAUAAAGAUACUCAAAAAUUUAAUAUUGACCUUCUCGUGAAGGAAAAGCUUUAUAACUAAUUUUUUUUGUGCAUUAUAUAUAUCCUCAAUAUAGACUUUAAAAAAAAAAGAAGUAACUCCCUCUACAAAGAGUGAAGAGUCAAUUAAACUUUUUUUUUUUUAAAAAAAAGGAACCAAUUACUCGUAAAAGUAAUGAUUAUUUUUACAUACCAAACUUGAGGAGAUUACUUAAGAUCACAAAAGUUUUUAUUAAAUUGCAAGCUAGAUGCAUUUGAAACGAUCGUUGAUGUCUUAGCAACACCUUAUGUAACUCAUCAAUCUUUAUGUAAAAAUGCAUUUUUAACACCCAUAUAAAAUAAUGAUCAAUCCUAAUUUAAUAGAAACAAAUGGUAAUACAUGAAUAUCAUUCAUAUUAAUGAGAAAAGUAAAUAUUGAUUUAUAAUCAACUUCUUAAGUUUGUGUCAAUGCCUUAAUCAUUAGUUUAACUUUGUCAUUCAAUGAUACCAUCAUUACGACAUUUAAUUAACUUAGAUUUGCGUAAAUCCCUUAAUCACUAGUCUAGCUUUAUGUCAUUCAAUGGUACCAUCAUUAUGGUAUUUAAUUGAUCUUAUACCCCCAAUUUGUAUACCCCAUGUUUUUCUUAAUUUACCAUACAUCACUUAACAAUGUUCCAUGCAUGGAUUUUGUUAAGUGCCUUAAGUUCCUUUUGCAUAGCCUUUCUCCAAAUUGGAUGAGGAUUGGCUUCAUUAAUGUCAUUAGACUCAUGAUAUAUGGAACUCAAACAAUUGUUAAGUGAUUUUGUAUAUAUAUAAAAAAAAAAUUGUAAUUAAUGUGGUAGGCAUAAAAAUCUCACAAAUGAGGAUUGAUUAAUUGUUAUAAUUGAGCAACAUGCUUGAGGCUUAGUCACAAUACUAGAACUUGAAGUCAGACAUUCUCUUCAAAUAAGGACGUAUAUACAUUAUAUUGGAUCUCCAUUAAACAAGUAAAGAACUAUUUAGUAGACAAUGAAACCUCAUUGAUCAAUGGUGGUAGAGAGACACAUGAUGACCAGACUAUUCCCCUGGAAAUGAGAAUAAAAAAUAUCAUUAGCCGCAAAAAUCUCAAAAAAAUUUAGAUAAUGGGAUAUAAAGAGUUUAUGAAUUUUACAAUCAUAACUCUUAUACUGGUUUAAGUGGUAGAGUAAUCAAGAACACAAAACGAGUUUGAUGAGUGGUUGAGAUAUGAACAAAGCAAAGAUUUCCAAAGACACCAAAAUCAGAAAUCUCAAUUUUUGGGCUAAGGAUUUCAAGAAGAAAUUUAAAAUUAACUACAUGACUAGAAAAUUUGUUCAUCAAGGAAAUAGAAGUAACGAUAUCAUAACAUCAUAAUUAAUCAAUAUUUUUAAUAACAUGCAUUUGGAACAUGAUAUACCGGCUUUCUAAUAAUCAAUGAUUUUUGGUUCAACCACACCAUUUUGUUUUGGGAUGCCAAUACAACAAGUUUAACGAANNNNNNNNNNNNNNNNNNNNNNNNNNNNNNNNNNNNNNNNNNNNNNNNNNNNNNNNNNNNNNNNNNNNNNNNNNNNNNNNNNNNNNNNNNNNNNNNNNNNAUGUAAGUGCCAAAUUAGGUAGUGUCGACAAUGAAAUGGAAAUUUUGGAAUAUAGAAACAACCUCAUUUUUAUGUUCUAAUAAGUAAACCUAUGUAGCAUAAGAAUAGUCAUUAAAAAAAAAGGUAACAAAAUGUUGAUUUCCAUCCUAUGGAUCAAUUAGGACACAACCCCAAGGUAAACUAAUUUGAAAGUUGCAACAAAAAUGGAAAGAGAUGAAAAAAUAAUAGAGGAAUUUAAGGUUGUUUCAAAAUUUCAAGACAUGCUAAGAAACACAUGAGAUUAUAGAUGAUUAGGUAACAACCUUGGUUAAGUAUAUUCAACAUAUAUAUCCCACGAGGAUAAAUAUCUUCACUAAACUUUUCCUAUUAUUCAAUCCCCUAAUACCAUACAAGUGAAAAAUUAAUGUCACGGUCAAAAAUUUUAAUAAGCUUCCAAAGAGAUAAUAAUUUUGGGGAAAAAAACAACCUAAGAAACCUAUGAAUUGAGAUAAUUUAGGAAAAAACUAAAUGUUCGUUAGCUCUAGAAGGGAAUUGAAGCUCAUCAUCAAUAAAGAUUGUUGCUAUCUCGAAUAAUAUCAAGUAAACCAUUAAGAUCGCUAUUAAUGGUAUGAUUAGCAGCACCAAUUAUCGACAAAAAAAUUAUUAAAAAUAUAAGAAAUGAGAGCUUUAAGAUUAUCUAAUUGAUUUGUAAACCUAGGUAAGUGAAUCAGUAUUACGUUUUGUUAAGGAAGCUUAGAUCCAAUUGGUAUCAUUCACCAAGUUAUUGGAUUAAAUUACACUAUCAAACUUUGGCUUUAAAUGAGAAUGAAGAAUCUAACCACAAUCCUUAUUGGGAUUAGAUAUGUUAUUGCAAUAAUGUUUACAAUCGGAUGAGUGCUAAUUUCUAUUGAAAUCAUGAAGCAAUCUCUGAUCAUUGGUCUUCUUUGUAGAAACAUGAGCAUUGAAUUUAAAAUUAAUAAUUGUUACUUGGGAUUCAACCUUCAUAAUCAUUGCCUGGGUUUCCUAAUCACUUUCAAGAAUUACUUAUAUAGUGAAGGCACUCGAAACUAAUCAAAUUUGUCCUCUUAUAAAGUUGUCAUAUUCAAGCUUCAGAAUAGCCAAUAAUUGAAAAACUUAUCAUACUCCGCAAUUUGUUGAAGAAUAUUUGGGUCUAUUGAAGGGGACAAUAUAGGGAAUAUUUGUCCCAUAUGCUCAAAAUGUUCAAUUAACAAAGUGUUCUGUAUGUUUAGGGAUUUGUUAGCUUUAAUUACACAAAACAUUAGCAGUUUUAGAGAAAAUUAAUUUUUUUUUGCAAUCUUAGGUUCCAUGAAAUUAAAAAGCCAAUAACAAGUCAAUAUGGCUUGAGACCCAGUCAUCAUAUUCAAAGUCAUCCAACUUAGAAGCAUUCAUUUUGCCACUAACAUGUGCUAAUUUCCAUUUUCUAUCUUUCAAGAGAAAAAGACUGCUCUUAACCAUGGCAAAUAAUUGAACCCAUUAAGAAGAUUGAGGAAAGUAUCAUAUGAGGGUUGUCAUUUUCCUCCAUGACAAAGAAAAAGCAACAGAGAAAAACUCAUAAUAUUAGAAAGAGAAUGAAAGAAAUUGAGUCAUAGAUACACACAGAAGAAUCCAAAAAUAAAGCAAUAAUACAACCACAAAUAUGAGAAGAAGCUCAAUUACAAAGAAAGGAACUCAAUACAAUCAACUAAAAAGCGUUCCGAAGUUCAUACGAAAAUAUUCAUAAUGUGAAGAUCAUUUCAUGAUUCCUACAAUUUCUUCCUUCUACCAGUCCACUCCAUACAAGGUUUGAUCAACAACUUCUUCAUUGAUUUUCUGGUCUCUCUCCGGUGUAUCAUAGAGCAUUUUUGACAUGUUUCUGCAAGAUACACUUGUUAACUUUAAGCGACAUAAGUGCAAAAAAAUAAGAUCAUGUUGUAUUGCCUGUGCUUCCACUCUGCCUUGUUUAGUACUAUUAUGGAGCAGUACUUCCAUAUAGAACCAGUGAUCUCCAGUUCAUUAUGUUGCCUUCUUUAAACUAACUUUAAUUAUCUAUACAUAUAAAACAAAGUGGUCCCAUCAAGGGGCUAAAUCAAGAAUCAAGUGGGGCGAACAGGAAACAGUGGCAUCAAUUUUUAAGUCCAUAAGCUUUAAUAAAAGGAAUAAAACCAAGGAUAUGAAUAUGUUAUUUUUUCAUUUGUUCAUGCACUGGAAGAUCUUUCCUCUUCAAGCAUUGAACCAGCAUCCUUCUGUGCAAGUUGCUGUCGGAACCUUCUAUAAUUGUCAGAAGUCUGUUUCUGAAAUAUACAGAUAAAACUUUUAGCAAGUCUUGACAUUGCUCAUCACUAGGACAUUGUACUAGGAUACCAAUUCAUCUAAUUAGGGUUAAGUUGGCAUCUCGUACACUAUUUUUUAUUUUUCCUUCAUCUUUUGUUCCCAUUUGCAGUGGAAGUGGCACUUAGAAUAUCUGAUCAUGAAGAAUUAGCUUUCGGUGAGAUGAUACUAGGUCAAUUGCCAUUAUCUUUUUGAGUUACUGUGCGAGCAAUCUUGAAAAUAUUUUGGGAUAAAUAGAAUUUGUGCUUAUCAUAAACAUGCUAAACAUCCAAAUCAAGUGCUUUUACUAUUGAUAUCAAAUCAGUAAUUGAUUUUAACCUUUAUGCUUAUCUUUCAGAUUCUCAAUUAUGUAUCUUGAAUAAUGAUAUUAAGCAGAAAUCAUGAAUUGAAUUGCUUUAAUUAACUGUGCCUUAUCAAGCUUGUCAGCAGUGCUAUUGCUACCGCGAAUCAAAUUCGCUGUGCUUCCCGCCUUCUCCAAAUAAGCCACAAGCCCAAUUAUAUCCGCCCUCCUCCCAUCUCCAAGGGAUCAAAAAAUAAAAUGACUUCAAUCAAUUUUCAAGUUUUCCAUCUUGAUCAGUAGACCACCCGGCAUGAAUGUUACCCUCAGUUUAGGAAUAGGAAUUCCUUUUACUAAUCAUUUGGCACUAAAAACUAUGACCCCUAGCAAUUCAUUCCCUCCAUUAGAUAUCUGGGGGCAUCUUGGCUCAGCCAAAAAUGAUAAGUCAUUGCAUUUCACAUUGCAUUCAUUUGUAUUAAUGAGCUAAUUUUUUUUCACAGAAUGUGAUGUGAAUCGAAUUACUUCCAACCAUGUGUCUCUAUAAGGGUUUAACAAAUGUAAUUUGCAUUGUCUGUACACUUUUUUUUCGGUUUCUUUUCUUUUUUAUGCAUGAUUCAUUAGUCCACGGAUCUUCUAUGCAAAGUGUGCAGGCCAAACACCUCCUUCAAUGCAUUAUUCUAGAAGUUAAGACUCAGUUUACUCCUUAAUUGAUCUGUUCCAUUUACUUCAAAUCAUUUGAUUACAUUAAAUGAAUCUUGAAAUUCAAAAAUGCAUCAAAGUUAAAAGACCUUCCAAUGCAUUAAGAAAUCAUCUGAUACAAAUAUAUGUGAACCUGCAACAACAAUAAUGUCAAAAUGGAAAACUUAGGUAGAAAAUAUUAGAACGGAAACUUACGACGAACUCAAUUUUUGGCGCCUUUCUUCUUCUCAUCUUCUGAUCCAAGAAGCUCUUCCAACACCGUGUCAUCCAAACACUCGAACUCAAUGACUUGCUUUUCUUGCCCAGAAGAGGAACCUCCCAUCUCUAAACUCCUACAAGGCCCAGAAGAUGACGAGGAAGACGAUGAGGAUGGUGAUGGUGGGGGGCGAUGGGAGCCCAUGAUUUCAGAAUAGUACUCAUUAGGAAAGUUAAGAAUGGCAAGAUGACCCCUUAAGUUAAAGGCCGCUCGAUCAUAGGCGCGAGCUGCAUCCUCCGCCCUGUCAAAUGUGCCUAGCCAUAGACGAGCACCUUGCCUAGACGGAUCCCUAAUCUCGGCUGCAAACUUCCCCCAUGGCCUCCUCCUCACCCCUCGGUAUCGAACUUCUUCCUUUUCCUUCCCUUCCUGCUCCUGCUUCUCAUUCCCUUUCGAAUGAUCUUCCAUGCUAAACGUGUCGAUUUGCUAGGCGCAAUUUUUUUGGUUUCAAAUGUGCUGGUUUACGAGAGGCAUGGAUGCUUAUGUAUAUAUAUGGUUGCCACAGUCAGGUCUGACGUCACCGCUCAAUGUAUGUUCCACAGCGUGGGUUGACGAGCUUUCUGAGGGGGUUUCCUCGAAUUCAAAGCAAGUAUAAAAAUUCGAUUCUCCGACCUUUCCAAUGAGGAUCGAACAGGCCUUUUAUUAGAACCGUAUGAUAACUCCACACUGUUUUCAAAUAGUCAAUGUGAUCUAGAUUCUUCGUUAAUUUUUUCCACCUGACUGAUUGUUUACAAUUUUAUUUUUCACCGUCCCAAAUUUAAACCAUUUACGCGAUUCCCUGGAUUGCAUUUUUCUUUAAUGUUGACUUUACGAGGCAAUAGGACCCCCCAGCAACCCCACUAGGGCGACUUCAUGGGAACCAGAUUACUUUUGGAUCCAGAUAUGGUCCAGAAGAAAUAAGACAAAUCAAUUAAUGUCCACUAAAGUUUUGAUGGAACCCUUAGUCCGUGUUUCCUGUGGAUGUAUGUAUUGUAUGCACCUCAAUUUUCACCAAUCCCUGCUACGAGUCCCUUUAAUUUUGACGUUAUAAAUGUUUUUCCUGACAUUAGCAGAGUGUUUUUCUGCCGUCUUUGAGGACCUUCCACGGCCCAUAAACUAAUAAGGAUCGUCCAGUGAAUUUAGUCUUCCCCAGUUAAUUAUCCUGCGAGGGAAACUUGGGCAGUAAGUUGCCUACAUGAGUGGCUCCCGCCUACAUGAGUCAAGGGACCAUACGUCAGGACGACAACCAGUGUGGUCACACCAAAGUGGGUUGCCUGGACUCCAGGGUGGUCGCUUCAAAGUUGUCAAAUGAAGGCUAGCUUGGCAAGUUUUGGAAAACAAUUAUUGAAAAACAUUUUUCAUGAAUAACAGUUUCUAUGAACAGAUUUUAAGAAAGUUUAUUUUGUGAUUUUUAGGAAUAUUUUUAAUUUAAAUUUUUAUAUUUUUAAUUUUUUAUUAAUUUAUUGAUUAUUUAAUAUUAGCUUAAUUAAUGGAUUUUUCUUGGUCCCAAAUUAUUAAUUUAUCAAGAUUUAAUCGCAUCCAUAAUUAGUCUAAUUUCUUUUGGAGUGAGUGUGACAAAGUGCAAAUUUCUAGAGUUUUAUUAAUGUUAUUCAAUGUCAUAAUUUAACUAAUUAUAUUAAUUAUUUAUUAAUCAAAAUAAAUCAUUCACUUGAAAUAUGAUAAUUUAAAUUAAAAGUUUCAAUUAUUUAUUAAUUAGCAAAGUAUGAACUUUUCUUCUUGUUUUAUUAUUGUUAUUCCAUGUAUAUAAUUUAAUUAACUGUUUCCAAUAUUAAUCAAUAAAAAUAGAAUAUAAGCAUGAGAAGAAUUAGUAAAAUUCAUUGAUUUGGAAUUAGAUAGCUAGAGGAAGAACUUCAUCAUCUUCCCAUUACUUAAAUUUGUAUAAAUUCUAAAUAUUUAAACCCCCCCCCCCCCCCCCCCCCCCAAAAAAAAAAAAAAUGGUAAAGAAAGACUCCCCAAGCUUUCUUGGUUGGUGUUACCCUAAAAUUUGUACAAUAAGAUGAACCAUUUGGCUUAAAGCUUGGUGCGAAACCCCUUAUCAAUUGAAAAUAUCAAUGAAGUUGUUGAAUGGUUUUAGAGGACUAUUCUUAUGCAGAGUGGCAUAAGAAGCGAGGAGAUGAAGAGCGGAGAGACGUUAACAUCGGAUGCUGCUACGAAGGUGGGAAUACGGUUAAUUAAUUAGAUUUUGUGAUGGCUUUGAGUUUGAAGGAGUUAGUUUAAUGGGUAUUAUUAGUGAACUGAUAAUUGGAUUUGAUGUAAAGAAGGUUGGUCCAUUGGAUUAGCAAUUGGUUUGGCCUUUUGGGGGCCCCAUUUCCAAAUGCAUUGCCUUUUACAAGCAUUCAACAUCGCUGGACGUAACCAGGCUUGGUUCACCUAAAAGUAUCGCAUGGAUUGAAUUGACUAAGUUUUCAUUGUAGACUAGCCUUGAUUUUCCCUUGACCUGCCCACCAAAUCCUGAUGCCCACGCGAGGGAAUACCUCAAUUUUCUAAUAAUUUAUGCAGUUUCUCUUCAAAGCUCGUGUGAUCACUUGGGUCGGUAAAAUAAUGCAUUCCUCUACUUUUUCUCCCUUCCUAGAUGCAUGUUAUACCAUUAAUUCAAAUGUGAACAUGGGCUUGGCUUUGAAACUUGGUUCAAGGCCCAACAUGUUGACCCACAAUUGAGGUGUAAUUGAAUUUGUACACUUUUCGACUUUGAUACCAUUUGUCAUUACCAUUGACAUUGGGUCAUUGUUGAUUUUGAGUCCACAACUUUUAAGGUUGUUAUUACAAUUUUAAAUUGCGCCCACCCAAUUUAUAUGCAUUAUCCCUUAUAAAUACCGAUAACCUCUCUUUCUUCGAUAAUAUAAAAUGUCACAUAUAUUAUAUAUCUCAAUGUUUUCUUUUACUUUUUUUUUUUUUAUCGAUCGACAUUCUCUCUCAGAUGAUAUGAGAUGUCACAUAUAUUAUAUGUUUCAAUGUUUCUUUUACUUUUUCUCUUUUUCCUCAUGAUUGACAUUGUCUUUCUCAAAUGAUAUGAGUUGUCACAUAUAUUUUAUGUCUCAAUGUUUUCUUUAACUUUUUUUCUCUCUUCUUUAAUGAUCGACGUUCCUUUUCUCAGAUGAUAUGAAAUGUCAUAUAUAUUAUAUGGCUUAAUGUUUUCUUUUACUUAUUCUUUCUUUAUUAAUAAUCGACAUUUUAAGCAAUAUGUGAAUAUAAAGCAUUAAAAUUAUCUCCAUCGUUUUUGGAUGUGGUAUAAAUACACAAUUCUUAUUUUUGUUUUAAAUAUUUCUAUUGCUAUCUAUUGAAAUUUUAUGCAUGAAGCUACCAAGUUAAUUAUACAUAUAUCUUAAGAUUUUUUUUUUUUUUUUUUAUAGGAUAUAUUGUCCAUGAAUAUUUUCUGCAAUGGUAUCUUGUUUGAUUACUAUAAGAAAUAAUAUAUAUAUAUAUAUAUAUAUAUAUAUAUAUAUAUAUAUAUAUAUAUAUAUAUAUUAUAUUUCAAUGUUUCAUAUUUGCUUAAAAUAAAAAUUAUAUUUUAUCACAAUAUUUGGUAUUAAAAAAAAUGAAAUCUCUCUCAUUUAUUAUUACAAAAAAAUUAUAAUUUAUAAUUUUCUAAAUAAGUUUUAUUUAUUUGCUAACUAUAUUCAUGAUUAAAAGAUUUAAAAUUUAUAAAUAAAAAAUAUUAUGUCAUGUCAUUAAAUAAAUAAAAAUAUAUGUAUAUAUUAAAAUUAUGUUUUAUUGUAGCUUUUAAUAUUUUUUUUUUUAUUCUUUUCUUUUUUGAACUACAAUUUUAAUUUUUUUUAAUCAAAAUUUUUUAAUUUACAAAACGAGUAACAUAAAACUUGCCUUUGAACUUUAUUGGAAUGUUAUAUACUACCAUUUGGCUUUCAAGACAUUAGAAAAGGCAUAAGUGUCCCUUUUAUUUUUCCGAAAGGCAUAUUAGACUAUAGUAGGAAGUGUUGUAUAGAGGCAACUAAAAGUUGCCUUUAACUUUAUGAAGUCAUAUACUCCUCUUUGGCUUUGAUGACAUCAACUAGCAAAUUGGAUUUUGUUUCCUUUGCAACAUUUUUCCAUCCAUUAGCCAGUUUUUUUAUACUGUUUGGUGCUUGCCAACAUGGCACACACUAUGGUUCUUAAAAAGUAUUUUUUUUUUUAAGAUACUACGAAAUAAAAUACACGAUUGAAAGAUGAGUCACAAUAAUUUUCAAAACUAAAUUUUUUAAUAUUGUUAAGAAAAUUUGACCACCAAAUGAUUGAUUUUAAAUUACAAAUACUUUUGUUAGCUAAGAAAUUUGUUGUUCUAUUUGUUUCCCUAUAAAUAUGACAACAAUCAUAAAUAUUUUCAUUUUAAGAUAAUUUUCAAAUAUCUUCCAUUAAUAAUAUAAUAGAAUUAGGAAUUUUUUUUUUAGUUAUAACAAUCUAUAAUUAUUUAAGAGUCUUCCUCAAUCUCUAGGUUUAAGAACUUAUUGUUCUUAACAACUAACAUGUCAUCUCUUAAAAUAAUACAUUCUGCAAUAAUUAUUGAAAUAUGAUAUAAUAUAUAUAUCUACUUACAACCAUUUUUGUAGUACCAUUAGAAUUUUUAAUUACCCAUUCUAAAGUAUUUUUAUUCUCUAUUCUUAAACCAUCAAAAUUUAAUUUAAAUCUUUCAUUAAUUGGAUAAAUCCAAUGAAUCUAACAAGUUAAAGGAUUAUGAAUCCGACAAAACAGUUGAUAAUAAAUUAAUAAUGCCAUUAAUAUGAUUUUAAUGUGAAACACAAUUAUCACAUUUAAUACAGUUAGUCCUUGUAUGAUUAAUGUUUUGGAAGCUAAAAUCAAUCUUUUGACUAUAAUAAGAGUUUCUACUAUUUCUAUUUUUGGAUGAUUUUAUAUUUUUCUUAUUGUUUUAGUUUAAUACAAAAAAUAAAAAUAAAAUUACAUUAGUAGAAUUUUUUUAACUUACUCAAAAACCUAUUUUAGUUGAAUGAUUUUUUUAAAAAAAAUAUAAAUAUUUUGUUAAAAGGGAUAAAAUAACCUUACCUUGUGAAAAAGACCUCUUCACCCAAGAUUACUUGUUCAUAAUCCUUUUAAGACGAAAAUGCCCCCUUCCUAAAAAAUAUUUCAUCUUAAACUUAUUUUUCUUUUUAUUGCCCUUUGUUCCAUCCUUCCGGCUUGGGAGAGAAAUUCAUUCUUCUUUUGCGAAGAAAAAUUCCUAUUGCGAUUUUUCAUUUCAAGUGGAAAAAAAAAUUCUUAUUUCAUUUUAAAGAAAUUGUACAUUUUCAAUCUUUCUCUUUGUUCCUAGUUGAGGGUUUUUUUUGUAAUUUUAUCUUAACACUACAAAUUUAAAGGUGAGAUUAAAUCUUAAUGGUUAUUAGUUAAAUCACAUAUCUAACUUUGUUUUUGUCAGGACCUAUAAUAUGAUUGGAACCACCAUCCAAACUUCAUUAGGUGGGAUACUCCCCACCCUCCCCCUCCCCCCGCGAAAUCCUUGGAUUUUAGUUUUGACUUGGAUUUCAAUUGCCCGUAUCAAUUUUUCUUUAUUUAUUAAUUUAUUAAUUUUCAACUUUAACAAAAGCCUUGAAUCAUAUUUAAAUUCAAAUAACUUAAUCCUAAUUAAGUUCUUUUUAAAUAAAAAUUAAUCAUUGAAAAGUUCAUGUGACUAUUAUAAUUGAGAAUUUAUCCCAAGUUGGGUUUUUUGCAAAUAAAAUUUUAUUAUAGGACAUCAUGAUGCAACAUAACAUAAGGUUGUUACUUAAGUUUGUUUUGACCUUGUAAUAUGUUAAAAUGAAAAUGAAGCCAUUGUAACAGGAGAGAAUGAUGAAGCUGUGGAGAGAGCUUAACAAAGCUUGGGUUGGAGAGACUUCACAGGAAGAGAGAGAGAGAAAUAAAGGGUAAAAUUAUCAAAAGAGAAAAGAAAAAAAAAAAAAAAAAAGAAGGUUAUGUCUUCAAAUAAUCAAUAAGAGAUGUCAUUUUUCUAAUUUUCAAAGUUCUUUUGGUCCUUCUCUACAAAUAUCCCUAUAAAAAUAUUAUAAUAUCAAGUUAAUUUGUCAAUACCAAAAUUUAUAUUUUAUAUUAGGGCGACUAAAUAACAUAUAGAAAGAAUUUUAAAUGAGUAAAUCAAAUCAAUUUUGAAACCAAAACUUAAUAAUUACCAAACUUGUAAUCUUAGUCAUUAAAAGUGUACGAUGAAAUCUAAAUUAUUAAGCAAUGAAACAAAAAAUUAAGAUUAAAAUACAAAACGUUAAAAUCAAGAUACAAACUAUUAAAAUGUAAGUGGGAUAUGAGAUGAUAUUAUAAAAAAUAGUGUGAUCCAACAAAAAGUCUAGUACAUCAUUAUCUUCACUUCCAACCAUGUUUAAAAGGUCACAAGUUCUAGCGGUUUCCAAGGACAAUGUUAAAAAUAAUAAAAAUAAAUCCAAUUAAAUAUUAAUUAAUUUAUUUGAAUUUGAGUCCGACAAAAUAGUUGGUAAUAAGUUAAUAAUGCCAUUAAUAUGAUUUUAAUGUGAAACACAAUUAUCACAUUUAAUACCCGUUAGUCCUUGUAUGAUUAACUUUUUAGAAAUUAAUAUCAAUCUUUUGAUUAUAAUAAGAGUUUCUACUAUUUAUAUUUUUGGAUGAUUUUAUAUUUUUCUUAUUGUUUUAGUUUAAUACAAAAAAAUAAAAAUAAAAUUACAUUAGUAGAAUUUUUUUUAACUUAUUCAAAAAACCUAUUGUAAGGUGAAUGGUUUUUUUAUUUUUUUUUUAAAUAUAAAUAUUUUCUUAAAAGGGAUAAAAUAACCUUACCUUGUGAAAAAAGGCCUCUUCACCCAAAUUUACUUGUGCAUAAUCCUUUUCAGACGAAAAUGCCCCCUUCCUAAAAAAUAUUUCAUCUUAAACUUAUUUUUCAUUUUUAUAACCCUUUGUUCCAUCCUUAUGAUUUGGGAGAGGAAGUCAUUCUUCUCUUGUGAAGAAAAAAUUCCUACUGCCAUUUUUCAUUUCAAGUGAAGAAAAAUAUUUAUAUUUCAUUUUAAACAAAUUGUACAUUUUCAAUCUCUCUUUGUUCCUAGUUGAGGUUUUUUUUUUUUUUUUUUUUUUUUGUAAUUUUAUCUUAAUUGUACAAAUUCGAAGAUGAGAUUAAAUCUAUAAUGGUUAUUGGUUAAAUCACUUAUCUAACUUUGUUCUUGACAGAUCGUAUAAUAUGAUUGGAACCACCAUCCUAACUUUAUUAGGUGGGAUCCCUUUUUUUUUUUCCCCAAACCCUUGGAUUUUAGUUUUGACUUAUAUUUCAAUUGUCUGUAUCACUUUUUCUUUAUUUAUUAAUUUUCAACAAGUUCUUUAACAAAAGCCUUGAAUCAUAUUUAAAUUCAAAUAACUUAAUCCCCAUUAAGUUCUUUUUAAAUGAAACUUAAUCAUGUGAAAGUUCAUGUGACUAUUAUAAUUGAGAAUUUAUUCUUAGUUGGGUUUUUUGUAAAUAAAAUUUAGUUAUAGGACUGUGAUGAUCCGUUCUCAACCGUAUAAAUAUUGUUCGUUUUGAAUUCAAAAUAACUUUUACGGCUUUAAAACAUGUUUACAAGAUUAAGAGGAGUCCAUAUUUAUAUAGCUUCACGAACUUUCCCCCCUAUUCGAUGUGGGAUGUCACAAGGACAUCAUGAUGCAACGUAUAACAUAAGAUUGUUUCUUAAGUUUGUCUAACCUUGUAAUGUGUUAAAAUGAAGAUGAAGCCAUUAUAACAGAAGAGAAUGAUGAAGUUGUAGAGAGAGCUUAACAAAGCUUGGGUUGGAGAGACUUCAUAGGAAGAGAGAGAGAGAGAGAGAGAGAAAUAAAGGGUAAAAUUAUCAAAAAAGAAAAAAGAAAAAAAAGAGGGUGAUGUCUCCAAAUAAUCAAUAAGAGAUGUCAUUUUUCUAAUUUCAAAGUUCUUCUGGCCCUUCUCUACAAAUAUCCCUAUAAAAACAUUAUAAUAUCAAGUUAAUUUGUUGAUACCAAAAUUUAUAUAUUAUAUUAGGAUGACUAAAUAACAUAUAGAAAGAAUUUUAAAUGAGUAAAUCAAAUCAAUUUUGAAAUCAAAACUUAAUACCUACCAAACUUGUAAUCUUAGUCAUUUAAAGUGUUCCAUGAAAUCUAAAUUAUUAAGCAGUGAAACAAAAAAUAUAAGAUUAAAAUACAAAACGUUGAAAUCAAGAUUCAAACUAUUAAAACGUAAGUGGAGACGUAAGAUGAUGUCAUAAAAAAUAGUGGGAUCCAACAAAAAGUCUAUUAAUCAUUAUCUUCACUUCCAAUCAUGUUUAAAAGGUCACAAGUUCUAGCGGCUUUCAAGGACGAUGUUAAAAAUAAUAAAAAUAAAUCCAAUUAAAUAUUAAUUAAUUUAUUUGAACAAUAGAUAGGACCAAAAUAAUAUUCUAAAAGGAAUCAUAGGGAAGUCCUUGGACAACCUACGACAUUGAACAAAGGUACAGUGAGACAAUGCACUUAGCCCUUCCUUGUCAUUGCGAUGAAUAUAAAAAGACACCCUGAUUGAGGGUGCCCCACUAAGCCAAGAGUGAUUCUUUUGUAUUGUAUAACGUGAAUAUUUUUGAACUUUGAAUGACCCUUCCUAUAGUCAUCAUUGUCAAAACUAGAAAAUCAGAAAGAUGCGAUGUACGAAGGCACCAUUGAAUAAGAGGCUUAAUUCUCUUUGGCAAUUAGGAUAAAGUUUCAAAAUAGAAAAAUUAAACAAAUGUACAGUGUACGGACACUUGGGCAUUGCCUAUUUGUUUUGUUCUUCUAGAGUUGUAUAUGGUAAAGGUCAUAUUGGGUUGGUUCUAUUUGGUUAUUGAAGUCGGCUAGAAUAUUAGAUUUGGUUUCAAUCUAAUCCCAUAUGAUAUUAGAAUACCAGCCCAUACAGAAUUUUUGACCAAAUAUAAUAUUUCUUUUAAAUAUAAAUAUAGUAAUUAAUUUUAGUCUAAGAUUAAUUAUGUAGUUUCCUAAAGAGACCACUUCCUAAACGGUAGCUAUGUGGAAGUUGGGCCAGGUCCUGCCGAGAAGGUUUCCACGAGCUGAGCCCAAAACUGAGUAGCUGUGAUGGGAUCAUUCUAGCAUUCAGCCUGAAACUUGUAACAUAACGGAUCGAGAGGCCUGAACUCCAAGACCAUGGUUCGUCAGCCCAUUAACUUCAACAGCACGCAUUUUAGAGGACUGGGCUUGCAAGGGGUGAGGUUUCCGGGCCGCGACCCCAAAUAUGAACAGCCUCAGAAGUGAUAUUGCUUACUGGCACGUGAAGAGCGCAAGCGUAACUAGAAGAUUUGUAAUGCCGCUUUAAUUGUUUGAUUAUAGAAUCCCACGCAUUACGCAUGGAAAGUGUAAAAGAUAAAAGAUGUAGAAUUUUUUCUUAGAGAAAAGUUCGUUUGGAUAUAGUUAUUGUUUUUUUUUUAAAUAAUAAUUGUUUUUUUUAUAAAUUAUAGAUAAUCUUAGAAAUUUAUCUUUAAAAAAAUAGUUUUUAAAAAUAUUUAAGGAGAAUAAAAGUGAUAAAAAAAAACUUUACAAUUUCAAAUUUUUAAAAAAUGAAAAUUAUUUUUAAGAAUAUAAGUUAAUCUCCUGCAUUUAAAUCUUAGGUGGUUUUUGUUUUUUUUACUUUUCGCUGAAAACAAUUUGUUUUCAAAAUUUAGGUCAUUUGUUUUUUCUAUUUUUUCAUGAUUUAUUAUAAAUUUUUUACUAAAUAAAAAAAAUCAAAAUAUGUAACUUUUUCUAAAUAAAAAAAAUAACGUAUUGAUUUUUCUUUACUUUUUAAUACUUAAUAGAUAUAAAAUACUACAAAAACAAAAAAUCUAAUAUUUAACACUAUUAAGCAUUAAAGUUCUAUUUAGAAUUAAGUAAAAAAACAAACACCACCUUAUAUUUUAUAUAAAAGUUACUUAUAUUUUGGUUUUUGGAAAUAAAAAAUAUAAAGCAUAUCCAAACAUGAGCUUAGCUAUUUUAAAUCAUAUCAAAAUAAUAAUCCCAAUAAGGUAAAUGGACUUUUAUACGGAGAAUAAUCUUUAAGGUUUUCAUUUUUAUUGGAUUUUUUUUUUGUGGUGUUUUUUCAAUCCAUCUUCUCAAUUAAUUCCUUAAAAUUAUUUUACUGUUUUUUUUUUUUUCAGUUUCUAAAUAUUUGAUUUUUCCAAAAUGCUUAAAUGGAAGACACUAAUUUUUCAAGAUAUUUGGUAUUACAAUUUUCCCUGUUCUCCCUAUUAUCUAUCAGAUUCAUGGCCCUUUUGUUUUUUCAUUGGUUUUCAAUUUAAUUUUCCAAAUAUUACAUUGUUGUGUUUUGAAUUUGUGAAACCAAUUUUAUAUAUAUAUAUAGUAUGUAAGUCUACUUUGGGUAACAUGUACAGAGAGGUUUUCAUGUGUUUGAAACCUUUUACCUCAAAAAUUAAUUAUUUUUAAUUUUAUAAUAAAUCUUUUUUUAUUUUUUAUUUUAUUUAGGAAAGCCUAUAUUUAAACUACAUGUUUGCAACGCAACACCAUACAUACUCCUAGUGGAACUUACCUUAGUGCUUGAGGGGGAUGCAGAUCUUCUUCUAAACCUAACUAAUAAGCAUAAAAUUGUUCACUAAUUAGCAUAUCUAGUAAAUCAUACAAAUUGGCAAUAUUUCAUGUUUUUCAUGUUUUGUCAAUAAAAGGCGUCUUGACCAUUUUGUGAGUUUUGUAAUAAAUAAAAAAAAAAAAAAAAAAAGGGCAAAAGGUGACUAAAAUGAGGCACUUUGGAAAGGUUAAUAACCUAAAAGGAAGAUGAAUUAAUACCCCCUUAUUCCUCUUCAAAAACCAUUGAGAAAAUGCAAGAAAUGCUCUUAGUUGUAUGCUAGGCUAACAGCCUAGCAACCAUAAUACCCUUCUUUGCAAUUGUAAGCAUUUUUUUUUUUUUUUUGAAGGCCAAACAACGUUGCAAACUUCCCAAAUCCCUUCUUUAUUUUUUAUUUUUUUAUUUUUGUUUUUAGAAGGAGAAUGAAUUUGAUGACAAACUCCUUGUCAAUCUUAUCCAAACCACGAUCGAACAGAACUCCUUGUCAAUCUUAUCCAAACCGUGUUCCACCUCAAAAACAUGUGUAGGACUUAAGGCAGCAACUGGCAAGCAUGACUGAUAGGGCCAAGUGCCCUUGUCUCUACAAUCCAUUAAGUUAACCAAGGGCAGUGAACCAUCAUUCUUUUCAAAAGCUUCAUUCCGUGUUGAAAAUGUGAGACUGAAGCAUGGUGCCCCCAAAAAUAACGAUCUAUUUACUAGCAGCAUGCCUGGACCCAUUAAAAAUACUCUACUUUAGGAAUAGAAAAAAUUACAUCUUUAUCCAAUAAUUUUAUAACAAUUCAGACGUUUCAGUCUAUAAAUAAUUGUACAUAGUUGCCAACGUUUAGCUAGUUUCAAAUGAAUAGCCUAGGUUCAUGCACCAGUUUGGCUGGUGGAGGAAAGGGAUUCGAGACAUUGAACCCUCUUUUUAGUGUGCCAAAUAUUCCACAAAAAUCACUACCUUCUCUUUGUGUUUGUUCACUUUUAGUUUAUAUUUAAUAAAUCUAUGUUUUCGAGUAGAGGUUGGGUUCAGGUGCGACCCACGUCACCUCUCGGACGGUCUUGAAAAAGGAGACCGGACCACGUAAUUUCAAAUGUAGUGACCAUCUCACUUUUACCUCCAUCCUUGAAGAUGGUUUCCCAAAUCAAUAUUAAUCUUUUGUUUACGACAAUAUCGAUCACUUUAUGUCUAUAUCGUUGUUAAUUUACCUUUUUUUUUUAGCCACAUUAUUUGAAAAUUGAUGCAAACUUUACCAACAUCUUGGUACCAUUUUAAAAUAUUAGAGUUAUUUGAUUAAAAAAAUAAAAUAAUCUCGAUAACUUGUUUAUAAAAUAAAUAUCUUUUAACAUUUAGACUAUUCUCACGCAUGCUUUAAAAUUGUAAAGAUAUUCAUAAAGUGGAACUUUAGACUUAAUCAAUAUCGAUCACUUUAUGUCUCUAUUGUUGUUAUAUUUUUUUUUUACAACAUUAUUUGAAAAUUGAUGCAAACUUUACCAACAUCCUAAUACCAUUUUAAAAUAUUAGAGUUAUUUGAUUAAAAAAAUAAAAUAAUCCCGACAACUUGUUUAUAAAAUAAAUAUCUUUUAAUAUUUAGACUAUUUUCACCAUGCUUUAAAAUCAUAAAGAUAUUUAUAUUCAUAAAGUGGAACUUUAGACUUAAACAUGAUAAUAGUUUUUUUACAAUAUUAUAAUUAUUUUAUCGUUUUAAUUAAGCCCUUUAUCAUACAUAUAAAUGUAAAUUAAUGCUAAAUUUUUAAAGCAACGUAUAACCUUUUACAUCUUUUUUUAAGAUGGUGCGAAAAUCCUAUGAAAAAUAAUAAAAGUCGAUGCAUAAGAAGAUUGUUUUGAUAAUUCAAUAGAAAAAUUCUUUUAAAAUGAUAUUAAAAAAUACCCAUAGAGCCUUUAUUAAAAAAAUCAAUUAUUUUCAUAAUAAAAAUUAUAAUUUUUUAUUAUGUAUUAUUAUUUUUAAGUAUCUUUAUUACAAAUACUUUUUUUGAGUUUAUGAGAGGAAUCAACAGGUUGGUACAAGCUUAGGCGUCCUCGUACAUGUUCCCGCUGUGCAAGGUUUUUGUCUUGUUUCGAGCUAGUCGGAAUUUACGUGUUUGAUAACGUUUUGUCCUAUUUUUGUAACGCUUUAAAGGGCGGCCCACCGUUGGAACAGUUCAAGCCAUCCAAAUCAGCCCGGAGGGUUAUGGCGACGUGGCAUGACGCCUACCACCUUAGUUCACAUGAACCCUAUGAUCGUACUACCCUCACAUGACAUCUGUGAUUCUUCACCUCCAAACCCUCUUUAACUUGGUAAUGUAUUCAAAGCUUCAUCAAAUCAUAGCGAUUAGCGACCCUCUUCCACCCUAAUUUUAUAAUAAAAAAUAAAUCUUAGUGGACAUUAAAGUAGUAUUUUGUGGGGGGAAAGAAAAACUCUAUGGGCGUAUCCACUAAAUACGAGCCAAGUAUAAGAGUUAUCACCAUGGAAUCAAAUUAUGAAGCAUUGACAUUUUAAUUGUAUUCAGAUUUGAGGAGGGCACCGCGGCACCAGCUGGCCCAGUGUAGUCUGCUAGCCUACCCGCCAUAAUGACCAAAUUAAUAAAGUAAAAAGGAUUACAGGGAUAUUCCCAACUUUAUUCUGGGUCUGAGCUGGAACUUGGGAGUUAUCACGAUCAACGGGAAAGAUGGUGGGUAGGGGACGAGGAUUGAGGGCUCCAUAUUCACAUCAGUGAAAAACGAAAUGUAUUGAGACAAGUCUUCUAAGGAUUUUCUAGCGUAUUAUAUGGUUUAAAUGAUUAUAAAUCUGUAGUUACUGGUAAAGAGUAGAGAGUGAAGACGAAAGACGUUGAGUGAAAAGGAAGGAGGAGAGGGGAUGGGGCCAUCUUACCGUGUCGGGGAGGAUCCAUAAAAGGACUACGUUCCCUGAAUCUGUAGGCAUCAUGCCUCGCCUAACGGGUUAGUCAAAAUACAGUGAUGUGUGUGAGUUGGGGGCCUCACUCCUCAUUUCUUUCCUUCUUUUCACCCCCACCCCCACUUUUUUUUUUUUUUUUUCGAAUUUUUCUUUGUCCUUUUCUCUCACUUGCGCACGCGGGAGAAGGACCACAAACUAGACAAUUCCUCUGCUCACGUGACCCCGAGUUUUUAAAUAUUUGCCUAUUUGGAAAAUAGUCAUGAAUCAUGAUCGUUAACAAACAAUCUUCACUUUAUUUAUUUAAGAUCUAUUUUUUGGAGCUCUAGUUUAGUUUAUUAUUAUUAUUAUUAUUAUUAUUAUUAUUAUUAUUAUUAUUUAGUAACUCCUCUUAUAUUAAUGAAAAAGAGAGGAGGAAUCCAAACUUGUUUAUUCUUCCUCUUUUAAGGUGUUUGUUUUUUUUAUUUUAUUUUUAUGCUUCAUAUGUCUUCAAUUUCUUAGCAUUUGUCUUAUAUUUCUUCUUAUCCGAUUCAUUAUUGCAUCCUUGGUCAAUCUUUCACGAGGAGUGCCUACUUUUUUCCUUUUUAUUAUUUAAUUCACUUUAUCUUUAUAUUUUCCUUUUACACUUUAUUUCCAAUUCAAAACGUGUCAAAAAAAAAAAUUGGUAACAAAAAAAAAAAAAAAAAUCAAUUGUAAUGAUUCUUAUAUAAUUUUAUUUAAUUUUUAUUAAACAAUAAAGAAAUUAAAAAUAUAUAAAUUUUUAAAUAAUUAUUAUAGUCUUUCAUUUUUGUGUAUAAUUUCUUUUGCAAGAAAUAGUGUAGGCUUUCCACGGUCUAAAGGAAAUGGAAUAUCAAAUGAGAAGGUAAUAAUAAUAAAGUGAGUUAUAGAUACUAAUCAAACUAAUCCACUAAUGAAUUAUUUAUUUUUAUUUCACAUGGACAAAUCCUAAAAGUUGGAGUUCUAAUUUACUUUUAUGUUAAGCUUUUUUAAGUAAAAAUCUUUUAUUAUUAUAAUUUAUAGACAAAAAGAAACCCAUUAAUGUGAUGGAUAAAAAAUUUCAAUUUAAAAAAAAAAAAAUUAAAGUUGCUAAAUUUUUGUAUUUAUUAUUUCAAACUCAUUUAAAUAAUUUAAAAAUAUGUCUUCAAUUAAUUUUAAUGAAACAAAGCAUGAUUUUUUUUUAAUUUUUUUUUCUUUACCAAAUAAAGCAUUAUUAUAAUACGUUGAUUAAAUUUUCAUCAUGUCUCUCAAGAUUUGGAUUAAAUAUACUUAGUUGUCAUAAAUUUGAAAUUUUAUUUAAUGUAUUUUUUAUUUUAAAUUAAAAAGAUGAAUGCAAAUAAAAAAAAUAUGUAUAUUUUAUAAAAUUUUAAAUUAAACGAAGGAUACGUGUAUUUAACCAAGGUGAAUGAAAUUAAUCCAAAUACUUUUUGGUAACUUGCAAAAUAUCUUGACGAAAUCAUUAUGGCAGGCAUCGUACAAGCUCAACCCUUGUCGCCUUGCUAGAAAUAGAGAAACAAAAAGACCCCCAAAUUGGGUUGCAUCCUAAAUAUGAAGAAGUGGUAACAAAGGAAGAAAAAAUGCUGUGUUAUUGAAUAGUUAAUACAUUGAACAUGAUAUGUUACAUAGAGAGCCAGAUUAAUCCUAGUGGAAUUCCACUGUCACGAUGGUAACCUAGGGUUAUGUUUGGUUAUUGAAAAUACCAAGAAAAGAAAAAAAAAUAUAAAGGAAAAUAAUUUUUUCAUUUUUGAUUGUCUUAUAAAAGAUAUAAAAAAAAAACAAAUAUAAUUAAAACUAAUUAAAAAUUUAGGUAUUUUUAAAUUAUUUAAUUUUUAUAUUAAUGAGCGAAAAUAAAUAAAAUAAGUUUAAAAUAACAAAAAAAAUAAUUUACCGAUUUUUAAUCUAUAUUUUAUUUUACUUUUUCUUUGUAUUUUUUUUUUCUUAUAUUUUCCCUCAAAUUUUCUGAAUCAAACAUAGCAAAAAAGGAGCUACCCCUUUCGAAAGAAACUCCCAAGAAUUUCAAAGAAACCUGCUGAGAUAAUGAAUGAGGGAUCACUGUCGGUAAACAGUAUCCAUUCUUUUGGGAGGACUUUCAAACUGAGAAGUUGUUUUCAUGACUUGGAAACAAAAUUUUGAGCUCUAAGGGGGUCUGUAUUUGGGCCCUAAAAUUCAAUCCAUCAAUCUGAAAAAUGCUUAGGAUAAUGAUUUGAUUUAGCCACAAUCACUAAACAAAUUCCAGAGGAAAAUUUCGCUACUCAUAGGUGGCUGAUUCUCAUAAAAAGACAUCGUGGUAGGGUGUCUCAAGUGCAGGCUCACCAUCAACUUGCUGCCCUUUUUAGAUUAUUGUAAAAUGAUUUCACAUGAAGCCCAAUGCAAAACUUUGAAAGAAAAGGUUGGUGGAGACGUGAAGAAUAUGUAACCCAUAGGCCAUAACUAGUACCGAAGAUUAUUGAACAAACAUUCAAGGUUUUUGUAUAGACGAAACUGAAAAGAAUGUGUACCAGACUCAGGCGUUCAGAUCAGAUGAUGCCGUAAUGUGGAUUGUGGAGGAGCAUUGUGCAGACAGAUAAUGAGAUUCUGAAAGCGAGGCCACUGAUGGGCCCUUGGAAGGGGGGCGUGCCUUCAAAAUUAUAUAUAUAUAUAUAUAUAUGUCAUUGAAAAUUGGAAGCAACUUUUCUUCUUAAGUUAUUUUAAUCGAAGAAGAAACAAAAAGUUAAAAACAUACAUUAUUCUUCCUUCUUACGAGGUUUCCGGGUCUAAAUUACUAUGGUCUCUGCAACUGGCGUCGUUUUCUCUCCCCUCUCUCUAUUUUCCCUUUAUUUUUUCACUUUUAGAAAGAAGCAUCCCAUCAAGAAUCUACUACAACCCUACGCUUCCAUUUUGAUUUAGAAAGUUAAAAAUAAGUUUAAGUUAAAAAAAAAUAUUUUCUUAUAUAAUUAUUUAAACUUAUUUCUUUUCCUUUUUAUAUAAAGAAACAAAUAUUUUGCAAAUAAAUAAAUUUCUAAUUAUUUUCAUUAACAUAAUAAUAAUAUUUUUCAUAUGACUUUAAUCACAAUUUUUUUUACCACUUGUCCAAGGCGGUGAGAGGUGAUAAAAUGUAUUAAAAAAACGAUUAAAUUGCAUUAGGUAUAGAAGUUUUGUGCUUCAAUUAUCACUUAUAAAAAUAAAAUAAAAAUAGUCAAAUUUGAGUGUGCAAGUUGGUAUUCGUAUGUAGAAGGAAUUGGGGGAUUUGGGGGUCCUAACAAAUUUGAUAUGAUUGAUGGAAGGAAAUGAUUAUUAUAGGAUAAAGUCCGAAUGAAACGCUGACGAGGGGGGAAAAACAACAGUGGCAAUGCACUAUCCACAGAUCCAUGAUUGAUUUAUGUUAGCAAUAAUGAAUUAUUUUGACUUUGAUAACCUUGGUUAAGAGAAUUUGGUCUUGUUAUUAUCAUUUUUUCAAAAAAAAAAAGUGUAGGUAACUAGGUAGUUGAUUUAUUAGAAUUUAGAAAUGAGGAUCCCCUCCUCCUGCAAGAGCCGUGACAGACAUGCCUGCUUUCUUGCCAGAUUAUACCAAUGUGCCCAAAUAAUCCCCCAUCUAUCAUCUCUGCACCCUGGAACACGUCACUCCCUCCUUUGAGCAAUAAAAUAUCUCUUUUAUUUUCUUUUGAACCACUCUUCUAUUUCUUUGUACCAGACUGGACCCAUUUAAAUUCUUCGCUACGCUGUUCCCAAGGACUACGAGAAUCAAAAUAGCAAAAUUCUUGAAUCAUUUUAAUGGGUUCAGAAACCACAUGUUUCUCUAGAUCAUAAGAGGAAAAUCUUUUUGGAUGGUGUUUGUGUUGUGUUGUGUUCAAUAUUAAAUACUCAAUUAAAUAAGCUAAAUCAAAUAUCACAUGAAAAAUAAUCAAAUUAAAAAUAGGGAGAAUUAUGUUUUGAGGGUAGAUGGACCCCAAAUUAACAAAAGGUUCAUGUAACUCUUCAAAUUGAGCCCAGACCCAAUGAAAAUAUGGAAAUUGAGUUGAAGUAUAUCAUCAUUCAGUAUUUCCAAAAAUGUCCUUUGUUGAUUUUGAGAAAAAAAUUAAUAUUUUUGAAAAAUAUUUUUAUGUAAUUUAAUAUUUUUUUAAAUACUUUUAUUUAAUUUAAUAUUUUUAAAAAAUAAAUUUAUUUAAUUUAAUAUUUUAAAAAAUAUUUAAUUUAAUAUAUUUUUUAAAUACUUUAAUUUAAUUUAAUAUUUUUGAAAAAAAUUUUAAUUUAAUAUUUUUGAAAAAAAAAUUAUUUAAUUUAAUAUUUUUUAAAACUAUUUUUAUUUAAUUUAGUAUUUUUGAAAAAAAAUUAUUUAACUUAAUUUUAUAAAAUAUUUUAUAUGUGUUCUUAAAGGGUAUAUUUGUCCGUUACUAUUUCAUAUCCUUCAACUCAAUUUAAAGAGUUAUAUGGACCUUUUGUUAAUUUGGGGACCCAUCUACCCUCAAAAGAUAAUUCUCCCUUAAAAAUAUAAAUUUAAAUAUGACAUAAUUAUUAAAUAUGUUAGAUCUUGUAUGAGUUUAUAAGAUUUAUGUUUCAAAAUAACAUGUUUAUAAUUCAUCUAUUGAUUUAUAAUCAAAUUUUAAAUAAAUUAAAGUUAUUCAAGUUAAUAAAUAUGAUUUAUGUUAUAAAGACUAACUAAAAAAUAAUUUAUUAAUUAAACGGAUCCUGGUCAAUAAAAAUUUGAUUUAAAUACGAUCAUACUUAAUCAAAACUUAGGUCAAAUUGUAUUGAUAAAUUACAUCAAAACCUUGUUGUGUUCAAUAUUUUAUAUUAAACUAUUUUUUAAUAAAAUUAUUUUUAUAAAUAUAAUAUUACAUCAUUUGGAGAAACAAAAUAGUAUUAUAUUGAUUUUACAUAUAAAGCAACCAGUUAACCCCUCAUUAUUUUGAUCCAUUUCACAUCCAUAUCAUUCUCAUAAUUUUUUUAUAAUAUAUUAACAUGAUGGACGGUAAUUGAGGGUAGAAAAAAAAGAUGAGAAGAAUAAAAUAAUGUGAAUCCUCUCUAAAUGUUACAUCUUCUGACAAAUGAAGUCUAUAGAAAUGUGUAAAAAAAAAAAAAACACUUAAUUGUGAGGUUCACUUGAUUUAGCAAAAAAUUAAUAUUUUAUUUGUUGUGUGAUUUAAAAAUAAUAUUUUAUUUUUAAAAAUAAAAAAUUAUUUUUAAAGUUUUUUAACACUAUUUUACUAUUGUUCUUUGAAAUAAUUUUUAAAAUUAAAAUGAAAUAACUAAUAAUUUUUAGAUAAUAAAUUAAAGUUGUUUUUAUUAGAUUUUAAAAAUAAAAGAAAAAUAUAAAACCAUUUGAUCAAAUUUUUUUAAACUUAUUUUUAAAAGGUUUUUUUUUUUUUUUUUUUUUUUCUAUCCUAAGUUAAAAGAUAAAAAAUAAUUUUUAAAGAUAGGUUACGAGCAAAUGCCACAAACUUUUUUCUUCUCUUUCCCUUGUUCGGAUAGAAGUGAAAAAUAUCCUCCCAUGGAUCGACAUUACGUGAGCCAUCACCAUUCCCCAACUGCAAUUCAACCGCCAAAGCUGAGGUGUCAUUAUUAGUUUGAACAAAAGUCAGCAUUGUCCACGUGGUGACAAGCGGAACUGACCCAACUUGCAAGGCAAAAAAAUAAAUAAAAUAAAAUGAAAAAAUCAGAUCACCAUUAUGACGUCAGUCCAAUUGCUGACCUGGCCGCCGUCCCCCAUUUGACCCACGUGUUCAUUUAACCCAUUCGCCGUAUGCCGUGGCUCCCCACCCAUAUGGCCAUAUCUGCCAUUUAUUUUAUCCGUUGCCUCCAUUCGGUUUUUGGAUUUUACCCAUUCGCCCUCGUCUAUUCCCAUUUCCGUAUUUGCCCACCAAGGAAAUUCAAUUCCCAUGCUUUUGUUUUACAUUCAAAUCCUCCCCCCUCUAUAUAAAGGAGGGAGUAGGGCUUGAAAGUUUCUCAAGCCAACAUGGACUGUUGAGAGUGAAAGACAGAGGAGCCACAAACAAAUAUCACUCACUCAAACCAAAGCCAAAACCAAUACCGAAUUCAAUUCAAAUGACUUCUUUCUCUCUCAUCAAUUCCCUGAAUUCCGAUUCCGAUUUCAAUUUGUUAUCGGAUUCUUUUUCCUGGGAAAACUCCCUACCUUUCAAUGAAAACGACUCCCAGGAGAUGCUCCUCCUGGGCAUGCUGGCCAGCUCCACUCAGGAAACCUCAGAAACAGUUUCUUUGAAUCGAGUGAAGGAGGAAGAAGUGACUUCCCAGGAAAAUCCCGAGAAGGAGAAGUCAUACAGAGGCGUUAGGAGGCGGCCAUGGGGGAAAUUCGCAGCAGAAAUAAGGGACUCGACCAGGCAUGGCAUAAGGGUGUGGCUGGGAACAUUUGACAGUGCAGAGGCAGCUGCUCUGGCCUAUGAUCAAGCUGCUUUUGCGAUGCGGGGCCCUGCGGCAGUCCUCAAUUUCCCGGUGGAAAGAGUGAAGGAAUCGAUGCAGGAGAUCAAGUGCAUCUUGGAGGAGGGGGGCUCACCAGUGGUGGCCCUCAAGAAGAGGCACUCUAUGCGGAGAAAAAGUCCUUGCAAGAAACAUAAAAGUGAAGAGGUGAGGUUAGAAAAUGUGGUAGUGCUGGAGGAUUUGGGUACUGAAUACUUGGAACAGCUCCUCACUUUCUCUGAGACCUCUAGUCCUUGAUCAUCAUCAUCCAUCACCUGGAUAGCUUCUUCUCUUUGCUCUGUUUCUUACUUUUCUCUCUCUCUCUCUCUCUCUCUCUCUUUUUUUUUUAUGUAAUUUUUCUUAAUGUAUUUUUGGAGAUGGCGGGGGUGUAGUGGUGGCAAUUAUCCAUCUAGAAUUUUUCAAAAGAUAUGUUCUUUUGUUUCUUUGUAUAAAGUUGAAAAGUGGGGAUCAAUUGUGAUGGUGCUCUAUGUUCAUCCACCCAAUUUAUAUAAUCAAGGUGAUUAAUGUUUUUUGAUAUCAACAAUUUGUGAAUGACAUAGAGAGAGAGAGAGAGAGAGACCUUAUUUUCUACACUCAUUACGGUGGUUUCCAUUUGGGGAAGGAAAAGGAAAUGGCUAAGAAUGUUACCAAAAGAAGUGGGGUGGCUUUCAUAUGCGUGGUGGCAUACUUGCAUACAAACUUUUCAAUUGUGUUCUGCAUGCCACUCGGGUCAAUUUCAUUUCUUUUACUCCUAGUAGCCUAAUUGGAUUUCCUUUUUCUCAUGAGACAUCAAAUAAAUUUCAUUUUUUUAUAUUUAAAUAGUUAGGUAAGUUUGAUAGUGAGUUAUAUUUUAUACAUUAAUUCAUCUUUUAGAAUGUUGUCUACAAUAUAAACAGUGUAAUUAAUUUCAUCAUUACAGAACAGUCAUCUUAUAAAAUAACAUAAAAAUUAUUGGAUCACUUGUAUGGCACCACUGAUUUGGACUUGGUAUGGCUCUGUUUGGCUUCAUAGAAAAAAUUUGGACCCAAUUUGAAUGUCUUGCAUAAAAAGAGAUACGUCCCACUUUGAAUGAUAUUGAAGAAAAAAAUUUCUGAUGAAGAAUAUAUUGUUGGCAGGGUCAUGCAGGCCAAUAGGGAAACGAUAAAUUCAGAAGAAUGAGUCCAAACCAGUGGGCUUGAAAAUUAAGAAGAGAAUUGCUGUAUAAAACAAUCAUUUCUUAAUCGAGUUCACUUUCUGAAUAAUCGUCACUUUGAGAAUGCAUACUUAGGAAGAUGAUGAUCCUUAAUGGGAAUAAUCAAAGGCAUCAAAAAAUUGUUCUGGAACAAUUCUUGAUUGUCUCCAGUAAAAUUCAAAGUCAAAAGUCAAAAGUCCAGUCGGUCAACACCAAACCAGGCCAGUCCAAAAGACAUUAAUUUGCAAUCUAGAAUCUAUGAUGAGGUGGCGAAAUCAAACCUUGGCUUUUCACCAGGGAAUGGUACUCUGAAUUUGGUCAGUUCACUGUUUCGAGUGAAUAGGGUGUAGUAAUUAGUAAAUCAUAUUUUAGAUUUGUGUCACAAGUUACAAGGGAUAUGGGCUGACGUUCAAUUUUGGCGACAAUUUGUGGGCCCGUAUAUUUGUUGAGAUGUGGAAAUUGGGUGUGUGCUUUUUUCUGCUACCACAUAAAUAUAUUUCUUUGAAUUGAAGAGUGUUUCAGACCAUUUUUUUUCAAGUCACAAAUGGACAACUGAUUGAGAUUGUAUUGGUGAGAGUAGGAGUUUAUUUUGGGCUGGUUGAGCGAAGUUGAAAGUCGAGUUGGACCUAACCCUUGAAUUCAGCAGACUACAGUCCGAUCCUGUAUUUUGGAUUUAGGGAACCUUCUUUCCCAGAAGCUUCGUCUGGGUUUUAAAGUCUAAAUGUGGCUACUCUUAAACAUUGGAGAAAGGAUGAGCGUUCACAAGCAAAUGGGUAAUUGUGGAUGGUUCAAGGACCUGGCCAGCUGGUCUUCAAGUUUGGAUGCCGGUUUGGGCCUGAGAGAGUCUUUGCAAAGUGACUUCACUUCAGCCUAUGAGAUCAAGAUAUCAUGGUGAUGUCCGAUCACUUAGGUUUCAUUUUCACCUCGGAUUACCGUUACCAUGUUCAUGAAUAAAAAUAAAUAAAUAAAUGAAGCCUUAUAGAGAAAUUAAUGAAGUGAGCUAUACAAGCAACUGGGCCAGGAGCCUACAAGGCAGAAAUUCCCUGCCCUAGACUAGGCCGAAUAAAUUAGAUGAAUGAAUUGGGGAAACCUGGGCCAGCCACACAUCCUCCUGAAGGCUGAUGUCGAACUCGCUUACGAGGAAUGGACAUGGGAGAUUGGGCUGGGACCAAAUAACCAAUUGACAGCCCUAUCCUUGUGGCAAGACGUCAGUAAAAUGGUUCAUUCUGAUUUUACGCUGCCAUUCAAUUUAAUUUUAAUUUUUGUUUAAAGCGAUGUACAAAUUGAAUGGUGUCUAGUCACUUAAAGAGUGGUUCAUAAUACACUUAAUUUAAACAAAAAAGAAAUUAUUAGAUAGGGGAUUCUCCAAUAAAAACCACCCCAUCUUGUCAGCAAGUCCGGAAACUUCCUUCACUUAGGGCGUAUUUGUUUUUUUAACUUUAAUAUUAAAGAAAGUUGGUUAAACCUUAUGACACUUUUAUAUUAUUUUAUGAAUUUUUUUUAAUUUUUAUUUUAAUGGAAUUUUAACUUUAAUACAAGUUGGAGUAAUUCUUAUCUUAAAAACAAAUCAAAAUUACUUUAAUUUUAUAUAGAAAUAAACUUACAGUAAAUUUACCAUGAAAAUUUCUAAGUCAAAUACACCAUAAGUGCUAGUAUUUUAUAAUAUUUAGAAACAUGUUAAAUUAUUAUUAUUAUUUUUUAAAAUUAUUAGUUUUCAUAUUAGUUUUAGGGAAACUUGUGCUUUAGGUCUUUUAUUUGCAAAUAAUAUGGUUUUCAAAUCCUAAGAAUAGAAAAUAUGAGAAUCAACUGUUAAUGUGGAAAAUAAUAUCAAUUUUGUGCAAUCUCUAUUGACUCAUUUUUUUGUGCCUAGAUUGCCUUCACCCACUUCCAUGUCAACAACCACAUUAAUAGAUUGUUUUUUUUUUAUAAAACAAAUAAUUAUUAUGUUUAAAAUUUUGGGGAAACUCUCUAUCUCUCUUACUUCUUCACUACAUCCGAGACCCAUCUUCCUUAAACGUUUGCCUCUCAUUUUGCCCUAACCCCAAAUCUCAUAAAUUUCUCAUUUUCUUGCCUCAUUUGAAAUAUGAAGAUGACCGAUUCUCAAACAUCUCUGUCUCUCUCUUCACGUUUUGACCAGUCUAAUUGGAAACCCAUUUUCCAAAAACCUUCUUUCUUUCAUUUUGCCCUAACCCCACUAUCUCCCUCUUCAAGACCUAAUCACCCAAACUCGAUAUCUAUCUUCCCAAAACCUUCAAGCAAACUGAACUAGACCCAUAUCUUCUUUUUUCAUCAUCAAAGGUGAAAUUUUUUUAAGGCUUUUGGAAACCGAAUUGGAGCUUUCCCUUCUUCUGGGAUUAAUCAUUCGCAAGUGAGUUUUCCAUUUAAGGCUUUGUUUGGCUGUUGAAAUCUUGGGAUCAAAGGUCUUUUAUUUUCAGGUUUCUUGUAUUUUGCUUUAUUUUCUUGUAUAUAACAAUAAUCAUUGUAACAUAUGCUAGUAGUUACCCUUGGUGCAACUUUACAUUUCCAAAUACCCUAAAGUCCAAAGCUUUUAAUUCCCUUUUCAAAGCUUUCAACUUUGAAAGCAGACUAAACCAUAAGAACUAUGAAACUUAUAUCUCUAUCACCACUAAUUAAGCAUGUCUAUGAAUCCUUCCACUUUAAGUCACUUAUUCUCAAACCAAGAAGGGCUCCUCUCAUUCUCACCCCACCUCAUCUAAAUGAGGGAAAUGAUCAAUUGCAGCCAUGCUUUGCACCAAAUUAGAGAAGUGAUCCUCCCAAUCAUCCAUUACCAAAAAUUGAUCAUGCUGAUGAGAUCAUAAGAGUCUAUUCGGAACUCCCAGUUUACUUGCCUCUUAUCUCAGGAUCCUCCAUUACCCCCUGUCUUUCCAACAUCAAAUCAACUUGCAAACAAUUCCUUUGUAGAUAAAAUGUUUUUAAUAUUGCAAAAGGGGACUUAUCAUAAUGGUUGAAUCGAUUUAUUUGAUAUAAUCACUCAAAUUCAAGCUUAAAAUUGAUCAUAAUAAAAUGUUUUUAAUAUUGUUAAAAGGAGAUUAUAAUGGUUUUAUUUGAUAUCAUUACUAAAAUUCAAGCUUUCAAACAUGCUCUACAAAGAAGUUCUAAAAGACUACAAGAAAGAGUUUCCACUAAAGAAAAACAAUGAAACCAUUUCUACUAAAGACAAACAAUGAAACCACAGAUGCUUUGUGAAAUAUGUACCCGCACAAUCCAACAAACUUUAGAAAUUCACAAACACUACCUAGAAUUUUUGCUGACCAGCAAAAAAUUUAUGCAAUUUAAUUCUUAUUGUUAUUAUUAUUUUCAAUGUGAACAAAUAUGAUUGAAUUAUGAAGUAUUUGGCCAGAAGAGGAUCUUGCCUAAUUAUAGUCAUUAAACAACCAUUUAUACCAUAGCCUCUAGACUUUAAAAAGUUUAUAAAACUCAAGGGCUUCCACCCAAUUUCUAGAUAUCUCCAUAACAUUCUUCUGACUAUUAGAAAGCAAUUACCACUUUAAUUUUUCAUUUCAUGAGUGUUCAAUUCAGAAAAAGACCAGGAUCGAACUUGCGAUCAUGCAGUCGAAAAUCCACCUGUGCAUGAAACUAUUGCCUCACGAUUGCAAACUCAAGUUGGAGUCCAGUAACAACUCUAGGUUUGCUGAUGUGCUCCAUUUGAAAUAAAGGAACUAAAGAAUACUUUAUAAAGAUUAAUUACCUUCAUAUUUUAGGUUGGGGUUAAGGCAAAAUGUGAUAGAUUGAGAGGAAGAAAAUAUAUCUUGUUCAGGAAGCCAAUAUUUUGGAGUUCACCUUUCCAUUCGAGUCCACUCUGCUAUAGCAAAAUCAGAGUCACAACUAUGCCUCUUUAAGCUAUCCUUUAAUUGGAUGAAUUGCAGAUUUGGUUGCUGAGAAAGUGGAUAAGAAAGAAAAAUGCAUACUGUAGCUUGAGAUUAAGAGUUUGUUUUCUAAAAUGAGAGAAAGGGAAAGAGAAAAAAUGCAUAUUGUAGCUUGAGAUUAAGGGUUUGUUUUCUAAAAUGAGAGAAAGGGGAAGAGAAAUGUUCGACAACUUUGAGAUGACAAAUUUUUAGAUUUGGAAAAUUUGAGAUGAGUCUCAGGUUUUUUUUUUUUUUUUUUUGUCUUUGUCUUUGUUUUUUUUUUUUUUUUUUGUUUUUUUCCCAAAAACAACCUGUUAAUGUGGUUGUUGACAUAGAAGUGGGUGAGGGCAAAAUGGGCAUAGAAAAAAGAGUCAACACAAAGUGCACAAAACCCAUAUUAUUUUCCACAUUAAUGACUGAUUCUCAUAUUUCUUGUUCUUGGGAUUUGAAAACCAUAUUAUUUGCAAAUGGACCUCCCAAAGCACAGGUUUCCCUUAGUUUUAUGUCUCCAUCUACAUUUUACAUAUAAAUAGAUUAUUUUAUAAAAUUUGUUUUGUAGAUAUAUUAGUUAAUAAUUAUAUAAUUAAUGAUAUAGAAAACAUAUAAAAAUCAUAUUUAAAAAAGAUAAUUACAUAUUCCUCAACAAUCCAUCCCAAGAAUUCGAGGUUGAGUUGAAAACAUGUAGAGUCUUUGAUGUUAUUAUAAUCAUAUCCAACACAUAUGAUUAUUGUUUAUGAGAUAUUAUUAGAAAGUUUGUCUUAAAAUAAUUGAUUUAUUACCCACCUUUAGCAAAUGCCCAUUUUUGCGUCUUUCAAAAUUUUCAUUUUUUUUUUGUUUAAAAGAAGUAUUGUAAAGAAUGAUGAAAUAAGAAAUUUGUUGAGAAAGUGUGAGUAAAUAAUUUUACAUAAAAAGAGAUUUAAUACUUGAUAAAUAAAAUAAUAAAAUCAUGAUUUCUAGUUGUAUAGGGCCGGGUGGAUGGAGUGGCUAAGAUGUAAUUCUUGAAAUAGAGGAGACAACAUCAAUGUAUAAAAGUUUAACAGAGAAGGAAAGUGUGUUUGAAUGACUUUAUUUUCUUCAUUUAAAGUUUUGACGAUGAGUGUUUAUACAAGAUAAAUUUUCAAAUGAUAGGACUCCUAUUUACAUGGAGUUUGUGAUAUACUAUGAUUAUACAAAUUUAAAAUUCAAACAGAUUCAUGAGUUGAUAGGAGUCUGCUCAAUACGCCCCUUCAAAAUGGUGGGAGAUAGCACACCAAUCUUGACUCGAAGGGCCUAAACUCGUGCAGAAGAUGAGGGCUUUGUUAGAGCAUCGACAAGUUGAUCCGUGGUUGACAUAUGGGACACCUUGAGCUCACCUGAUUAAACCUUGUUUCAAACAAAAUGAAAAUCAAUCGCCGAUGUGUUUCAUGGAGAGUGAAACAUGGGAUUUGCACAAAGAUAUGUUGCACCCACGUUAUCACAAGAGAUAGGAGGUGGUGAUAAAUUUGAAACACUAAGUUUUGAGAGAAGAGAAUUAACCCAAAGAACCUUUGAGGCUGUAGAGGCCACGACGUGAUAUUUCGCUUCAGUGGAAGAGCGUGCUAUGAACUUUUGUUUCCUCGAUGACCAAUACACAAGAUUGUGACCAAGAAAAACAAUGGGAGCAUUGGUGGAGGAUCUGACAUAAGGAUUCCUUGCCCAUUCAACAUUCGAAUAUGCAUGUAGAUUGAUGGGCGAUUUCUUAUGCAAGAACAGACCAUGCACCAUUGUGCCGACUAAGUAUCUAAGCAAUCUUUUAACACAAGACCAAUGUGUUGAUGUUGGAUGGUGCAUAAAUUGAGAUAAUUUAUUCAUCAAGAAGGUGAUGUCAGGGCUAGUAAGAGAGAAGUAUUGAAGGCUUCCAACAAUUGACAUAUAUUUAGUGGGACCAGGAAAAGAGGUGUCAUCACACAGAUUUGGAACAUUGUUGAGGAACAUCAAUGAUUGAACUGGUUUGGUAGCCACCAUUUGUGUUUUCUUAAGAAGCUCUCGAAUGUACUUGAGAUAAAAAUAAUCCUUUGGAAGUAUGUAUCAUUUCAACACCAAGAAUAAAAGAUGAAGUCCUGAGAUCCUUAAUGGAGAAUUUGACUGCUAAUUGAGAGAUCACGCGAGCACGAAAAACAUUAUUGUUACUUGUUAAAAUAAGAUCAUCAAUAUAAAUAAGUAGGUAAACAAUGAGACCACUCUUUUUAAAAAUGAAGAGGGAUGUCUCGGUUUAGGAGUUGACGAAGGCUAUUGAGAGGAGAAAUUGGCAAAGUUCAUGAUACCAUGAUCGUGGAGCUUGUUUAAAGCCAUAAAAAGCCUUACAAAGUUGGCAAAUGUGAUGAUGUGUGUAUUCGUGAACCCAGGAGGUUGAAUCAUGUAAACAUCUUCAUGAAGUGUCCUAUGCUAGAAUGCAUUAUUAAUGUCCAAUUCAUGAGUUGAUAGGAGUCUGCUCAAUACAAUGUGGGAGUGUGAUUUCAAAAUUAGGGUAAUUUCGAAAUGGAUUUUGUAUUCACAAGUUGAAUUUCAAAAUUAUUUUGAAAUGGUCUUUUAACUUUAAGCAGUUGUGUUCAAAAGGUCAUAACUUCUUCGUUUCAAUUUUGAUUUACACAUUGUUUAAAACAUUGGACUCUUUACUUCCCGAGCUUCAAAACGAUAUAUAGUAUGCUCAAAAAUGACAUCAGGAUUGGUUCAAAUUUCAUCUUGAUAUUAGAGUACAUGUUGUGAUUAGAUUUUGAGUUCCAAAUUUCCAUGUAAACUUGAUUGCAUUUGCUUCAAACCUCCUUCAUUAUGGUUGCUUGCCCUCUAUCUCACUUUGCAACAUUUGUUACUAGUAUUUUAUGUCCAUGACUUACUCAUUUCAACCUUUCUUGGAUUCUUCAUGGUUCACAAAUUAUGGAUUCUUCAUGGUUCACAAAUUGAGUCUUUCAAUUAUGCAUGUUUAACUCCUAUUUCCUUGGUUGAUAAUGACUUUUACACUUAUCAUUUUCUUUUAUUCUUUAAACCUGAAUUUAGACUUACAAAAAAAAGUUAGAUCCAUAACUAGGGUCUUAGCAUCAAUUUGAGUUAAGUUGGAUGAUUUGAAAAUUUUAUAUUACAUAAAUCAUAUCAUACAUGUGCCAUUGGAGUGCACAUUUUGGCUCUAAUCAUGUUCCAACCCAUUGUUUUACUCUUGCAUGAAGUAUGUGGCCAUUGAUUUUAAUUUUAUUUGCGAUUAGGUUCAAAAUGGUGCUUUUGUGUUGCUCAUGUGUCAUCAGAAGAUCAACUAAUGGAUUCUCUAACAAAACUACUACAUCAUAGUCAUUUUUUUUUUUCUUAAGACCAAGAUUGAGAUCUCCAAUCGGAGCCAACUCCAUCUUGGGGGCAUGUUAGUGAAAGAUAAAAUUUAUCUUUAAUUUAAAUAUUAAUAUUUAUCAGUUAUUAGUUUUAAUUAGAGUAAAAGAUAGAGUUUAAAUUGGAGUAGGAGAUAAACUUGUGUUUGAACUAGAAUAGAAGAUAAAGUAUAAAGAUUUAUGUUUGAAUUAGAAUAAAAUAUAAAGUUUGAAUUAGAGUAGAAGAUAAACUUGUUCUUUAUUUGUAUAUAAAUAUUCAUCAAUUCUUGAGAAGAAGAUUAUUUCAUAGUUUUUCUAUCUUCUUUUUUCUUCAUACAUAUCUGCAAGAAAUUGAAGAUUUCAAGUAAAAUAUUUUCUGUUUUAAAUAGUGAAAAAAGCUAGAAAUUCACUUUGUUAUCUCUUGGGGUAAAUUGACAAGGUUUAACGUUAAGAAGGUGAAUUAUUUUUUCAGAAAAACUGAAGUAGCUAGGAUAUCUGGCCAGUUGUGAUCGAUAAAAAAGUUGUAAAAUCUCUCAUAUACUAAACAGGUUUUGGAUGUUGGUAUGGUAAAUCCAUCUGCAGUCAUUCGUCAUCUCAUCUAGUGAGAUGUUUGGGAGGUGGUGACCGCCGGAUUGGGUUUCAUUUGGUUAAAUCUGUCAGUGGGUUGGCUACUACCCGAGCCUCUUGCUUUGGGGGAGGUGGGUUCUAGAUAUAAUGUUCAAACCAUUUUAGUUAUCAUAUGCAUGACAUGUAAGCAUAAUCUCUUUAUCACUUCUUCAAUGGGAGUUCAUGGUUAGGAAUUGACUUCUUUUCUUCUGGGAUGCUUGGCAUGUAAUGGACAAAGUUACUUUUAUAUCGAUCGAAUUUCUAGUAUUAUAGUGAAGACUUACCCUUUUGACAUUUUAUAUCGAAUUAUAGAAGAUGAAAGGGACAUACAUGCAAUCGACUGACGCUUUAGUGAAUAUGCUGAAAAUAUGCUGAUGCUGUGGAGAUCGUAUGAGGACAGAGGAAAAAGAUAGAAAUGGAUAUAUAAUUAGACCUAGGUUUUUAUUAAAUGAGAUGGGGAACAUAGAGUGAGGGAAAAUCAAAAUUUUUGGCUGCAGUUCACAUUGGUGAUAUUUUGGAUUGACAAAGACUAACGACUUUUCUAUUUUUCUUUUCGGCCUGACUGGAUAGUUGGACAUGGACAAUACAGAAUCCACAGAAGGAUUGUUGGGACCGCUGAAAAUUAGCUAGAAGAAGCUGAGGAAGUAGUCUACGUAGUCAAAUACCAAACACAAAGAAAGAAAGAAAUGGAUAUCAUGGAUGCCUAGAGUUAUACUCCUAAUACCGUCACAGGUAUUUUUCUUUCCUCCUUUUUUUUUCUACGAUAAUUAGAGCAUUUCUCCUCCUCCUCCUCCUCCUCCCCCCACCCCACCACCAAAAAAUAAAAAAAUAAAUUAUUGCAAGUAACACUUCAAAUAUUAAUUUAUACAUUCUAAAGUAUAUAUUCAUGAAAUAACUUGAGUAUCAUACAUUAGUUCUCAAAAAAAAAAAAAAAAAAAAAAAAAAAUUACUGGAAGAGAAAAGUUUAAGAAAACAUAAAAAUAUUCAACUACUAUUUUAAAGAGAAAAUUUAAUUUUUACACUAUAAAUUUGAAGAGAACUUUUACAUGCAUCUUAUAUAAACUACCAUUUUUUGCUAAAAGGCUUAAAUUUGUCAAAAAUACCCCUUAGGUGCUUAACGUUCUGGUCAUAAUAUAAUUGGCAUCUUUUCUCAAACAUAAGGCCUGUGUGUGGGAACAAGAUUUAAUGUUAAUGAGCUUCGCCACCGACAUUUAGUUCCAGAAAUCAUUAUUUUAAUAGAGUGGGCUCAAUUUACAACUUUAAUUAAACUCUAACCAACUGCAUUGUGAAAUGAAUAUGUUUCUUUCGUGGUGAAUCCAAUGAGUUGGGAGUCAAACUUUGCUUCAUUGUGUAUAGAUGAAAUGUUAAGACUCCAUGUAACCUCAAACAUUUCCGCAAUNNNNNNNNNNNNNNNNNNNNNNNNNNNNNNNNNNNNNNNNNNNNNNNNNNNNNNNNNNNNNNNNNNNNNNNNNNNNNNNNNNNNNNNNNNNNNNNNNNNNUUCUUUCGUGGUGAAUCCAAUGAGUUGGAGUCAAACUUGCUUCAUUGUGUAUAGAUGAAAUGUUAAGACUCCAUGUAACUCAAACAUUUCCGCAAUGAGCGGGAGUUCUAAAUUUAAUAAUUGAAAUUGUCAGUGGAACCAGUGGACAAGAGUUGGUUUGUGGUUGACAAACUUAUCCGUUUGAUCUUUACUUGAACAGUUCCAGUGUGUGGAUGGGUACUGAUGAAGUGUGCGCAUUUAUUUUGAGAAGCCUGCUUGUUCGCAUAGAUUUUAACGACAUGAACAUUGUGGUAAGGUUAGAGAGUAAUGCGAAUGUAGGAGCUUAUAUUAGAAAUGACACAAACACGUAAAUAGAAGUAAUCUAUAUAUGAUAUUACUCAUGGACUACAAGCAAAGAAGUACAAUACAUGGAGUAAGUGAUGAAAUGAGCAUUCCUCACUACUACUGCUUGACUGAUGGAACAUGAUGCACGAGAUAGCAUAAGUAGUAGUAGGAAGCAGCUCUUAUUUGUGGCGUCGGUAUACAUCAUACUAGGUAGAUGGUUCAAUUGGCAUGGAUGGGUGGUGGAGCCUUGAAGUGCUUGUGAUGGGGAGCCCACGGCUUCUUCUCAGGAGUUGGUGGCUUCUUGUAUGGAGUUGAUGGAGGUGUUUCUACUGGAGGGUGGCCAGGGUAGUGACCCUGGGGUGGUGAAGGUUCUUUUGUCGGUGGUGGCCUCACUAUUAUUGGCGGUAGAGUUGGUGGCUUGGGCGUUGGCGGUGGUCUCACUACUCUUGGGGGUAGAGUUGGUGUCUUGUGUUUUGGUGGUGGAGGUGGCUUAACAGGAGUUGGUGGCUUGUAUUCUGGGGGUGGUUUCUCCACCGGAGGUGGCUUAUAAACUGGAGUUGGUGGCUUGUAUUCUGGGGGUGGCUUCUCCACUGGUGGUGGCCUGUAAACAGGGGUUGGUGGCUUAUAUUCUGGGGGAGGCUUCUCCACUGGAGGCGACUUAUAAACAGGGGUUGGUGGCUUGUAUUCCGGGGGUGGCUUCUCUACGGGAGGUGGCCUGUAAACAGGGGUUGGUGGCUUCUCCACCGGAGGUGGCUUAUAAACGGGGGUUGGUGGCUUGUAUUCUGGGGGUGGUUUCCCCAGUGGUGGAGACUUGUAAACAGGAAGAGGUGGUUUGUGCUCAUAUGGGGGUGGCUUGUGGUCAUUAGCAAGUGAGGGAGUGGUGAGGACCACCAAUCCAAGGAACAACACGAGUGAGCAAGCAGAAGACAUGUUUGGGCUCUGGUGAUGCACAAGUAGAAGAAAUGGGAACCAUUUAUAAUGCUUCGAGACCUUGGUUAGCACCAAAAUAUGUCAAAAUCUUGAUUACUUCAUUUCAUACAUAGAUUUAAAAUUAUUUCAAUCAACCAUGAUCCUUAAUUUUCUGGGUGGUCCAUAAAUGUAAUGGGGUCAAUUUGGGACCUAACAAGCUGAGAAGUUUGACAAUGCUGCAAGGCUUCAUCCGAAAGUCCGGGGAAGAAUAUUAGGAGUUACACUCCGUUUCCUUUUUUGGGUGCAUUUUUCUCCUUUAACAUUCUAUUCCCUUUUACAUUAGCAUUUGAUCUUAGCUCAUUUCAAGUACAAGUUUCUUGAACCCUAUACCAUUGUCAAAGUUGAGUAACCAUCUCUACUUUGCUCAAGAAACAUAAAAGACAAUGACAAUAAAGAAAAAGGAGAGAGACCAUACGUGACUUGGUUUAUAGGUGGCUUUGUGUUGACAUUUGAGUAUGGAAGCCGACAUGCAUCUUAGCUUCGAUUUUAAUUAAAUUUGUACAUUAGUGUCUGUGUCAUUCAUUUUGGUAUAAAAGGUCUCUUGAUUUCGUAAGUUUGGUAAGAACCGUUGAAAAUAGCAGUAGCAGCACAUGGUCCACUUUCUUUCACAAAAUAAUUUUAAAAGUUUAGAAGCAUAGGAGGUAACAUUAGUGGCCUUGUGGCUCAGCCACGAGUACUAUGUGGUGCUCGAGAAAUUGAGUUUAAUUUCCUUCCGAUAGUUCAUGAUAAGGUCCGUCACUGUCCUGAGACAGAUUGCGUUUUUUCUUUUUUCCUUUUUUAGUGUUUUAUUGACUAGCUAGGUGUGACUUUUCCUACUUUAAGGCACGAGGCAGAAAAGAAACUGGGAUUUAGUGCUUAAGAAGGCAAAUUUAAUUCGAUUUGGAUCUAAAAUUUGCCAGCAACAUGAGAUUUUCCAGCCUAUCGUUGCUCCACAUAUAGACAAGGCACUUGUAGAAGUGGCUUGUUUGUAGCCAUUCCCGAUAUUUGGACUCACUUGAUUCACCGGACACUUUGAUAAAAUUUAAUAUUUAUUAUUUAAUAAUUUAAAUUGAUUUAAAAUUAAAUUAUACCGAAGUUGUGAUUUAAAAAUUAUUAUUUAAUUCUUACUUUUAAAUAUGAAGAUUAUUUGAUAAAAAUAAUUUAAAAUUUAUUAUAAAUUAUCAAAUUAACAUAUUUAUCCUUAUAAAUUAUAAUUAAAACAGAAAAGGUCAAAUGAUUUGAGUAUCCAUAGAUGUGGUAAAAUAAUAAAAAAGAUUAUAAAAACAAUUAUGAUAAAUAAAGAUAAAAAGUAAAAUGAAUAUGUGAAUUUAAAGAAUAAAUUAAUUAUUUUUAUUUAUUACUUAAAAUUAUUUUUGACUUUAAAUUAUAUUAUUAAAUUAUUUUACCAAACAUACUUAAUUUAGUUAAUAAUUUAAAUUUAAUUUAAGUUAUUAAAUUGAUUCACCAAAUACCCACUUAAUCAAAGACUGAAGUAUACAUUAUUUGGCCAAAUGCAGCUAUUGAAAUUUAACUUUUUCCAAACUUAUUCAUUUUGUGGAAAUAUUUUUAGAAAUGAUUUUAAAAAUGCACUAUUCUGUGUGUUGAUUUUAUAUUUUGGCAUUAAUCCAACAUAGAAAACGGUUCUUAUUUUCGCUGUUAAAUAGGUACCAGAUCCUUAAUUAGUGCCGUGAAUCCGGCAGCUUCCAAUGAGUAAUUUGGACUUGGGUAUUGACAAUGUGUGGCCAUGCUUCUACUAUUUUAUUAUUCUUGAAACAUAUAUGAUAUAUUGGACUUUAUACAGGGAAAAAAAAAAAAAAAAGUCUUCACCAAAAAUGAUUCCUCCUAAAAAAUAGACUCCACAAACUAGGUUUAACAGGAAAAUGAUUCUAAUCUAGUAGUUUCCAGCCACAUGAGCAUUUACGUAACAAUAGUAUAGUUGAUAACGACUUUUAUUUUAUUUAUUUUUAAAUAGUUAAAGGGAUAAUUUUUGAGCUUAAAUUUUAUUUUUUUAUUUAGAAACAUUUUACUUUAUUUUUUAAUCAUAAUUCUAUUAUAUUAAUGUUUUAUUUUCUAUUUUUUAAUAUAUAAGGAGAUACUAAAUUUAUGUGAUUAUUUUUUAAAAAUUUAGUAUAUGAAAUUAAAUAAUUGGAUAUAUAUACAUAUAUCAUAUAAUGUUUUUUAAGUGUGAUUUUUGAACUUUUUAGUCAUUUUAUAAGUUUAAGCUUUUGAUUUUUUUUUUUAAACUUUGGUAUUUUUUAUUUUAUAUAAAACUAUUUUGAUUUAAUUUUAUUAAAAAAUAUUGGUAUUAUAAAUUAUUGUAUUAAUUAUUUUUUUAUAUUAUAAUGUAACUGGUAUAUACUAAAAAAUGUAUGCAAGUUCAAUUUAAGUUUCAAAUUAAAAAAUUUCAUUUAAAUAUUUAAUAACUUGUUCAUAAUAAAAAAUUAAACAACAUAAUACAAAUGAAAAGAAACAUAAAAGAAAAAGGAAAAAAUGGUCCUCUCUGUGUGUCACAUUACUAGGUCAUCCUCUUUUUCUAUGACCCUUACAAUAGAAUGGCAUAUUUGUCAAAUCUACUUAUGAAAGUUGGAAUGUUUCUACAUGUGUAGGGUCCAUUGGAACUAAUGGAGGAAAGGCUUAACGUCUAUGUAAAUCACAACGUUGCCUAGGUGGGCAUAGAUCUAGUUGUGUAACAUGAGAUGGUGUGAGAGUACAAUAUAUGCAUUGUAGUCUCUAUGGGAAGAGAGAUAGGUAAUGGUAGGGUGGUAGACGGUAGGGUGAUCUCUAAUAUAAUGACAUUUGAUGUGGUGGCUUCUAAGAGAGGAGAUAUAAGAGAUGGUAGAAUGACAUUUGGUGUAAUGGUCUCUAGUGCAAUGACAUGUGAUAUGGUGACCUAUAAAGAAGAGAUAUAGGUGAUGGUGAAGUGGUAUGUGGUGUAGUGACCUUUGAGAUAGAAAAUAGAGGUAAUGGUAGGUUGGCAGGUGGAGUGGUCUUUGGUGUAGUGACAUCAAUUAUAAAUGUCUCCAAGGGAGGAAAUAAAGGUGAUGGUAGGUAGUAAAUGUUGAGGUGGUCUUUGAUAUGUUAUGCUCUAAGAGAGAAGGUAUAGGUAAUGAUAAUAGGGAAUUUGACAUAGUGGUGUUGGAAAUAAAAAGUGAAAGUGACCGUAGAGGUGAAAGGGCAAGUGUAAAAGCCUCAAGUACGAAUGGAGUAAUUAAUGUGGAUGGUGCUAACAUAGUCUUAGGUGGAUACACAAAUAGUCAUAGUCAUCAACUAGCUUGCCCACCAUCUGUCUUUCUGCUAGUGAUAGGUUACAUCUUAAUAGUAAUGGCCAACAUAAGUGGUGUGGAUCCGAUUUUUUUACGUGUGUCCCCACUCAAUCGACAAGACUUAUUUUUUAUUAGUGAAAAAUUAAUUUUGGAAAAGUUGGAGUCACCACUUAUUUUAUUUUAUUUUAAAAAGGAAAGUAAAACAAGAAAGAGAACUCUAAAGAAGUGACUUCAUAGUUUUGGAAAAGUUAGUCUUAAAAAAUCCAAGUCUUGGUCCGGAGAUCAGGUUACUUAUUGGGAAGAUACCUCUAAGAGGUAAUACCCCUCUAAACCCUAAAGAAGUCUCUAAUGACUAAGUUGAGGAGAAUGUGGUAAUUAAUUAAUUGAUUGAGGGUACCUAGGUAGACUAAGGUGAUUUCAGAAUUAACAUACCAAGCUAGAAAGUCCAAUCAUGAUCAUAAAAGAGAGUCAAAGUAUGUACCUGAACUGCUUCUCAAACGCUAUCAUAAAACAUCAAAGUUAGUAUAGAAAUAUAACACAUAAUAUUUGUUUUAUCCAAGCAAAUAAAGCAUACAUCUAAGCACCCAAGAAUCACAUCAAGUAUGGAUAUAGUCAUCAAUAGCAUACGUGUCCAUAGAACUAUCGAAAGUAAAUGUGGAGGAGCGUAUCUGGACAACAUAGAUAACUUAUAAUGUGCUUCCACAAGACAUGGGGGUUAGAUAAAAGUUAUAAUAAUAAUUAGUAAAUGAAAGAAUUCUAGCAUGUUUGGUAUCUAAAUAACAUAGCAAAAAUGAACAAGAGUACACGAAAACAUCAAUUAUCACACGAGUCAUAUUGGCUAGUAUUUAAUCAAUAAACCAACAAUAAAUGACUAUAAACAUAUAAAAUGACAUAUUCAAAGAGACCCAAACAUAAAGAGCCUAGAACACAAGCUUACACUAAAUUUAGAAAACUAAAACAUGGAAUUUUAAAAGCAUAAAUUAGCAAACAAAUUGAUGGAAACUAAAUUUAGAUAACUUAAGAAUAUUUUUCUUAUCCUUCAAUUUAAAUCAGUAAGCCAACAAUAAAAAAUUAUAGAAACAUGGAAUAUCAAGAUCAAUGGGAUACCUAAACUAUAAUUUUUAAAAGAAAAUAAACUAAGCAUAAUAUCUACAAAGCAACUAAACUAACAUUUUUUUAAAAAUAAAUUAAACAUGACAUUAAUGGAGUAACCAAACUAAAUUAAAGUAAACUAAAAACAUUUAUGAAUUUUCAAACAUGGAAUCAGCUUUCUUAGUAAAUUAAAAUUAUUAAAAUAAAAUCUAAGCUUAAAAAUGAAUUAAAUACUAACUAAAGCAAAUCUAAAACCAAAUAUUUAACACAUAGGAUCAAUUAUAUUAACAAACUAAAAUUUUAUAAGAACACUUAAACCUAAAGUUGAAUUAAAAACUAACCAAUUUUUAAAACUAGAUCUUUAACCCAUAGGAUCAAUUAUAUUAACAAAUAAAUAAUAAAUAAUAAAUAAAUAAAACUCAAACCUAAAGAUGAACUAGAAAUGUACCAAAGUAAAUUCAAAACAAGAUCUUUAACACAUUAGAUCAAUUAUAUUGACUAACUAAAAAAAAAAAAAAAAAACACUCAAACCUGAAACGAUGUAUUAGAAACUAACCAAAGCAAAUUUAAAAUAGAGUCUUUAACACAUAGGAUCAAUUAUAAUCACUAACUUAAAUUACAAUUUUUGAAACAUGAACUAAUUAGUGUUGGAUUAAUUAAACUAAUUAACUAAAAAAAACUAUAAACUAGAAUACGGUGAAUCAAGAAUUCAAAUCAACAAACAUAAAAUAUGGGUACAAUGAAAUGAAAAUCUAUUAAACUAAUAAGACGGAAAUAUGACAAACUCAUGAACCCACAUUUUGAUCAACUAGGAAAUAGAAAUUAAUAGACCUGUAGCAUGGAUACAAUGAAAUGAGAUCAGUUAAAUUUAUUUGCCGAAAUUCUAAAAAACACAUACACUCAAAUAAGAUCUAAAUCUAAGACCAAGCAAAACUCAAACUUUCUCAAUCUAAUGCAAUGAAUCAAAACUAAAAUUAAAUAGAAAUCAAACCAUUUUUUUUUUAUCUAAUAUAAUAAAUCAAAGCUAAAACUAAACAAAAUCGAAUUUUCUUAAUUUAAUAUGAUGAGUCAAAGCUAAAAUUGAACAAAGUUCAAACCUUUAUAUAAUGGAUCAAAGUUAAAUCUAAAUGAAAUCCAUACUUCCACAAUUUGAUAUAACAAAUCAAAAAUAAAACUAGAUAAAAAAAAAGUCAAAGCCUUUCAACUUGACAUAGUGAAUCCAAACUGAAACGAAACAAAAUUUUAACUUUUCCAAUGAAACCCAAUAUAGAAAAAAUUAGCUUACCUUCUUUAGAAUAUAUGUAUGGGCCAUAAAGAAGUCACCUUGGUGCAUGUGUUCCUCACUUUGACGCCAAUGGACGACUUUCUAUGGUAGCAAAUGGAGAUCCUUUUUGGUGGUAACUUGCGUGUGGAAACCUAUGGUACAACCAAUGUCAUCUUUUAUUGUGCGUGUGGACCAAUUUCUUCUCGAGAACUCAUGUGUGUUGUGCUCAAAAUAUGUUGCCUGUGAGAAUCUAUUGGUAUACCCCACAUAUGGUUUCCUUGAGAGAAUCUGUGGUUGUGUGUGGGCGUUUUCUUCAUGACAGCAUGUGGAUGUUCCCAUCUAUGGUAGAUUGGUUGUGAUGCUUUAGUGCAUGGUCUCCAUAGGAAUAGUGUGUUAUGGAAAUUUGGUUUUUUUAUUGGUGCAUGUUGUCUAGACUUUCCCAUAUGCGUGGACUGUGUGUUCAUGCUUUUCUUUUCGGAUGGUCGCCUGUGUUAAUGUGUGGCGGUGUCUACAAUGAAAGAUACAACCCUUUCUCUCCUUCUGCGUGAUAGAAAAGUCAAUCCCCCAUGGUGCGACUAUGUUCCCUCGUCCUUUUUGAAAAAUUUUGGUGUUUUCCCCCCAAAAAAUCCCCUCCAAAAAUCUAAUUAUAAAUGUCUGCUUUGGCCUAAUGUGUGUGCUACUUUUUUUUUCCUUCUUUUUAUGGUUGUGCGUGCUUUUCUUGAUACGUGGCUUAUUUCUUAAGGAUAUGAUUCGCUCCCAAUUGGUGUCUCAGCUGAUUCAUGUCCUUUCAAUGGUCCCUGACAGUGGUGCCAUUUGAUUCGUGUCCAGCUGGUGUCCCUUGAUUGUGGUCCUCAGAAGGGAGUAAUCAAUAAAAUUUAUAACCUAUUACACCAUGUAUUAGGAUAGCCUUAGCUAGCAUAGCAUAGUGGCUCUAGGGUCGUUUAUUGGGAUGAGUUUUCACUUCACAAUUGAUAUUAAUUCAAGAGCUGAAUUGGUGCCUUUUCAUUUCAAGGUUAGCUUUAAAAGAAAACAUAAUCUUUGGUGGAAAAAGGUUUGGUUUUAAACUAACCAAAAAUAGUAACUGAUUUUACUUACAAAGAAAAGUGUUCUUUGGAGUUUAGAUCACUAGGCUCAGGUUCCUCAUACAAAAAGGAGAGUUCCGAUCAUUUGUUUCUUUUCCUCGCAUUAGAGAAUUAACAUAUAGUUAAUUCUCUAACCGGUGCGGUACAUAUGCUUCCCAUUAAUGGGUUCAAACACUAAAUACCUCUCACUGAUGCACCUUGCAAUGGCUCGUGCCUCUCACCUAGCAUUUAUCAUUCAAGGUGAUCUUUAACCUUGGAUUACCCAUCAAAAGCUCGCAAGAGAUAACUAAAGGAUGUCUCCUUAGAGUCCAAAAGCUUACCAAGUGUUGGUUAUUCUAGAAAAUCCUACCUUCAAACCACCUCCCAAAGGCUCGCAAGAGAUAAACAAGUGCAUCUCAAUGGAUGAAGAUCACUUGCCUUACCAAGUUUUGGCCCAGAUGAUUUAAUGACAUUUUAAGUUAACUAAAAAGAUAAAAACCAUUAACGGGUCACACUUUCUCUUCAUUAAAAACUAAAACAACAAAACUUCCAAUUUAUGCAUGAGGAAACUUACCUGGCUUUCUUCACUUCAAGAGAUGAAGAGCCUAGCCACUCAUCAUUUGAGGAAAAAUCCUCAGAGUUUGAUUUGCUAGAAAUAAAAAUAAUGAGAAAACAAAAAUAUAUAUAUGAAAAACAGAGCAAGUUCUCUGUAAUAUAUUUUUCUUCCUUAUACAAAAGGUUGUCUCUAAGAACAAGUUCCCGAGAUCUAUCUGAUUGUAAAUAAAAUUACAACUAUAUAUAAGAGGUUAUUCACCCCUUUGUUCUUUCUUAAAGACUAAGGAAUCCUAUGAUAGGUGGGUUACAAGGAGAGUUUGGGGAUUUAGACAUCAAAUAUCUAAAGCAAAAUAUCUCAAGAUGUUAGUCGGAAAUAUCAGGAAGCUUCAGGAGAACACCGCGACACUGUAUACUGAGAGAAAAACUCUCCGGGUAAGCUCUAUCAAAGGAUCCAGACAUGUCUGACUGGGAAAGUUGAAACGUCCUUCUCUCCCAUCCGGAUGUGAGAUAUCCGGAGAAAGUGAAAUGUCGGUCGGACAGAAUUCUUUCCCCGGGUGGAAUGAGUUGUGUUGCGCGUCGCAAGGGGGACCGUCUGCGUGUACAAGUUGUAGGGACCCCUCUCCCGGAUGACACCGAGCGCGUAAGGCUAUCCGGAUCAACUCCAUUCGGAUUCCCCAAGAGGACAUGUGGCGUGCUCCCCUAUCAGGACUCCCUUAGGGAGAAGCACACGACACUCGUGAACAUCAUACCCGGACGAUAGCAUGUCCUAUCCGGAUGUGUUGUCCGGAUCAUUGACUAAAGUGAGCAAGCCUUGCUACGUCAUUCGGACAGCUUGCCACAUACCAUGUUCCGUCGCCAUCUGAUGGUGUGUCCGAACGCCUUGUCCGGACAUCUUUUGCUCCUUGCAUUCCGGAUUUGCUUAUGACAAAGGACUUCAAAGCUUCGGUUCUUCAUGUUUCUGAGCUUUCCAUUGCUUUGCCAUGGAUUCCAAAGAACUCUCCUUAAUCACGGAUUGCUUUGGUGAUCAAAAAGUUAUCAAAACACAAAAACUUAACAUAGUUUGAUUAGAAUUGAUUGCAAGGGUUCUUAAUAUGUUAAUUGGGUUAAAAGGUGAUAACUACUACUCAAAAGUGUUUAUAAGAAUUAAUUACAAGCUAUGAAAUAACACUUUUUGAGUAGUAAUCAGGAUACAUCCUAGUUUUUCAUGGAAUUGAUAGUGGGUUGUUGUGCAUGAAUGCCACCAUUUCAACUAUGCUGUUGUUAUUUUUAAAAAAAAUAUGGAUUAUGCGCGAGUGGCAAUUCUCCACUAUGGAAAGUGGAUUGCUCCUUCAACCCAUGCAUGGCUACGUAUUCCUAUGUCUUUCUACUUGUGUUUGAUCCUCCAAAAAAAAUUUCGGUUUAGUGCUAGUAGAUUUUAAGUGGUGGAUCCCCAUUUUUUGAAAAUGAAGUGGCAGCCUCCCAUUUCAAGACAAAAUGGUAGCCUGCCUUUAAUCUUUGGAGAAAAAUCUGUGCAUGACCUUUUUUUUUCCCAAAAAAUCCGUGCAUGGUGUCCUUUAAUAUUUGGAGAAAAAUCUAUGUUGGAUCUUUUCUUUUCUAGAAACAUUUGUGUGGUCUUUUUUGUUAGCCCAAGGGUUCUUCUAAUCAAGUUUUGAUGAUAACAAACCAUGGUUAAGUGACUAAUUGGUUUAAUGAUUAAGAAUCUCAAACAUAAAAUCGAAAAUUCAUCAAAGGACCAAAUGGAUACAAGAUCGAGACGCUUGGAAGACUUGUAAUCAUAGGAAACUAAUGUAAGAUGAAUGCAUGAGUGCACUUAGGAUUUUCACACGUUUCAUGCAACUUAGAAAACCCAGUUUAUUCUUUAAAACUUCAUCCCAGUUUAUUCUUUUUAUGGUUGUGUGUGCUUUCCUUGAUACGUGGCUUAUUUAUUAAGGAUACAUCCCAGUUUUUCAUGGAAUUGACAGUGGGUUGUUGUGUGUGAAUGCCACCAUUUCAACUGUGCUGUUGUUAUUUAAAAAAAAAAAAAAUGGAUUGUGCGCGAGUGGCAAUUCUCCACUAUGGAAAGUGGAUUGCUCCUUCAACCCAUGCAUGGCUACGUAUUCCUAUGUCUUUCUGCUUGUGUGUGAUCCUCCAAAAAAAAUUUUGGUUUAGUGCUAGUAGAUUUUAAGUGGUGGAUCCCCUUUUUUUGAAAACUAAGUGGCAGCCUCCCAUUUCAAAACGAAGUGGUAGCCUGCCUUUAGUCUUUGGAGAAAAAUCUGUGCAUGACUUUUUUUUUCCCAAAAAAUCCAUGCAUGGUGUCCUUUAAUAUUUGGAGAAAAAUCUAUGUGGGAUCUUUUAUUUUCUAGAAAAAUUUGUGUGGUCUUUUUUGUUAGCCCAAGGGUUCUCCUAAUCAGGUUUUGAUGAUAACAAAUCAUGGUUAAGUGACUAAUUGGUUUAAUGAUUAAGAAUCUCAAACAUAAACUCGAAAAUUCAUCAAAUGACCAAAUGGAUACAAGAUCGAGACGCUUGGAAGACUUGUGAUCAUAGGAAACUAAUGUAAGAUGAAUGCAUGAGUGCACUUAGGAUUUUCACACGUUUCAUGCAAUUUAGAAAACCCAGUUUAUUCUUUAAAACUUCAAUUUCAUUAAAACCCGAGUUUUUAACUAAUGUACCUUAGGCAAAAUGUUUUAUAAUUGGCUUAAUAAUUCACCUAAAUACAUUUUCUAAGUGUUAGAAAAGAAAGGAAUUAAAAAAAGGUUUUCGGGGCAAAAAAGGCUCAACCGGUCGAGGCUAUGGUCAACCGGCUCAACCGGUUGAGGAACCAAUCGAUCGGUUGUGCUUGUCCGAUCGAAGACCAAUCGAGGGAUGCCAAAAAAUUUCUCUCUCUCCUAGUGGCCUUCUCUUCCCGGUCGAGGUUCGGUCUAGGCAACGGUAACAUGUCAAGCAUUAAAUGCUCCGACGACUAGUGAAUCGGUCGACCCCUAGCCCGAUCGGACGAGGUUGCCUUUUGCUGUUUUUGACUCCCGAGCUUAGAAACCUAUAAAUUGAGAGCUCCACUUCAUUUAUUGAUAAAAGAGAACACUUGCAUUCAAUAGUCUACCUACCUUUUCUUGAUCAAAAAGCUCUCAUUUCCUUCAUAGUGCAUUAAAUCAUCACUUGCAUAUCCUUUAGUGCACUAUUGUGUGUCAUCCUAGCUUUGUUUUGUAUUUGAGCUAUCCUUAAGCUAGGUUGAGGGAUUAUUUCUUAUAAAAAUCUGAGUGUUAAAGCCUUCAAGAGAUUUGAAUCUUGAAGAGAUUGUGUAAGAGCCCAUUGGAGCCGGAGUCCAAGUGUAAGAAGAUUGGAAGCUUGGUUGAAGCUUCAAGUUAGUGGAACCCUCACUCGGUUAGGAGGUUGAGGAGAGUGGACGUAGGUAAGGAAGUGUCGAACCAUUAUAAACCCGAGUUUGAAUUCUCUAACUCUAUCUCUUUAUUUUGCUUAUAUUGUGUUUGAAUUUGUUGUGAUUGAAAAGAUUUUAAAAACCUAAUUCACCCUCCCCCCUUUUGGGUUUUUUUUUCUUAAUUAAGCAUAACCUUUGUUUUCUAAUUUUCUUUUUAGGAAAAUCCAUGCGUGGUAUGUCCAAACUCUCCAAGUGGCAGUCUGCCUUCUUCUAAAAAAUUUGUUUCUAUUUCUUUAUUCGACUACCUUCCAUGUCUUCCUAAUGAGUGCUUGUGCUCAAUGGUCAAUCCCUGGUGGUUGCCUCCUUUUCCCAUAUAUACGUGUUGCAAAAUCAACAUCCCACUAUAUGUGGGUUGCCUCUAUGGCAAGUUCACAUUUCCCACAUGAAACCUAUGAGUUUCCACCAAAAAUUGCCAUGAAAAAGUCUUUAUAUGCAUCUCAUGCAAUAAAAAGUCAAGCCAAUACUCAUCUUAUCUCGAAAAAUAAGUAACCAAAAUCAAGAUCAUGCCUAAGUGAACUAUGCCAAAAGAAGUGUCCAAGUGACCUAUUAUGAAAAAAGUGCCUAAGUGACCUAAGGUGAAUGUGUGUAAGCUGGAAGGUGUCUAGGAUGUUUAGGACAAUGCCUAAGCCUAAAAUAGGGUUGCCAAGGGUCACAAUGGGGUUAGAUAAAUCUCUCAAUCAGAGUCUCCAAGGUGGCUCAUAAAAGAUAAGCUACACGAGUAAUGAUGGGCCACCAGGGAAUUAUUGUAAAGCACCAAACGAACACAUAAUAGGACAUGUGUUAGAAUGAAAAAAUGGAGGGUUUACAAGUGGUCUCAUGGAUGAGCUUGAUAAUUUAAAUGACUCACAUAAUGAACGUAUGUGAUGUUUCUCUCCAAUAACAAGCAAAACAUCACUAGCAAUAUGAUGAAUGUCUCCUAAAUCACUUGAAGUAGUCCUAGCAAAUCAAUUAGAAAAAUCACACAUAUUGCUCUAAUGUAAUAUUAUAUACAUCUGUCAAUGAAUGGGAGAACUAAUGACACAACCAUCAUGUUGAUAUCUCGAACCCUCUAAUCUCAUAUGUAGGUGGGAUCACACUUAGAAACUCAUAACACAGUAAUGACCAAUCUAAGUCAAAAUGUGUUGGUGAUCGGAGGCCCAUGAAUAUGAAGUUCUAGGAUGAUAAUGACAUCUUAUAAAGUAAUGAUCAUCUCCUUAAUAGAUAGGUGAAAUGUGUGUGUCUUAGGACACCAUCUCUCAACAAGACUUGUGAUCAAUCCCCAGUCUAGUGUAACAUGCCUAUUAUGACAUCCAUCGUAAAAUCUAGACUAGAUAAUAUAAGGACAAAUGUGAGGGUUCAUCUCCCUUUCCCACAUAAAUUUAAAAAAUUAUUAUUGACAAGUUAAGACCAAACUAAGUUGCAAAAUAUAAAUAAGUCCAUUAGAUAACAAAUUUAUGUUUUCUCAUUUUCUCAUUUUUAAAGAGAUAUUAUGUGCUUCCAUGUACAUACAUGCUAAAGUCAAUUAUACGAGACUUAUAUCCAUCUUGUAGAACCAAAUCGAACCUAUCUAAUAGAUCCAGAUUAGAAGUAUGUCCUCUAUACUCCAUAUUUAUAACACAUUUAUAAAGAUAAAUGCUAAAAAAAUGUUAAAGAUAUAAAUUUAAUGAACCAUACUUUAUGAUUUUAAUUCUCAAUUAUUGUUCAUAUUUAUAAGAGAAAAGUUAAAAAAAUUGAUAGAGUUUUCCCUCUAUCAUGGACAUUAUCCCAAAUAAAAAUAAAUUGAUUAUGCAAAUUACAUUAAUAUUUGUAACCAAAUGAUCAAUAACUAUCUUGUAUCAAUUUAGUAAAUAAAUUUAAGUAUAUCUUUUCAUUUAUGACUAACAAAUAACUCAUACUUGUCCAAUAAAAGCCACACCUAAUUUCUAAAAUUUUGUCUUCACCUCAAGUGAGUGUUACAUUGAGAAAGAAAAAAUAUGAAAGAAAAAAUGAACACCUUUUUCUUUUAAUAAAAAAAGGCCAUAACGAAACAUUAAAUCUCACUGUUACACCUAUCUUCAAUGGAAACAUGAGGAUGUGAAUGGUGGCGGUGAUAUUCUUUGCUUGAAGCUCAUAAACAAAUAUUCCUUACUAAGCCUAUGCCAUUUAGUAUUUCAAUAGUGGACCCCCCCCCCCCCCCCCCCCCCCUCCUUGCAUUUCAGAUUUAGCAAACUUAGAACCAAAUAACAAAGUGCAUUUGAACCCAUAAAGAAGUAAUGAGACUCUCCUAUAUUGGCAAUAGAAGAAAUUUUUGGAGGUAUAGGAGAUUCACGGAUGAAGAAGUUGGGCCCCAAUUGAGAUAAGACCCAAGAAAAGAUGGGGUAGAGAGGGAUGGUUGGAAAUUGUAAAGUAAGAUUUUCAAAAUGUAGUUGAUGACUAAGAUUUUGACAAUUUAAAAAAGGUUUAAAAAUGUAGUUAGCAAUCGGGGUUUUGUAACAUUUAAAAAAUAAAAUAAAAUCUCAGGCCACAUGGUAGCCCAUGUGAUUCAGAAGCUUGAGAAUUAUUUUAUAAGAAGACUUAAUUUGUGAUUUUUUUAUAACUAUAUUAUUUUUUUUCUUAACACACGAAAAAAAUUAUGAAAUAAGACAAUUUUCCUAAGAAAGCAUGUAAGUGACUCUUGGUUAUUUUAUUUAACUUCUUCUAGUUUGGAGAGGAUUAAUACCUUUGCUUUUACUCACUUGCUUGGAUAUGUACACGUUGUUCAUGUCACUUUUCAUUUAAUUUUCUGAUUAAGGGAAUUGGAACCGUACGUAACUGUCUUUAUUCCCUCUGAAACUUGGACUUGGAGUUGGACUUUCAAUCUCAUCAGUCGUGUUUCCAUAAAAAAGAAGAUGGAUUAACCAAUUUUCCUAUGCCUACUAAUCAUACACAAAACUCCACUUCCAAAUAAAAAGGAAUGGGAUAUCACUUGUUAAUAGUGGCUAAAGACUAUUAAUAACCAUGCAAAGAAAUGUCACAUUUUUUGUUCUACGCAAAUUUUAUUCAUCAACUACUAGAACCAUUUCAUACAAUAGUAGCUUUUCGAUCCUUUGAUAAAUGGACACUUGAUGUGAUAACACCAACUACACCUAUAUAUUCAAGCAAUCAUGCGUAUAUAAUAGUGGAUAUGGAUUACUUCUCUAAAUGGGCAAAAGUUUUGUCAUUCAAGGAAAGUGAACGAGGAAACACAAGUUUACUUUCAUCGGAACUAAUAUUAUAUAUUGAUAUGACUUCCCAUUAUUACUUACGAUGGAAUAUGCUUCCAUAAAAUGGCCUAGAUGAACAAACUAUCCAAGAAGUUUGGGAUCAAAUAAUAUAUAUAUAGUUCAUGUGUGAUUCUUUGGUUGACAACCUUGUUAAGGGGUGAGUGAAGCACUUUGGGCAUACCACAUACUACAUGCUAGACUUCCACCCAAGCUACCCUAUAUUCCUUAUGAACAAAGUAGAAGUUGUCAUCUCUCUUGAAUACCAAAUCCUUUCACCUAAUAAUGCUAUCUAAAAAGGUCUUAAAAAGGAUAAAAAUGCGCAUAUUUGAAUUUUUGAAUUAGGAGUGCUACUUAAAAAGAAGCUAGAUAUACAAUAAUAGAAUGUUAUCAAGCAUAUCUCUUCAAAGUUUUUGACCAAAAAAUAUAUGAUUUCUCAUUUUAGGUAGGAGACUUAGUACUCACUAUUCAAAAACCAAUUAUCAUUACUCAUAAAAACUAAUAGAAAGUUUGGGCCAAAGUAGGAUGGACCUUAUAUUAUGCAACAAUUAUGCCUAUAAAAUUGUUGCAAAAGAGGUUUUAGAAUCAAAUCAAUGAAUGAAAAAUUAUUAAAGCAUUACUAUGCUUGAAGGCUAGUCAUUUUCCCUUAAAGUGCAAUAUUAAGUUGCAUAGUACUAUGUGGAUCCGCAUUUUUCACAUGCGUUCCCACUCAUUGUCGAGACUCACUUUUUAGAAGUGAAAAAUUAGUUUUAUUAAAGUCGAAGUUGCCACUGGGGAUUUGAACCCUAACAAAAGGUUCAAUUUAAGGAUAAAAAUAUCGAUAAUCACAUAUAUAUAUAUUGGUACUUUGAUUUUAUGAAUAUAUUGAAGAAAUAUGGACAAAUAUUUUGACACAAAAUAUGUACAAAAUAAAAAUUAUAUAAAAAGUAAAAAUAAAUAUUUUAAAAUUAUUUUUUUAAAUAUAUAUAUAUAUAAUUUGACAUAUUUGAUAAUAAUAUAUAAGGGUCUCCAAAAAGCCCGUGGCCCGCUUUAGGCCCGGUCCGACCCGACAGGCUAAAGCCCGGCCCAAGCCCGCCGGGCCCAAGCUCGGCCCGAGCCCGUUUAUGGGUGGGCCGGGCCGCGAGCCCGUAGGCCUGCUCCUUUAAAAAAAAACUACAAAAAUAAAAAGUAUUAAAAAAAAUAUUCAUUUCAAAAUUUUAUUCAUUGAAUGUAUAAUUACAUUUGAAAAUGUGGGAAAAGUUUACAUCACUACAAAAUAAAUACAUCCCAACUAGGUUGGCACCUAUUUAUUUGUCAAUCAUCUGUAUUUUUCAACCACAAAAAAUAAAAAUAAAAAUAUAAUAUACAUUUAGUCAUUAUUUUCUGGCGGUGAUGGCGAACUAUCAUGCAUCCAUGAAGAUCUUGAUAAUUUUAAAGAUUCCAUAUCGGUAAGCAUCUUUGUUUCUCGAAUGGAAUCAUACAUCCUUUUAUCUGCUAUUUCCCAAUCUUUCACACAUAUCCCUGCUUUAAUAACAUCUGACGCUAAGUUGCAUCGUUUUUUACUAACUACUCUUCCACCUGCACUAAAAGCAGCUUCUGAUGCAACUGUACUCACAGGAACUGUUAGUACAUCACGAGCAAUUAUAGAAAGCACAGGAUAUUUGUGUUGAUGUGAUUUCCACCAUAUUAAAAUAUUAAAAUCUUCUUGAUCUUCAAAUGAAAUUAUAUCAGUAUUAAGAUAUUUAUCUAAAUCAGAUGUAUUAUUUGGAGAAUUAUUUGUUGUCUUUUUUCGACUUUUCAACAUUUCUAGAGCUCCUUUAUAAAAAGAUGAGGAGUUUGUAGAUGUAGGUGGUAAUUUAAUAGUAUUAAUAUCAUUACCAUAUUUUUCUUUAUAAUAGUUAUAUAAAUUAUAUAAUAAUGAAUUUAUUUCAUUUUUAAUUUCUUCAAUUUUUAUUUGGUCAUUAAAAUAAAUAAUUGUUAACCAUUCAUCCAAAGCUUCAAAUUUCAAUCUAGGGUCCACAAUUAAAGCAAUAUAAAAAAUUAAAGGUAUUUCUCCCCAAUAUUUUCUAAAUUUUUAUAUCAUUACAAAUAUUGUAUCAUUAAAUAUUUCAAAACUUAAAUAUUUUUGAAGUACAAUAAAAAUAUUAGUUAUUUGCGUAAUAACUCGAUUUGAAGUUGGAUAAUAUACACCACAAAAAAUGUUUGUUGAAGUAUCAAAAAUUUCAAAAAGAUCUCUUAAAACAUCCGCAAUAUGCCAAUCAUAAUCAUUUAAUGCAUAAAUAUCUGCUUCAUAAUCAUUGUUAAUUAAUUGUAUUUCAUAUAAUUCGACUACUUUUCUAUAUUUUGUAAUAUUUUCUAAAAGUUUAUAUGUGGAAUUCCAUCUAAUAGCCAUAUCCAAAUUUAUAUUUUUUCUUUUCAUAUUUAACAUUUUGCAACAAUCAAAAAAUAAUUCAUGUUUUGCUUGAAAACUAUUAAUACUAUAUGCAAUGCCUCUAAUUUUUUUCCAAUGUACUAUCAACAUUUUUUAAUCCAUCCUUUACAAUUAAAUUUAAAAUAUGUGCACAACAACGCACAUGAAAUAUUUUAGCAUGAUCUUCUUUUACUUGCCAAUAUCGUUUUAGUCUAUGUAUUGCUGCAUCAUUAUUAGCAGCAUUAUCUAAUGUUAUUGUCAAUAUUUUAUCACGAAUGCCUAAAUCUAUAAUUUCAUCAUUUAUUAAAGAUGCUAUAUUUUUACCACUAUGUGGAGUAUUUAUUAAUUUAAAUAAAAUUAUUCUUUUAUUUAAUUUCCAUUCAUUAUCAAUGUAGUGAACAAUUAUAUAUAAAAAACCAGUAUGAGUUAAAGAUGUCCAAAUGUCAGAUGUUAAACGAAUAUUUCCUUCAAAAUUUGCAAAAUUUUUUUUUAAAAUUUCUUUUUGUGUAUAAAUUUUUUUCAUAAUAUCUCUUUUAACUGUAUUUCCAGAUCAACCUUUAAAUUGAGGAUUAAUACCUCGUUGAAUUGUUCUUGCAAAAUCAUGAGUUUCCAUCAUGUUGAAAGGUUGUUCUGCUCUUAUUAUAUAAUCAAUCAUUUCUUCACAACAGUUAGAUUCAUCAUAAGAAAAUGUUUUUAAAUUUCCACUUUCAUUUUUACUUAAUUGCAUAUAAUUUCUAAUAUCUACAUUAUUUUUAGUUUUACAAUUUUCAUGAUGUCUUUUUAAAUGACUUGUAUCUGCAUUUGAGCCACCAGUAAGAAAUUUAUUACAAAUUUUACAUUUUGCUUUUAUUUUUUUUUUAUUAUUUUCUAAAAUUAUUUCUAUUCUAUCAAAAAAAUUCCAUAUAUUUAAAGUAAAUUUUUUGUUUGAUGAUAUUUCAUCACAUGGACUAGACGAAGAAGCACUUGUCAUAUUAUAAUUAUUGAUAAAAUAUUAUGCCAAAAAUAAUAAAGUAAUAAAUAUAAAAAAAAAUGUAACAAAAAAAAUAAAGUAGUAGGGGUGAAGUAUGUUACUCAAUUAGAGAACCUAUGCAGAAAUUCCUAGCAAAUUUGAACUCUUGGAGCCACCAAUGCUUGUUUUGCACCAUCAACAAUAUUGUAUAAUUUGAGGGAAAAAUAAAAGAAUUUAAAAUAUUGUAGAAUGUGAGAGAAAUAGAGAGAAUUUGAUGAAAAAAUGAAAAGGAAGAAAAUGUAUUUAUAGGAAGGUUAAAAAUAAUAAUAAUAAUAAUAAUAAUAAUAAUAAUAAUAAUAAUAAUAAUAAUAAUAAUAAUAAUUGGCCAUGUGACCGUUGGAGGCUUAGCUCCAACGGUCACAUGGGCUGGAGCUAGGCUCCAACAGUCACAUGACCGUUGGAGCCUUUAAUUUUUUUUUUUAAAAUAAUAUACUUUAUUUUUAUAUAUAUAUAACUAACUCAAUUAAUAAACAUAAAAAGAAUAUAGUUCAGUUGGUUAGAACCUUGAAGUUUAAACAUGAGGGGAGGGGUUUGAAUCCCUCCCUCUCCCUUAGGGGCUUUUUUAAAAGCCAUUUUGGCUUAUUUCAAAAAGCCUGUCGGCCCGACCCGCCCUGCAGCCCGCGGGCCUAGCAUUUUAGCAUGGCCUGGUCUGUUGACUAGUCAAAUGGCUCAUAGGCUCGGCCCGAACUGGGCCGCGGGCCUCUUAUUUACGGACCGGCCCGACCCGGCCCGCCCGUUGGAGACCCUUGAUAAUAUCUUCUAUAUUAAGUUACAUUAUAGUUUAUUUUACAAUAUUAUUAUGAUAAUAUGUCUAAUUUUAAAAUAUAUUUAAUAUUAAAAUUAUGAUCUAUUUUAAUUUAAAUGUAUUCAAUGAUAUCAAAUAAAUAAUAAUAUAUGUAUAAUUCUUUUAUUAUUUAUAUUUAUUAUUUUUAAUAAAUAUAUAGAUUAUAUAAAAAAGACCGGAUAUAUCUUUUCAAAUUUUGUAUCGCUCUCCAAGGAUAUUAGAUGUAUGGGAAUUUGUAUUGCUAUCUACGGAUACGUUGAUAUAUGGGUGAUUUAUCAGGAUAAUUAGAAAUUCUAAUUAUGUAAGCAGGUACGGAGUUCUGUGUCGGUGCGAUCUUGUCGACAACAGCUCCAAAUUGUGCAUCUUGCUCAUAGAGAGUAGCGGAAUGCACCAAUCGUAGGCUCAGAGUACCACUGAGUCGUCUGGCAGAGACCCAACUGAAGGUGCCUGUGUUGUUCCUGAUCUGAUCAGGCUUCAAACUACAAGGUGGAAUACUGGUUCCCCUAUAUCAGAAGCUGGAGAUACCCACCCCAUAUGCUCGUCUGGAUGUGCUCCUACCCUUUGAAGCCUUCUUCCGAGUCAAGUCCGAAUUGAUAAGGCUAGUGAGUUCCCAACCAACUGUACUCAGCAUGCUGCCAGGUGGAGACCCUCCAUAUUUGAUGGCUUCCUAAUAUUAAAAUGCUGACCACUGGUCUUCAUGUUCCACAGGCUUAAUUGUGUCCUUUGCUGAAAGAAUGGAUAGUGAUCCAUUUUAACACAUGAUUCACGCCGUCUUUGCCAUUCUUCAUGGUCUAGCCCUUUUAUAUAUAUGCUUCCUGAACUGUUGCUAUUAAUAAAAUGUGGUAUCUAUCCCGUACACCUUCCUGAUGGCCAGCGAAUGCAGAAGCUACAGAAACGGUUCCAUCUUUUGCUUCCGCCACUUUGGCAUCCUCCAUGAUGAGAUCGAAGGUGAAUAAUCAUAUUCUGGGGAUUUAUGUCCUGGAUAUUCUCAGUAAUGCCCAAUUUCCUGGUGCCGGCCUCAUUUCCAUGGGAACUGAUGGAUAACUUAAGGCUUCUACCAUCUGCGUGGUUCGCUUCUAACACAGGAAACUUCACGGCUAAAAGCAAGAUACCAAGAACAUCAAGGCUGUGACAAAAAUUAGUAUUUUUAACUUGUAGGAAUUUGAAAGGCAACCAACCAUCUAGCUCUGUUCUUAAAGCUCCCAUAGGAGGAUCAGAGGCUGGAUUGCUCAAGAUGAACUCAUCCAUUGUUGCACUUAAAAAGAAUUGGCAUGAAUUGUGGCCGCUCUAAUAGGUUCCCUAAACCAUCAUCCAAGUGGGCUUGCGGAAGGUAGCGAGUUUAAAACACCUAGGGCGAUGAACAGUGGACUGUGAUGCUCACAAAAGAGAAAAGGAAGAAUUCAAUAAUUCCUAAGAAUCCAUUUGCCUGUCAUCCAAAUUUUUAUAUUCUCUUCAGUCUGACGCGUUAUGCCAUAUAUUAAAAAUAGCGGCUUCUUCCAAGCCGAGACAGACUGUGCAAAGUUCGCAAGGCCAAUCAUCACCAUAAUCUGAAGUUGGCCUCCUCAAUCGCAGCUUGUAUCCGAAUGCUCACUUCACGGGAUGGAUUGUAAUGAAAACUAAUCUCAGUCCCAGCUAUGGCAGCAUCCUCACUUGACAGCAUUUUCUGCAUAUUCUAGAACAAAGCAAUAAACCCUCAAAGGCUCCUUCGGAUCAGAGUUAGAAGACUGUCCCUCAGGAACGUGAACACUAUGGUGGUUCUGAUAAGCAGUGAUAUUGCAUUAGAGCCUUUUGGAACAAGAGGAUCUUUUCAGGUGGAAACUGUAAACUGCUUCAUGUUGGGCUGCAACCUUUUCUUCAAGCAAUACUUUCUUUCUGUAUCACGACUUAUGUUGCUUCCGGAGCCAUCCCGUGUGGACUGCCCUUCAGUGAAAGAAUAUGUGUGUUGACAUGUUGGAUUGUAAUCUUUGUUCCACUCUAAUGGCUUUUGGUCCUCCUCUUUCUCUUUAUGACAGAGAACCAUUUAGUGAUCCAUCUCUAUAUUGUAGCAUUGCUGGUGCUUUGCAAUACUACACUCUCACCAAGCAUAACAUCUAUUUUUCCGUGACCAAAGUAUGUCGGUUUAUGCAUGCGCAAACUCUUAUUCAUUGGCAAGUUGUCAAGCGUAUCUCAUGAUUUCCCAAAGCCACAAGUUCUUAUGGUCUUUCUGUUCAAGCUUACAAUGAUCUAUCUUUUCUUGGUUAUACUGAUGUCGAUUGGGCUAGUUGCCCUGAUAACAAGCACAAUACUAGUGGGUACAACACUUUUCCUGGUCCUAAUCUCAUUUCAUGGGCAUUUUCAAAGCAGAAGGUUGUGUCUCACUCCAAUAACGAAUCUGAAUAUAGGGGACUCACUAAUUAAUGUUGUUGCCAAGGUCACUUGGAUUGAAUCUGUCUUACGUGAGUUGCGUGUUUCUCUACCCCAACCACCAAUUUUGUUGUGUGACAACAUUAGUGCUACACACUUGGACAAACCAUGUUGAAAUACACUAUCAUUUUAUCCAUGAAAGGCUUAUGCAUCACACACUCAAAAUUCAAUACACCUCUUCUAUAGACCAACUAGUCAAUGCUAUGACCAAAGCUCUUCCUUCAUCUCACUUGUACAAUCUUCAGUGCAAGCUGAUUGUUCUUCCCAAACCACUCAACUUGAGGGGAGAUGUUAAGCCAAUUUAAUAAAUUGAUUUCUUUUGGUUAAUUUGUUAGAAUCAUUUUUAUUAGAGGUUUGUUUGUACAAUUACAUCCAUUUAUCAGGAGAGUACACGUGUACAACUCCUCUUUUAAUCUCACCAUUGUAUAUAUAUGAUACACGACCUUACUCAGAAUUGCAUAACAUUUCCUCUGCUCAUUCCUUUUCUUCUUUGAAUUUUCCCUUACCUCACUGAUUUUGAUUUAUACCUGGUGUUUUCACCUUUGGUCUCUACCUUUCUAGCCAGUUUUCUAAUUAAUCCGUAUAUGGUAUACCUGUCAACUAAUGAGGAGAAAGAGAAAAGGGGAUUGCUGUUCCACCAGCUACAUAUAAUAAUUAAUUACAAUCAUGGUAAUGGAUCCUGAAAUCCAUCCUUUGUGGAUUUUGUACGGAAUAUUGUUGUUAUGUAUGUGGGCUCACUUAGAUGUAUAUUGCUAGCCUGUCUGGGAAAUGUGAUUGCAGGUCCAGAUUAUGAUGUUGAUAUUAGUGGGAUAAGCAAGAGAUGCAGUUAACACGUAUGUGAUGGACUUGAGUAACUUUUCCAUUUCAGUCCAUUUUUUAAGAUUAUGCUUAGUCUUAUUACAAGGAAAGACCAUAAGAAUCAUGAGUCAUUGGCAAGGUAAUAUCAUUCCCUCUUUACAGGCUUCUUCACCUUUUGGUUUUUUUAAUAUCCAUCAAGAUCUUUUAAUUGGAGGACAAUUACAAGUAUAUAUAUAUGUAUUAAAAGGGGAAAAUAUUAAAACAGGAAAUUUUAGGGAAAAUAUAAUAAUUAUUUCUUCCUUCUUUCCCAUAUAGAACUACACAAAAUAAAACUUUAAUAAUUUUUUCUUAUCUUUUUUAUUAUUAUUUUUUCUUAGAAACAUCCGUGGUCUCACAAGCUUGUAAUCCUAGAUUGUUAGGCUCCUUUAACAGUGCCCCAACAUCGUGGUCCAAUGACAAGCUUCCACGCCUUAAAAUCAGAAAAUGCCAUUAAACUUUAUCAGACAUUACAGUUCAAGACAAAGCUUUCAUUUGCUUAAUGUGAUAAUGAAAUUGUUAAUUUCAUUUCGUGGGCAUCUAAAUUUGGACGAGCAAGACCUCUGAAUUCCCUGUUUUUAUCACCAGCAGAGGAGAUAAAAUCUUAAUGGUGAGAAUCUCCACGUGAAAUUUAUGUGUACUGUCAACAUAUUUUUGUUUAUAUAGUCCAGUAGCUGCAGGAAGUCUAGAUUAUAUAGGUAGCAGUAGCACUAUUUAUAGCACUCGAUAUUCGCUGUAUGAAUACAUUAAACCUUGUUUUCAAUACGCAUCACAAGCAAGUACUAGAUACUACAAGGAGUGACAGUCGCAUCAACAUUUCUUGAUAAUAGCAGUGACUGAUUUAUACACAGAACAGUACUGUACACGUACCAGUCACCAGAGAUAGGAUCUUAUUCCUACAUACGACUCUUAUUGAUCGAAGUCACUCAGUUGGGGUAGCCUGGAGUUGGAGGUUUGUGUGGUGGCUUCUUCUUUGGAGGAGGCUUUAUCUUUGGAGGCAUCAUCUUUGGAGGCAUCUUGUGUGAGUCUUCUUCAGCAUUCUCUACAGGAGGAUGGCCAGGCUUAUGACCCUUAGGUGGUUUGCCAACUGGGAUUGGUGGCUUGUGUCCUGAGAGUGGCUCCUCUUCUUCGGGAGGUUUGCCAACUGACGUUGGUGGCCCGUGUCCUGGGGGUGGCUUGUGUUUUGGGGGUGGUUUCACUCCACCGGGAGGUUUACCAAUUGGUGUUGGUGGUUUGUGCUCAAUCGGUGGCCUCUCAACUGGGGGGCGCUUGGGGUAAUCAGCGAGUGAAGAAGUGGUGAGAACCACCACUCCAAGCAACAACACUAGCAAGUAUGUGGAAGACAUCUUUGAGUUUGGCUCAGAUGGUGUAGAACUAGAAUCCUGGGUGGCCUUUUAUAUUAGUUGGGCCCUAUGCCCGAACGACAAGUGUCAUGGUGACACAUAAAGUGAUGGGGUCGAUUUGGGCCUACCGGAUUUGAAAACUUGGACAAUUCGAGAAGCGUCUCCUGACUCCGGGUUGUAAAGUGAAAGAUUAGGUAUCGACCAUUGAAGUAUGAUCACAACUUUUGGCCUUUGGCUCUCUCUACUGCCGUAUAGCUUUUUUCCUUUGGAUAUUUUUCUUAGCUAGACACAAUUAUUGAGCAGUCUAAUCUCGAAAUGGGAUUAGUAUAGCUUUAAGCAAAUUUAUUAUAGUUAGUGGAGGACUUUUAAGAGUGCAGACGACAUUUAACACAUGCAUGCAGUAGUAUAGGGGACAUAACACUAUUCUUUUUCCAAAGAUUCACAUGAUUUUUAUAUUAUAGUAUUGGCACAUUGUAUGUAGCUGGUUUUGUGGUUAAAAUUCCAUAUGUAGACACUGGCGUUUCUCCAUUUCUCACAAUUGAUGUUUACCUCCACGAUUACUAGAUUAGAUAUACCAAACAAUAACACAUUGUAUAAUCUAUCCGCCCUUCAAAAUCUACUGUAUGAUGAAAUGUUUCAUGUGUGUGUGAAGUGUUAGAAAUGCACUAUAGGCAACAUCAUCUUCUUUUGUCUAGGCUUGGGCCUCAAAUUAUACUCCCAUGCCAUGAUAAAUUUUCAUGUGCAUUCUCUAAAGAAGAGUGUCUUGAAUGUGCCAAAUCAUUUUGAUUGAUUUUAUGAUGUUAAUUGCUCCGCAUAUGGAUGGGUAUGUGCUUUAUUUGCUUAUUCAAUCCACAAUUACCUUGAACUGAAGUCCUAUUGGAGCUCUAUUAUUUUAGCAACGUCCUGUCAAAUAGGCUGCUAACUUGGGGUGGUAUGGACCCAAUGAUCCAUCUUAAUCUUGGGUUGAUUUUGUCUGACUCUAUCUAUCUCAGAGAGAACCAGGAUCACCAGUGCUGGUCUGCUUAAAGAAGACUCAGUACUGGAUUAAUAUUGGUUUGGGUCAAUAGCUUAUAAUGCAUUGAAUGCAGAAUAAACAAGAUCAAUGAAACCCAAAACACACUGCCCACACAACUUCACUCUGGUGUCUGUUAUUCAUCAAUUCUAUUCCCACAUGAACUGGUUCAAGUUUAAGAAAAUGACAACGGAUCCACUGUAUUAACUUGGUUUUGCUUGGUUUUGAGCUAGUUGCCAAACCAGCCAUGAGUUUUACCUCUAAUGUCAAUGAACAAACCCCAAAUGAACAACUGCAACAGCUUAAAGAGAAGGAAUGGAGAUGAAAAUCCCUGUUUCUUCUCAUUCUGGGGACAAAUUAGAACAUAACUACAAAGGUUCUAUUAAUUGACUUACUCUACCAUGAAUUAUGGUUCUUUGGUUUUCCAAAUUUAAAUUGUACAUGAGAUUAUUUUUUUCCUUUAUAUAUAAACAUAUUAAGGUUUUCUUAUUUCGUGGGCAAAUGCGCUAAGGAUGAAAGUCAUUUCAUUUGGCUGCAACAGCAUCUUAUAAUCAACAUGCAUAAGCAGCAGUUUUAAUUGAUCGAUUGAACACCGACUCACAAGAAUAGAUAGAAUGGUACAAGACAGCUCUUAUUAAUUUAUACUCGUUACUCAUUUUAUGUAGCCCCAUUAAGAUGGCUGGCUGGACCACCGAGGUCUGGGGGUGGUGUUGCUUGUGUGAUGCAGCGGGCCGGGCAGACACUUCUCUAGUUGCUUCUAUUUGGAGUUAGAGGAUCAGUCUCUGCCAACCUUGAGGACUCUCUACCUCAGAGGGUCCAGGUGGUGGACUCUGGUGUCGGUAGCUUUGAACUCUCAGUAGACUAGUGUGUCUUAAUCAGUCACUGCCAGAGGCUGGCGUAGGCAGUGACGAUAAGGUGAGACAAAUUACCGAAUAGUCAAUAUCGACUGCACUUGACCAUUAUAGAUUUGUUCUGACAAAAGUGAGAAAAGGGAGAAAAUCGGAUGUUGACCUUUAUAGAAAAAGAUAAGAUUUACUGCAACACAGAGCACUGAUUUGUUACUUGGAAACCAAGUUAUGCUAUUAGCUAGCCUCCAUUAGCAGCAGGGUACCUUGCUGCCUGAUCCUAAUCUGAGUUCCCAAGGUUUCAAUCUUCGUUUGUUAACGCUUCAGGAUUUGGAUAUUUCAGCUUCGUUUCUCCAUUUAGCCAACGCUGCCUGGUUUGGAUUUCAAUCCUCAUCUGGAACAUUCUUUUUUCGGUCUGAUUCAGGAAGUGUUUGGUGAUAGUUGAUUAAAAUUAAACAGUACUAUCAUACAAAUAAAGCUGAUCUAAUUUUGGUGGGCAAUAUACCAACUCAUUUAUUCUUGAAAACACCAUGGGGAAUUGGAGGUCCAUCCGAAGUACUAUUUGAUGGGACUCACAAAAAGAACAGGUGCACAUUUAUGAGAUCCGUGGAAGAGAUAACUAUGACAGCUAUGCAUGUACAACAGAUUUAUGUCGAGUUCACCUCGUAGAUAUUUUGUUUUCAGUGUCGGUGGACCCCAAAAUGGAAAUCGGAAAUUAAGGUUAUAUUUAUUUUUUUAUUUAAUUUUAAAUAGAAUUUUAAUUUUUAAUAAUAUUAAGUAUUAAAUUAUUUUUUUAAGGGUAUUUUAUUUUUAUUAAGUAUUAAAAAGUAAAAAAAAUUAAUAUGUUGCUUUUUUAUUUUAAAAAAAUUAUAUAUUUUAAUUUUUUCUAUUUACUAAAAAGUUUAUAAUAAAUUAUAAAAAAAUAAAAAAAUAAAAAACUUAAAUUCUGAAAAUAAAUUAUUUUUAAUAAAAAAAUCCAAAAAAGCAAACACCACCUAAAUUUGAGAUGACUCAAAAUUUUAUAUUUUUUUUCACCUAAAUUAUAUUCAUAAAUUUAAAAUUAAAAAAUUAGGAAGUUGAAUUUUAUUUUGGAUAAUUGGAAACUACAAGAAAUCAAUAAAAAUAUUUGGAAAAAAAAGAAAAAGAAAAACUAUCUAUAUAUUCACCCCCUUCUAAGAAACAUAACUUUAGUUUUUAACUAUUUUUUAAAAUAAUUUUUGAAAAAUGUUAUAUAAUAUUUUAUAAAACAAAAAAUCUGUUUGACAAUUUGAUAUGUCUUUAACUUAUUUUUAAUAUUUAUAUAUAUAUAUUUUAAAAAUAAUUUUAUAUUUAGAACUUUAUCUUUAAUUAUUAUAUAUAUUUAUAUAAUUAUUUUUUUUAAAACAACUCUUAAAAAAUAAGUGAAAGUAAUUGAAAACAACUCAAAGAUAUUUGAUGAAAACACUCUAAUUUGUAUUUUUGAGAAUAAAAAAAUAAAUAAAUAAAUUUCUAGUUAUCAAAUGUAUUUUUUAAUUCUUUUAUUCUAAAAAAUAGAAAAUCGUUUUUGAAAAUAAUUAUUAAACAACAUUCUUAAAAAUUCACUCGUUACAAUCUAGAUUUAAUGCAAGAAUGAUUGAAGGAGUCCUCCAAUAGAACCCAAAGUUAUAAACAUGAACAAGAAGCCCUAGAAACACCAAAGAUCUCAUAUGGUAUAUAUAUGAGCUUGAUUGAGAACUGUUUUAAAUUCAGUUUUUUUUUUUUUUUUUUUUUUUUGUUUUCAAAGUCAAAACAAGUUUACUUUUAAUUUUUACUUCUUUUUUUUAAUUUUAUAAAUAACAGUUUUUUAAUAAUUUAUUUUGAAAACAUGAUUAUUUUUAAAACUUAUAAUGAAAAUAGGAAUUUUUUUUUUAAUAUCAUGGUUAUUUUCCCUUCUUUUAAGGAGGGCUAUUUUAAAAAUAAAUUUACAAAUAUGAAAAAUGAUUCAAACUAAAGCAGUACAAAUAAAAAACAUUUUUAAGAAAUAUUUAAAAAUAGAGAAAAUUAUUUGAGAACAUUUGAAGUCCUUAAAUAGACUUUUGUUUUAGAAAAGGCAAGAUAAUUAUUUUUGAAAAUUGUUUUCAUAAUGAUAUGCAAAAACCUACGUAAAAACCAUAAUUAUAAUCGGCCACAUAUCAAAUCUACUAAAUAUGAAAAGUAAGUACAUAAUUAUAUUUGACUUAGAUGCAAGGAGGAAAAUGUCGCGAUAUUAUCGCCGAAAUAUCGUGUGUCGAAGGGUAUCGACACGAUUUUUCUUGCAGAAAUAUCGGCCAGUCGAUUUUUCGGGAUAAAUCUCGAGAAAUCGGCAAUUUAUCGCGAUAUAUCGGCGAUUUUUCCUCGAUAUAUCUUCUGGUCAACGCGGGUCAACGGAGUCAACACGCUACAGUGAAAGUCAAAUGUGCUACAAUGUCCCCGCUACAAUCACCUCCCCAAACAAAUUGCCAAAUUGCUUCCGAGGGGAUUUGAACCAGCCUUCUUGCCAUUUGGGCUAACUCGCCCUUAUGAUAUAUAUUGCAUUAAACAUAUAUAUACUUAAAGUCCUUAUAUAAAGAAAAUGUUAAAAAAAUAUUUUAAAGAGCAAAUUAAUUAUAAUUAUUUUAUAAUUAAAAGCAAAAUUUUCUUUUAAUUAAUUACCAAAAAUAUAAAAAUUAUAUAAUUUUCUUCAUAAUGUUUUUAAUAUCAUUAAUAAUUAAUUAAAUAUUAAAAAAUUAUAUAUAUAUAUAUAUAUAUAUAUAUAUAUAUUAUAAUUUAUUUUAUAUUGUUUAAUACAAUUGAAUUAAAUGGAUCAUAUUUUAAUAUUAAUAUAUAUUUUAAAAUUAGACAUAUUGUAAUCAAAUAUCAUAAUAUUAUAUGUAAUUUAAUAAUAAAUGUACACUUAUAAAAUUCAUAUUUUUAUCGAUGCAUACAAUAUUAUUAUCAAAUAUGAUAAAUCAUGUUAUACAUAUAUCAAAAUUUUCAAUAAAAUAACUUUAAAAUGUCUAUUAUACUUCUAAUUAUAUUAUUAUGAGGUUUUCUUUACAUUUUCAUGAGUUUUAAACAAUUUUAAGCACCAAUAUUUUUUUCCAAAAUAUCCACCGAUAUAUCUCCGAUAUAUCCAAUAUAUCUCCGAUAUCUCCGAUAUAUCCGUAAAAUCGAAGUACCGAUAUAUCCGUGAUUACCGAUAUUUUCAUCAUUGCUUAGAUGCAACCUUCUUCCAAAUGACAUACUUUAGUCAAUACUUAUAUUUUUUCGUUUCACUUCUUUGAUACAACACCUCAUGGAUUUAUUGUUUAAUUUAUUUGUAAUUAUAAAACUAUUUUUCAUUUUUAAUAAGACUUGAAUUAAUUUAAUAAAUAUUAUAUAAUUUGAAUUUAUAAUUCUUUUUAUAAAAUCAAAGUAUAUUAAAAAAAAAACAAUUUAUCCGAAGAAAGUUUUUUAUUUUUUAUUUUUUAAAACCGAUUUUAAAAAUAACUAGCUAGACACCCUUAUUUUGAUAAAAUACGAAAUAAAAGUGUAAAAACAACAUGGCCAAAUAGGGGCUUAAAUUUUAUUUUUAAAACAUUUUUUUACACUAAAGUGCAUUUUAAAAACACCAUCAAAACCAACUACAAGUUAUGCUUCUUCCCGUAAUAGAAAUAUUUUAGGCCAAAAUAGAACCUCCCCAAAUAAAGACCCUAUACUAAACUCCUUUUCAUUUUAUUAAUACAAAAGUGGGGAAAAAAGGUCUAUGCUCACCUAAAAAACAUGAAUAUUGUGAAUUCACCAUUUCUAUAAGGAAGUUGAAAACUUCAAAAUUUUAUCAACAAAUUCUCUAAAAUCCUCAAAAUAUAUAGGGCCUGUUUCACAAAGUUUUUUAAAAUUUGUUUUUAUAAAUUGCUUUUAAAAUAUAGAAUAAAUAACAGUUUUUUAGAUUUUUUGAAAAAUAAGAGUGUUUGGUAAGAUGUUUUUUUUUUUUUUUUUUUUUUUAAGAAUUAAAUAAAAAAUAAAAAAAUUGUUUAGAUAAAAGAAUUUGUAUUGUUUUUAAAAACAAUGUCUUACUUUUAUGUUAUAAAAAUUUUAUUAAUUUAAUUUAUAAUAAUAUGAAAUGAAAUUCAAGUUAAGUCUUAUUAAAAAAUACAAAUUAAAUCUAUAAUUAUGCAUGAGUUAAAGAUAAAUAUAUAUUUUUUAAAACUAUAAAAUAAAUUUUCUAUUAUAGUGAAACAAAAAUUACUAUAAAAUAAAAAUAAUUUUAAUAUUCAUUUUUAAUACAAGUCAAAUAAGUACUUUAAUUAAUUUUUUUUAUCAUGAUUUCUUAUGUUUUUUUUUUUUUCUAGAAAUUAUUUUAAGUAAUAUAACUAAUUUUUUUUUUAAUGUUUUAUAAAAAUAAGGAUAUUUGGCAAGUUGUUUUUAUAAAAGGAUUUUAAAAAUAAAUGGAUUUUUUUUUUUUUUAAAAAAAGAACAAAAUGAUUUGUUUGAAUAAAUUGUUUUGAUUUUGUAAAAACAUUUUAAAUUCAAUUUAUAUAAUAUUAAUUAAUUAAAUUAAAUUGAAGUUUUAUUGAAAAUAAAAAUAAUUUUGUAAUUAAAAUUAGAUUAAAAAAUAUAUAGGUUUUAAUAAAUCGUAAAUAGUAAUAUUAUAAUAAAAUUAUAAAUUAUAUUUUUAACAUAAAAUAUACUAUUUAUUACAUAUUAAAAAAAAUAUUUUAUUAUAUUAAUAAUUUUAUGGUAUUAAUGAGUUUAUUAUUUAAGUUUUAAAUUAUUUUUAAAAAUUAAUAAAUUUGUUAACAAAUGCAAUGUACUAAAUGUGGUUUAAUUUGGAGUUAAUUUGUUUAGGGAAAAAAAUAAAAAAUAAAAAUCUUAUGUAAAAGAGAAAUAAUAGAGUGUGUGUGUUUUUUUUUAUUAUUUUUAAAAAUCAGUAAAAAGAACUUUUACUUAUUGCCUAAAAAUUAUUCUCUAUUUUAUUUUAUUUUUUAAAUCUAGAAAUAGAUAACAAUAAUAAAAAAAAUUAAAAAAGAAAAAUGUUUUUUAAAACUCAGACUUAUAAUUGCUUUUGUUUCUCAUUCGCACCCCUGGAUUCCUGGAUUCUAAACACAAAAUUAAGUUGAAUCGUCCAUCUAUCUUGUAAGCCAAGAAUUCACAUAGAAGAAAUAAUCGGAAUUUGAUUUGAUAUCAGAUUUAGAGUGGCUCACUACUCAUGCAUUGUCCCACAAUAGUAAUGCUUUGGGCCGAGAUAAACCCAUUUGUGGGCCCAAAUAAAACCCCUGGUUUGAAAACAUCGAUUUUACAGUGGCCCAAAAGAUUAUCUAUGAGGGGAAGAUAACUUGGAAGUCAAGCAAACACAUUUAUCGCUAACUUUUCUCUAAUUAUAAAAUUAUAACUUGGUCUUCUACACGUCUCACUUAAGAGGCGGAGCCACUUGGCACUACCUUUCCAUAUUGUAAAAGGAGAAGAAGCAGAAGGAGAAGAUUCUUAUGCCAUUCCACACACCAUGGCUAGUACUGCUAUGCUGCUUGGCCCGCCGGCUCUCCGCCAUCCUAAUUCUCCCGCCGGCACUGUCUUUGAAGAUGGGGUCAUUCUAACGGAUUCCCUGAUCGUCCGCACCAGUAAUCUGGAGCUUUCUGAAAAACCGCCACUGGAAUCCCUGGCGUAGUGCUCUGUCAGUGGGGAUAUUGCUAUGGAUUGUUUGGAUUCCCAAGCCCACAAUCUUCAUCUUCCCGGGAAACCGCCGAUGGGCUUAACGGAAAACAAGUCUCCGACCUUUUUGUCUUCCGGGAACCCGUGCUUGGACUUCUUCUUCCAUGUGGUUCCCGAUACGUCGUCUGAUGAUCUGAUCCGACGGUUUGAGUUGGCUUGGGAAUUCAAUCCGCUGACGACGUUAAAACUGAUAUGCAACUUGAGAGAGGUGAGAGGCACCGGAAAAUCUGACAAAGAGGGUUUCUACACGGCGGUUCUCUGGCUCCACGACCACCAUCCCAAAACCCUAGCCUGCAAUGCUAGGGUGUUGGCCAGCUUCGGUUAUUUCAAGGAUUUUCUCGAGAUUCUCUACCGGCUUCUGGAGGGCCCUAAAAUUCGAAGAAUCGAAAAGAAAGACUGGCUGGAUCGAAAAGGAAGGAAGAAAAAUUCCCGGAAAAGGAACUCAAUAUUCAAGCGAGAAAAUAGGCCUGGAGUUGAAUUUCCUGUAGAAGAGAAGGAUGUGGAGUAUAUGGUGGAAGAAUUUGUGGAUAAAGAAAAGGCUAGGGUACUGAGAAAGGAGAGAGAACUUGCUCUUGCCAAAAGAGCCCUGCACAAGUAUUCUACUGAUUCUAAUUAUCAGUUCUUACAUGAUCAGAUUUCAGAUUUAUUUGCUGAACUUCUGAAAUCUGAUAUUCAGUAUUUAAACUCCGGUGAGCUUUACAAGAUUAGUCUCGCAUCCAAAUGGUGUCCCACAAUUGAUUCUUCUUAUGAUAAAUCCACCUUGAUAUGUGAAAAUAUUGCUCGAAAGGUUUAUUCUCGCGAGGAAUAUAUAUCCAGAAUACCAAGGAAUUGAGGAGGCUCACUAUGUUAAUAGAGUCAGGGAUAGGUUGAGAAAACAAGUACUUGUUCCAUUACGUAAGGCCCUGGAGUUGCCAGAGGUUUUCAUGUGUUCGAACCAGUGGGGAUCACUUCCCUACAACCGUGUGGCUUCAGUGGCCAUGAAAUCAUACAAGAGCCUCUUCUCAAAACAUGAUACAGAGCGGUUUGGUGUGUAUCUUGAGAAAGUGCAAACUGGGAAGGCUAAGAUUGCAGCUGGUGCAUUACUUCCCCAUGAGAUUAUAGCUUCAUUGAAUGAGGAGGAUGGCGAGAAAGUUGCAGAGCUUCAGUGGGCGAGAAUGGUGGAAGAUUUAUCAAAGAAUGGGAGGCUCACAAAUUGCAGUGCGGUAUGUGACGUAUCAGGAAGUAUGAGUGGAACUCCAAUGAAGGUGUGUGUGGCUCUGGGGCUGUUAGUUUCAGAGCUCAGUGAAGAUCCAUGGAAAGGUAAUGUAAUUACUUUCAGUGCAAGUCCUGAGCUUCACAAGAUCCAAGGAGACAGCCUUGUAUCCAAGACUGAAUUUGUGAGGAUGAUGGAAUGGGGUGCGAACACUGAUUUUCAGAAAGUUUUUGACAGAAUCUUACAAGUAGCAGUGGAGGGAAAUCUGAGUGAAGAUCAAAUGAUAAAGAGGGUUUUCGUUUUCACUGAUAUGGAGUUUGAUGAAGCUUGUGGGAGGUAUAACUAUUGUGAAUAUGACUAUGAUAUGGAGGAAAUUGAUGAGAGUCAGAAGGCAUCUCAGAAGUGGGAGACAGAUUAUGAAGUGAUACAGCGGAAAUUCCAGGACAAAGGAUAUGGAAAAGUUCCGGAGAUAGUGUUUUGGAACCUUAGAAACUCAUCAGAGACUCCAGUGAUGGCCACAGAGAACGGGGUGGCCUUAGUAAGCGGGUUUUCGAAGAAUCUGUUAGACCUUGUUUUUGGAAGGAGGUGGAAUUCUGACCCCUCAGGAUGUGAUGGAAUUAGCCAUCUCUGGUGAAGAUUACAAGAAACUUGUUCUAUUUGAUUAAGAUAUCAAGAGAUUUAUCAAUAAUAAUAUGUUUUUUUUUUUCUAUGUGAAAUACAUGUAAUAUUAACUAUGGAGUUAUCAAAGUUCUGGAAAUUUAAUUAUUUCUUCUUUUCAAGUUUUGUUUGUCUUUGUUAGGAAUUCCCCUUGGGCGGACCCAGCUGGGGACUUGGAUUGAGGAAGUAAGGAGGCGAAAUUGUGUUCUUCUAUGGACAGAGAAAAAAGAUAAAAAUAAAAAAUAAAAAAGGAGGUUAUUUGCAUUUGGAUGUCAUGUGGUUUCAGGGUACAACUACAAGUUCGAAAUUGUACAUAAUGUGAAAAUUCCUGUGUGGAGAACAGCAUAAAUAUGUAUCUCAGUGUGUUUUGUUUGAGCUAAUUGGCAAAUUCGCUUUAAACAUGGUCACAUGGAUGCAUAUUUAUUUGUGAAAUGAUAGUAGUCGAUUACUUGGUCAGUAAGGUUUGUAUCUCUAACUCCAACAUCUUAUUGUAGUCUUUUAAAAUGUCAAAAGUUUAAUGCUAGCUUGAGAAAUUUUGGAAUGGAGACAUUCUAAACAAAGUUAAUAAUCCAUGAGACUUGGUAAAACCGAUCAGAUGAUGCUUACGUACAUGAAUGCCUUCUUUAAGCCGUAUCCUAUUUUCAUUGAAUGAGACGUGCCAUCUAGUUUUGUUCUUGUCUUGAUUGGAUCAUGAUCCCGGGAAUUGAUUACUGUUCUGAAUUUGCGAAUGUUCAAGGUAUUAGAGAAAGUUAAUAUUAUCGUUAAUUUACAUAUUAGUAUUUAUCUAGUUAUUAUAUAUUAGUUUGAAUUAUAAUAUAAUAUAGAAUUUGAAUCAAGUUUACUAUUAGUUUGAAUUACAAUAGGAAAUAAAGUUUGAAUUAUAGUAUAACUCAAAUAUAUUUGUAUAUAAAUAUCCAUCUUUAUCAAUGAGAAUAGUAAACCAUAUUUUUCUCUAUCUUCUUCUUUCUCUAUAUAUAUGGUAUCAAAGCCUCCAAAUCCUAAACCUAGUCUCAACUUAGAGCAAAUUUAGGGUGCAGGGUUUAGGCCCCGCCUCCCCCAACCCUUACCACAAAUGGUAGUGACCUUGUUAUGCCUAUGUAUUGUCAAUGCCUCAUUUUCUAUGGUCUUCAAUACAAUAUCUAGUUUCAAUGUCUCUUUCCUUACUAUCUCCAAUGCAAUAUAUUGAUUUCAAUAUCUCUUUACAACCAAGAGCUCCAAAUUUUCCUGGUUCAAAUCUACCAUAAUUUUUAUUCUCCUUUGCUUUUUACCAAUAUUAGUUCCCCUAAUUUAAUAUAUAUCUCUUUAUUACCUUCAACUCUACCUCUCUCUUUCUUUAAAAGCUUCCUCAAAGAUUUGAUUGCUUUCUUGCAUGUUUUGGGAAAACAAACAUGCUCAUAUUCUAUUACCUCUACUUGAGAUCUGCCUUAUACUCUACCUUCUUCUUUACCUCCUAUAUCAUCUACUACAUUAGCUUCAAAAACAUUAUUUAGUUUGAUGCUAAAUAAGGCUCCUAAUCCUACCCUUCCUUCAACUAACUUUCUUUUACAAGUCCCUCAAAGUUUUUUUUUUUUUUUUUUUGGAAAUUUGGCUUAGAAAGAUUUCAUUACUCUUACCUAAUCUUUCAACCAUCAAGUCGAAUCCACUUAUCUCUUGAAUCCAAGGAGACUACCCUCCACAAAAACAAGGAGAUUGACCCCCACAAUAACAAAGAGAUUGUCCUCCAUAGAAACAAAGAGAGCUUCCUUCAUGGAAGCCGAAUACAUCGCAAUCUAUUUUCUUUCUCUCAAGAUCAAAUCUCCAAUCGGAGCUCCAUCUUGUGGGGAUAUAUUAGAAAAAGUUAAUAUUAUCCUUAAUUUACAUAUUAGUAUUUAUCUAUAUUAUAUAUUGAAUUAGAAUAGAAUAUAGAAUUUGAAUUAAGUUUACUAUUAGUUUAAAUUACAAUAGGAAAUAGAGUUUGAAUUAUAGUAGAACUCAAAUAUAUUUAUAUAUAAAUAUCCAUCAUUAUCAAUGAGAAUAGUAUUCCAUAUUUUUCUCUUUCCCUGAGGCUUCAGAAUGUGAUCUUGAACAUUUGAUCUUUUGGAUUCUUCUUGUUUCGGUGGUUUAAUAUAAUGGAAUGUUUAAUUAUAGCCUACUUUAUCACCAUGGAUGUGCUCCUGCAGAUUUCUUGAGGGUGAUGGUUAUUUUGUCAUGUUUCUUGAAUGGUUUGCAUCAGCUGCCUGAGCUGUUGUUGCUGGUCACUUUUGCAACCAGGGAAAGAAUCAUGGCUUUGGAGAAGCCAGCUUCUGUUUUUGUUGCCCAGCUGUUAGUUCACUAAGAUUGGGGGUCCUAACAUGUAUGUAUAAUCAUAAGCAAGGAAAUUUUAUGUCUUACGCUAGAUAGGUACCAUGAUAUGAUGUUUGAUUGAUUUAUUAACUCUACCUGUUUCAAAAGGCAUCAACAUUAAUUUUACCCUUUUAACACAUUGGAUUGUUUGACCUUACGAGAUUUUCUAUUUCUGUACUAUUUGAACUGCAAUCGUUAUGGUCCUUAGGUCUCUAAACCUUCGUUUAAAAUAAAAGUAAGGAGCACACAUAGUAAAAGUUAAUUUUGGGUAACUUUUAAAACAAAGAGAAAAGUAAAAGUUGUUUUUGAGAAAAACAUAUAGAAAUUGAAAGAUUUUUUAUUUUGAGAAAAAAAAGUCAUAGAAAAGAAAUAAUAUCCCCAUAUAAGUAGAUAUGAUCUAUCCGAAGUGUAGCUACUCUCCUGGAUUUAUUCUAACAUUUUAAAAUUUUUCUCAAUGGGCAAAGGAAUAUCAAAUCAAGCUUGAGUAGGAUUAAUUUCUUAAUUUUUAAAAUAACUUAUAAUUAAAAUUUUUUGGUGUUUUCUUUUUUGGACAAUUUUUUAUGAAGACUCUGAAUCAUGCAAGAGAUAUGGUUAUUUUAAAAAAAAAAAUAAUUUAAAACUCAAAUACAUAAUCAAUGUCACAAAUUUAUAAACAAAAGGUUUUUAAAAAAUACUAUUAUUUCCCCUCUACACAUAAUUUUACUUUUCCGAUUUAUUUAUUUUUGUUGGAAAACAGUCUUCAAAUCAAGUAAAAUUAAUAUGUUAAAUUUGUUAAACAAAUAAAUUUUAAAAUACAAUUUGGAACUCAAAAAUCAAUUCAAGUAAUGCUAAAAUUCAAAAAAUCAAAUUUGGAAUAAAAUGACUUUGUAAAUUUUUUUACUAAACAAAUGAAUUUUAAAUCAAGUGAGAUUUAAUACAUUGGAUUUUUAUGAGAAUAGUAAUUUUAAAAAUUAAUUUGGAACUCAAAAAUAGACACAAUAAAUACCAAAAAUCAAUGAACCAAAAUUGGUUUGGAAUAACUCCAUAAUUUUUUAUUUAUUUAUAUAUUUAUUUUUUUGUGCACACGAAUUUCUUACUAAGCAUAUUGCUUCCAAAUUGAGAAAAAUUUACUAUUUAGAUUUUUUUAAUGAGUUUAAUGGUAUUUAAAAAUAAUUCAAAAAUUCGAAAAUUGACUAAUUUAAUAUUAUAAAUUCAUAAACCAAGACUAAUUCAAAAUGCAUUGGGGGCUAAGGGGGUUGAAAUUAAUGCUCCAUUUGGUUGUGGCCACCAAUUGGCAAUGGCCACCAAUCAACCAAUCAAGGUGGCUAAGGGGGUUGAAAAUAGGGACAAUGGGGUGGGUUUGGGACAGGACACUCAUAUCCCAUUCCCAUCCCAAUUACACAGUUAUUUCCCAUCCUUAUUCCAAACUUGUGUUGGGGCAAGUUGAUUUGUUCCCAUCUUUGUUAACGAAAUGACUAAUAACCUCAUCCUCUCCUUGUCUUAGAUGUACAUUUUCUCAAAUUUGGUCAGGUAUGAUUGAUUCAAGCCCUAACCUUAAUUGGUAAUGAGUGGAUACCACACCUAAUUGCAUUCUUCUUUCGUUGCAAAAUAAUGAGAUUAUAAUAAUCUAGCAAAUAAGAAAAAAUAGUAUGGAAGUUCAAAUUAACACCAUAACUAUCAAUAAUUUUAAGCUUAUAGAUGACUUAAAUGAUUGAAAACUAAUGCAAAAUACUAAAAAAAAAAAAAAUCAUCUAAAGAAUUCACAAGAGAAUAGAACGAACAAAACCAAAUAGGAACAUGGGUCAACAUUAGUUACAGAUUUUGAUCCCUUUCAAGGCCAAUCUUUGAACCAAGACUUCAUCAAAUCUACUACUUCAAAGGCUUUUGUGUUCUUCUUGAGUUGUACUCUGGAACAAAGACUUCGAGGUGAUGCUUUAGAUGAUUGCAUUACACAUAUUUAGGGUAGGGAGAUUGGAGAAGCUUGAAGAUGCCAACGAUGGGUACAAUUGAGUGGUCAAUAAGAACAAUGUGGCCUAUGACUAGUUUGAUGUCAUGGUAUAGGAGUUUUGGGCAUUGAGGUGAAAGCAAGAGCAACAUGGAAUUGAUUUCAAAGUCUUUCAAUUAGUGUAAAGGAGGAAGAAGAAGUGGUAUUGAUCCUAGAAAUAGUGUUUUAGGUGUUGCAUUAGAGGAAAAGAAAAAGAAAAAGAAGGAACCAUUGGAAUUAGUACGAGUGUGAAGAGAGAAGUGUAUACAUAAGGGGAAGUAAAAGCAAAGUUCUAAAAAUUUAUUUUUUUAUUGGUGGUGUAUGGUUGCAUGAUUAUCCCUAUAAAUAAUAGGAGUUUUUUGGUGUUCUACUAGUAGUUGAAGGAUAAUUUCAUAAGAUAAUAUUUAGAGCGGGGUGGGGUGAGUUGUGACAAAAUCCAUACCCGUCCCAAACAUUGGUUCAGGUUUUUAAAAUAUUUUCAAACUUAUCAUAUACCCAAUUUUAUAUUUCAUACUUGUCCUAAUAGAGACAGGUUAGUCAGGGUUACUUGAGUAGCCUACAAAACUAUCAUCCCUAGUUGAAAUGCUCUUUUUGGCAGUGGCAGCUAGAAGCUCGAUCGAUUGACCUACAAGACUAGUUGUCAUCAUUUUAAAAAGAGUUUUGGCUUUGGUUGUGAGUGCAAUUGAAUCUAAACUAACAUUUCCUUAAUGCAUCUACUUCAAUCCUAAACUUCUUACUUAAGCCUCAAUUGUUGUUAAGAUUUUGGAAAACCCAUUUCCUUAAAUUGUAAAUUUAAGAAAAAAAAAAUUAAAAGUGAGACAUUUCUUGAUUGAAUGUUGUUAAAGGUCCCUUGGAAUUAAGACUUGGUUGAAGCCUUGGAAGAUUAGCAGAACUCUCAACUUAUGUUUGAACCUUGAGGAGAGUGGACGUAGGCCAAAAUUUUGUCAAACCAUUAUACAAAUUGAGUUUGAAUUCUCAUUUCUUGAUUUCUUAUUUAUUUGCUUUUUCUUAUUAUUACUUGAAUUGUCAUUUGCAUUCAUUAAUGUUAAAAUUGGUUAUAAUUAGCCAACACUAAUUCUCUUUCCCCUUCCCUUAAUUUCUUGGGUGUAAACCUAGGUUGGAUUAACUAGAUUUUAUCAAAUCUAUUAAGAUGGUAAAAGAAUAAUUAUUCUUAACAUACAUAAGAUCAUCUUCAAUCAAAUGACUCAUUGGCUGAUAUGUUGAAUUUGCUUAUUACUUGCAACUCAAAAUUGUGUUCUAGUUGAUAUGUCAAGUCCUGAGUGUAUGGACAUUAAAUUUGUAGUACGUGAUGAGUAUUUAGAUGGUCCAAUUCCAAGAAAGUGAUUGAAAACUAGUUCAAGAAAGGUGCAAAAGGGAAUUGUUUUGGUAUUUUCGUUUUUAUUCUUGAAGGUGGCAGAGCUAAAAUUUGAGAAAUCAAGCAAAACAUACUGAAAUUACAUUGAAAGAAAGAAAAUGGGAGUUAAUGUCUUGCAGUACAUGAUAAGGACUUCAUGCAUGUAGUGUGACCCAUGUCUUGGACUGAUGCCACACUCACGGUUACACUUAUACCCUUAGUUCUCUCUUUACUACCUUAGCUAACCUAGAUCAGGUUAUGAGAUAGGCACCUCACCACACCAUUACUUGCCCAUUAAUUAGUGACAUUUUCAAGCAAUGAGGUAACAUGGUGACACCAAGAGGGUAUAUUCCUCACCCCCAACAAGCCUAGACCUGGUCUAAAAAAAAUGGAGAAAAAUGACGUGUUGUUAUGCAGAAAUAUAGCAACCAUGCCUUCCUCAUUACUUAGAUUCAGAAUGUGAAGGUGAAAUUGAGAAACAGAAACUCUUGAAACCAAAAUGAAAAUUGAUACUUUUACGAAGAAUUACAACAACAUUAGAGGAAGACUACAUUCUUCCUCUUUAUUCCUACAUUUCUACACUACUUCUACUCCACUCCAUAUUUCUACAUACAUCUUUAAUCAGUCUUCCCUCCUUUAUAUAGAGCCAUCUUCACACAAAUUCCGCAAGGUAGAAAAGAGGAAUGAAACUUGGAGCAAGGUUCGACUACUGGCUGUAGCUUGUCAAGGCUGAAAGUGAACUUUUUUUCUUGGCUUUUCUGGGCAUAGGUAGUAACUUGUAGGUUCCUUUUUGGAAUGAAAAUGGUACGGCUAGAACAUGUGGCACUCUCUUGUUGGAUGAUGUGUCAAGCAUGUGGCAGCCAUCUAGUGGAGAUUAUGUCAAUUUUGGGAUGGAGAGUUGGCAUCCAAUUGCAAAGAAAUAUGACAUCUACCAACAUGCAAUGUCAACCUAUGUAGAUCAUAUGAAGAUAGAGAGGAAAAAUAUAGAAAUGGAUAUAUAACUAGAACUAGCUUUUUAUUAAAUGAGACGGAGAGCCAACAAUGAAGGAAAAUCAAAAUUUUUGGCUCAUAUCAAAGAAUUCACAUUGUGUUACCCUAGGUUUUCUUAAAACUUACUUUUAUGAUAAUAAAAAAUCAUUAUUGUUUAAUCCUUUGUUUUAAACGCAUGUUUAGCAGGUUGUAAAAUGUAAAUAUCUUUCGAAAUUCAAAUAUGAAGAUAUGACAUCAUUUCAAGCAAUAUAGUCUCUAGGAAUUAAUGUAAAGCUAAAUUAAGGUGCAAUUAAGUUAGUUCAAUGCAUUAUUUUAAGAAACUUGACCUAUCAAAACCUUGUCUUACUUCAAAGCCUCUUUUUCUUUUCUUCCAACUAACAUUUUAAUAAGUGAUCGCAAAAGUACAAAAUUAGAUGAAAUCCAUUUCAAUGGUUAAAAUGAUCAAAUUCAAACUUUUUCUAAGUAUCUUUUAAAAGCAUCAAUAUUGAAAGACAAUUUUAUAUUUAGUCAAAGCUUGGACAGAGCCAAAAAGCACACAAAAAUUUAUAUUUUCUAGCUCUCUACCUUGGAUGGUCUCUUGAUCCUACUUGGAGAUGUGCAUAAAUAAAAGGAUUUGAAAAUGACAAUUGACUAAGUAUGUAGUCAAUCAAUUACUCAUUGAUUGACUAGUUGAUCAAUUAACUUUGCAACAUCAUAUGCAAUCCUAAUAGCUAGUCAUCUAAUCAACUAGGUAGUAAAUCAAUAGGCCAAAAAUAUGUUUAUAAUGACUAUUUUGUACAAAAACCACUUAUAUAGUUAAAUAUAAUGCAUUUCAUUUAUAAAUCUUCUAAUUCUUGAAUAACAAUCCUAUCAUCCUUUGAAAGUUUUUAUUACACCUUUUCUACAUUUGUUCUAAAACUUAUACAUCACCCUUAAUUGUACCAUGAGAACCUAGCAUUUUUUUUUUUUUUUUUGUAUUUCAUCAAAGUUAGCUCUUGUACUCAUUGUUGUAUUAUUUUUAUUGUAACUUAGAGAGCGAGUGUUUUCAAGUGAGUGAAAUUGACUUGUAAAUAUUGUAAAGAUUCAUUGAUAUGUAUCUCAAACUAGGUGUACAAGUUGAAACAUUUGCUAGUAGAUUUUCUCAAGAUUUAGAAUGAGCUUAAGGCUAUCGAAUUAGGUGGGGUUGCGCCAAACCAUAUCACAUCGUUGUUUGCACCUUUUUUUUCACUCUCUUUUACUUAGUUGCUCUAUAUAUAUUGUCUAGCAAUAUCCUAAAGGCUUGAUGGGCUAGGGAGCAUCCCUCUGAAUGAAAAAUUUUCAUUCAAUUCUUAGUUGUAUUACGCAUAUAUAAAAUGCCUCAUUGUUUUAAUGGUAUUCAGUCGUGGCACCACAGAUAUGGACAUCUAAAUUUUAAAAGUUUGAAACUUUUAGCUAAAGAAAAUAUGGUGCUUUGCCUUUUUGGAAAGCAUGUUGAUGAAAUCCAUGAGAAUUGUAUACUUGGAGAGCAACAUCGAGAUAACUUUUUUUUUUUCUUUUUUUAUAAUGCAUUGUUUGUCCAAAUUCCGUACAAAUUAGGCCACCACAUGUUCAUAAUUCUCCCUUCUUGAAUUUGAAAACUCGGACAAUUUGACAAUGCGACACCUAAGUCCGGUUUUUAAAUGCUAAAGUGAAAGGGCAGGUAUGGACCAUUGAAAUGUGAUAACAACUUUUGGCCUUUUCCUUUUCUCUGUAGCCAUGUUGUCUCUUUUUAAUUUCUUUUGCAUGAUUUUCUUACCUAAACAGAAUCAUAGACUUGUUUAAUCUCUAAGUGGGAUUUCAUCCACCUUAAGCUACUGUAUUAUAUCUCGGUGGAGGACAACCGACAUAGAGCACAUGCAAGUGGGUAUAUGGGACAUGAAAUAUCUUCUUAUAAAGCUUGUUUUGCAGUUAAAUUAAUUGGAUAAGUAGACACUGGCGUUUCUAAAUUUCCCACCUAAGAUAAUGACCUUAUCCUUGACUGCUAGAUACACAAACAAUUAUACCUUCAAAAUCUACUGUGAAGUGCUUCAUGUAUGUGUGAAGUAUUAGAAAUUUCUUUCUUGGCAACUUGUUUUUUUCUUUGCGGUCUACUGAUAGGUUUGACUAAAAUUAUAUUCCCUGUCCUGCUAAUUAAUUUUCACGUGCAUGCUCAAAAGAAGAGUAUGACCUUAGUGCACCAAAAUCACUUUCAAUAAUUUGUGAUAAGUUUUUUUGCAUGACAUUAACCUUAUUCAUUUAGAUAAUGUUUAGUUCUCAUAAAUAUUAAGAAAAUGAAAAUAAAUAUUAAGAAAAAUAUUCUUAUAUUUGAUUGUAUUAUGAAAAAUAUCAUAAAAAAUCAAAUAUAAUUAAAAUUAAUUAAUAAUUUAUAUAUUUUAAAAUUAUUUAAUUUUUAUAUUAAAGAUAUAAUAUAAAUGAAAUGAGUUUUAAGUAUUAUAUAAAAAUGAUUUAUUUAUUUAUUUAUAUAUAUAUAUAUAUAUAUAUUUAGUUUUUCUCUUUAUUUUAUUUUCCUUAUGUUUUCCUCACAUUUUCCGGAAUCAAAGAUAGGGAAAUCCACAAUUACCUUCAACUGAGUAGAUUCUAUUGUUUUAGCAAUGUUAGGCUGCUAACUUGUGGUGGUACGAACCAAAUGAUCCAUGUUAAUCUUGGCUUGAUUUAAUUUGGCUCUAUCUCAGAGAACUCAAGGAUCACGUCAACUCUGGUUUCUACUAUUCAGGUCCAUUCCCAGAUGAACUGGUUCAAAUUUGAGAAAAUGGUAACAGACCUUUAGUGAUAUUGGUUUGGAGCCAGUUGCCAAACCUGCCCUGAGCUUUACCACUAAUGUCAAGGGACAAAGCCAUUUGAACAAAAACAAUAGCUUCAAGAGACUGAAUCGUGGAUGAAAUCUGAUCCACAUUUCUUCUCAUUUUGGGAAAAAAUGAGGACUUAACCACAAAGAUUCUACUGCCUCAUAGUGCUUUUCCUGAUCUAAGGUUGGCUCGUUUCCCAAAUUGUGAGGUGCACGUGCCACUCUCACGCUCAGGAGUGUAUCCACGUGGUGGACAUAAGAUGGUGGCUUAAUAUCUGGUGUCGGUGGCUUUACUUUACUAGGAGAGUAGUGUGUCUUCAUCUCAUUCACUGCCAGAGGGUGGCGUAAGCAGUGACGCUAAGGUGGGGCACAGUCAAUAUCAUUUGCAUUUGACCAUUAUAAUUUUCUCCCGGCUUUAAAGUAACCUUAUCGUGAUAAUGGAUUACUAGCACUAGUUCAGAUGACAGUCAUGUUAAAUUCGGACCAUGUUUGUGUCACAUUAUCAGCAACCAUGUGCUUGUGGUUCAUGCUAUCUGCAACUAAACUUGAUAUAUAACCAGGUGAACUUCAAUCUAAAUUCUGGAAGUACUCAUGUGAUAGAUGGUGCCUGUCUGCAGUGAGUGUAUCUAUAAGAGGGAAGGCUUGGCAAAUGUUCAGUUUUCUGGGAAUUCAACAGGGAUCUAAAAUAGAUUGUUUUCUUUGCUGAUUUCAAUGGUUGAAAUUUGAGAAGAUUGUGUCCACAUAACACAACUAUUACUGGUCCUUCUGUUGCAAUUUAUCCUCUAAGGCUCUAACAUGUCUUCCAAUUCCCACUUCCCACUUCCCUGUUACUCCAGGAAAGCUGUUUCUGUCAUUGUGAAGAAGAAAAGAGACUGUACAUAUCGAUGCUUUUAAGUGGACUGGAGAAUUCAUAUCAGGUGGUCUGCAGCCAUACAUGCCACUUUGUGAAGGUUGGAACAGUCAAUCACUAGGCUAUAUUAGUGGGGCCCAGCCACUUCAAUCAAGGACAAGUCUUCAUACUUAAAGUCAAAUUCUGCCUUUAGUCUCAUUAUAAAUUGCUGUUUAAAUAUCAAGCAAACAUUUGUUUAAUGCGAUUAAGACAGCACUAACUCAAUACUUGUUCUAUUUUUGGAUGCAAAUGCUUGAUAGUUUCAUCAUUGGAGGGGAUAAAGGUGCAUUCAUGAUUAUGAAUACUUGUAGUUAUAUUUUCAUUCUCUUUUUUCUCAAUGGGACUUGUUGGCACAAUUUUGCUGUUCAGAAACCUACCUCUCCAUGGAAAAUCAGUUGUGAUUGAUAUUACUGGAUAUAUUCAAGAAAGCUAAAUGUAGAUAGCACAAAAUAUUAUCGACAUAAAUAGCAUUAACAGCGUACGUAUGUCUCAAUGCUCAUCAGCUAUAAGCAAGGGGCAAACACUUACUAUGAGCAACUUACGUCAAAAUUCCGGAAUAGGACAUAGAAGUGACAGGUCAGUAAAUAUAGAACACUGCAUAUGAGUCACAAGAAAGGAAAUUACGGGUACAUAGCAGCUCUUAUUUUACAUCCUACUCAUACUGAUCAAAGUCACUCAGUUGGGAUGGGUGGGAGUGGGAGGUUUGUGGGGUGGCUUGUGCGGAGGAGUUGGCAGCUUCUUUCCAGGACCUGGUUGCUUCUCUGCUGGAGUUGAAGGAGGCUUAAUCUUCCGAGGUGGCUUGUAUGAGUCUUCAGCAUUCUCAGCAGGAGGGUGACCAGGGUUGUGACCACAAUGUGGUGGCUUCUCUCCCUUAGGUGGUUUGCCAACUGGGGUUGGUGGCUUGUGUUCCGGAAGUGGCUUCUCUUUGUGUUCAGGAGGUGGCUUCUCCACUGGAGGCUUGUGUUCAGGAGGUGGCUUCUCCACCGGAGGCUUGUGUUCAGGAGGUGGCUUCUCCACCGGAGGCUUGUGUUCAGGAGGUGGCUUCUCCACCGGAGGCUUAUGCUCUGGUGGUGGCUUCUCCACCGGAGGCUUAUGCUCUGGUGGUGGCUUCUCCACCGGAGGCUUAUGCAAUGGUGGUGGCUUCUCCACCGGAGGCUUGUGUUCAGGAGGUGGCUUCUCUACCGGAGGCUUAUGCUCUGGUG